UUCUUCUACCUCUGGGGUAGAGGUUAAUGGUCACUGUGCAAGACUGCUUGGGACAAGAAACUGGUAGAAUCUAAUUACUGCCUCUUGUGAAUGCGCCCAGGAGUGUGCAAGUAAUCUCCAAGUCUGCAUGCUAAGUACCUUCUAGAAGCUCUUGUUAUUUUGAAGACCCUAAGGAAAUUAUAUCUUAAUUGUGAGUCUAAAAUGUCCCUUAUUAACUAUUUGUUGCUCUUACCUGAUUCUUACUGCUUUGAAAUCUGUUUGAUUCAGAUGCUACCAAAUGCCUUCUUCAUUUUGUCUAAGAAACCUACAUUAUUAUUUCUGUUUGUGUAACUACUGAACCCAGUGUGAGUCCCUGUUCUUAUUUGUUCCCUGCCUCCCCUCUUCAGGGGCUCCUCCCCAACUGGUAGAUUAUCCCUGGGUAUCAGUGCAUAAUUCUCUUUUGAAACAACUUGGAACUAAUUUUCUGCUUUUUGAACAUAUGGCCGGACACCUUGAAACAGAUUCUUGCGUCUGCGUUUUCCUGAGUCUUUUGGGUGGUGACUGGGUUAUUAGAAGUAAAAAAGAAAAAUCAGGAUUGAGGCAAACAUAAUUAUAACUGAAACUUGAAACGGAAUUUGUGAGCUAUUGUUAAUAUGAUUUUAUCCCUCUGAUUUGUGUGUGUGUGUCUUCUCAUAAUAUAUAUCAACAUUUAUUUUGUCAGUGGGCAAAUUAUGUAUUGCCUGAAACCCCUGGAAAACAACAUUACUCUGUUGUUAACACGCAGGUGAAAAUUCUGCACAUAUAUACAUCUCCCUGUUGUGAAUCUUUCAGGCAGACAUUUUUUUCUGUGAGGGCAGGAACUAAGAUUUAAAAUCACCUCACCUGACAAAUGAUUAGGGAAUUAUUCUUCUUAAACCAAAUGAAUGACAAAACAAAUCAGCUCCCUAAAGUGAUGCGAGAUCUCCUCAAGCUGUGCCUGGGAAUAUUAAUAAAUGAAGAGACGCCUCUGCCUACAGCUUGUCAUUUCAGUGUGCCUCCAACACCGCAGGCUGCAAAGUGGGAAAGCUGUGGGGCUCCUUUAGGAGGUUAAAGCCUGCCAUCUUGUGACCACUGUGGAGAAUUACACCAACAUUUCAUAAAGUUUAAUAGUAUCUGUUGAAAUUUGCCAAAGGCAUUAUUGGCAUGUGCUCACAAAUGGCAUCUGGAUUUGGGGUGUGCUUAUUCUUUGAUAGGUACCAAGAGCUUAAAGGCUUGAAAACACCCACCAGGAAGUUUUGGACUUCUUGCCUUCAGGUUGCAAAGGAGAAGGUGGAUGUUGAGGUGUGAGUUCUAUUGUACUGUCAUGUUCUUCUAGGAUCUGUAGUGCUGAAAAGUGGGACCAUCUGGGAUGGCAGUGACUGCAGCCGCCUACAGUUCUAGACAAAUGGGUAAUUUCUUAAAGAGCCCUUCUGAUGAGCAGAAAAACUUCAGGCUUGUUAGCUAAAGUGUCAUUUUCAGAUACACGUGGAAAGAUCAUGGCAGGUGGUGCAGUGGGGGGCCGAAUUGGAGAGGCUGAUCCGUCCAUUGGGUGCUCAGCAAAUGAAAACCAAUGAUGUCUGUCUGCUGGUGGUUGAGGGAUUUCCCUUCCAUGGGGACAAAUGAGGAUUAAAAAUGGGAGCAUCUUCCUUCUGGCUUGUGCUUUUUUUUUUUUUUUUAAGGAUUGAGAACACCUGGACGGUUUGCUUUUUAAAAACCAUUGGCUGGAUUUUGAUAAUUUUUCCUCAGAUCCUAGAAUUUGAGGAAUGACAGGGAAUGACUGUUGUUAGGAUGUAUACAGUCUAUCUGGAGGUCGGAGCCUGAGAUGAAAGGGAAUUUACGCUUAUUGAGCCAACCAGCUCCCUCCAAAAGUUAAAGCCAGUUUGAGGGGGCUGAGUAAUUUACACAUUUUCCCAACACAGCUGCCUGCUUUUCAGUUUUCCAUCUGUGAGCUGGAAAUGAUGGGAAUGAUCAAAUUUGCCAACUGAUUGUCUUCAAGGAUGUGAUUGUAGUGGGACAAGCCGUAGGAUGUUCGUGUAGCCGUUAGUAUACUCUAUUAAAUGGGGUGCACUCACAGAUUAAAUUUAAGGUCUUUUUUUUUUCCCUUUUGCAAAAAAAAAAAAAAAAGUGCCAUCUGAUUCACAGUCAAACUGGGAACAGAAAAUCACCUUGAAGUAAAUGUUCCUUGUUCUUCAGAGAAUGCUUGAGUAGGCUCCCAUGGUUAUGUAAAUGUCAGAGGAGUAGGCCUCCUGUUCCCUAGAGAAGGGUAUAACAAGAUGUGUGUGCUUUGAAAAGGUUGCCUCUUGUCUCCUGGGAGGAAUUGGUGGUGCAGGGCAGUGGGGCGGGCAGUGUGUUGCAUGCGUUGUGUGGUCAAGUGAGAUGAAAAAUUAAUUCUGUGCCUCUGGGAUUUGGUUGAUCACUCCCCUUAUCCCAAACCCCUGUGUUACCUUGACUUUCGUGCCCACACACUCCUGCUUUUUUUCCUCCUUCACUGGUUGCCUUUGCCUCCUCCCCUUUGCAAGAACAUGCUUCUCCCCCUGUUCUGUUGCGUUUCCUCCAGGGCUUGGUCCUGCUAAAGUUUAAUUUUUCCAAAAGGUAAAAUCGAAAGUCUUACACAAAUAUAGAGGGAACACAUCAAAGACGUUAUGUAACUCAUCAACAAAGAAAUCUUAACAAAGAUGUUAAGAAUCAGAUCAAAGGACAAUUGAAAGCACAGACACAUAGGUUCUCGGAAUACUGAACUAAAUUUGCUAACAGAUGCAAAAUGGUUAGUAUUUCAUAGAACAAUAAAAUAUAAUUCUUGGGGGUCAUUGUUUCUACCAGGUUAAAAAUCAACAAGGUAUCUAUAUGAGGACAAAAAUCCAUUCGCAGUGCUAUGGACAACAAUCAUCUGCAUUUCUAUCAGUUUUCUACAAAUUAACUUCUAUCCCUAGAGAAUUGUAAAUAACUUUAGCCAACAGGAAGACAGUCAAUGGUGCAUAGAUCUGUAGAAUAAGAACUUCCCGAGGAUGUGACCAGAACUCUCAGUAAUCUCUAUUGCCCUUGAUCAAGUUUUUGACAGUUUUUUUUUUCCUGAGCUCUCUAGCCACUCUAUACCCUGGGCAAUCUCACCUAAACCGUGUCUUCAAUUAACUCCAUUAACAGCUGACUUAAGUUUAUAUCUUCCUUCUAAUUCUCUCAGCUCUAAACCCAUGUGUGUAUCCAACAACUUGUCUUAGACGCUUUGGGAGCAAAGAGAGAAGGAAAUCUGUGUAAGGUAUUUUAGCUUGUUAGAGGAGCAGAAAUCUGAACUCCACGUUUUCCAGUUUCAGAACUGGAACCCAAAGCCUCCAACAUUGACAGGAGGAUGUCAUUUUGGAGGUGCCCAAACUUCAGGGGCUGGAACCUCGGUGGUGGUUCUCGUCUCCUUCUGUCUUAAGGACAGAGGGGGUUUUCCUCUGGGAAGCAGGAGGCUGGAGGCACCGACCUCAUCCUUUUUCUAGCUGAGUUACGGAUAAACGUCAGUGCUGCUGCCUGCCCACGGUGAGUGUGGCUGCUUCCUGUGAUGAAGCAAAGGUUGGUGAUCACCCUUUAUUACUGUUGGGUUUGAGAGGCUGGGGGAUUCCCAUGUUGUACCCUUGAUCUAGCUAUCUCCUAUUUUCCUCUACAAAAAGGAGGCCUCCAGCAGGGGCUUUGGUGGGUAGGGGGUUGGAUUUUUCCCAGAGGGAUGCUGUCCAGAUUUUCUGGUGGUUUUCUACAUCUGCUGCUUUGCCCUGUGGACCGUGGUUUCCGCUGUCCUCUGCCUUGAACUCAUCCCUCCUUCAGCGUCCACGGUUCCCUUUCAAGCCCCAGCAGUCCCUGACUGGUCUCCAAGUUUAGCAACAAAGUUUGUCCUCUGCAGUUUGUCCUUAUUCCUUCCUCUGUGGUCUCUUUUUCUUCUCUUUCUGACUUUCCAGGCUUGAACCUAGAGAUGUUCAAUCUGCUCAGAUGAAAACAAAUGACGGGGAGGUGAGGAUAGCCAGUAGCCAUUACCCUUGCUCAAUGGAGCAGAGCCUGUGGUGGAAGAGUUGAUUUCCGCCUGGUGAAAGGAAUGUGGGGAAUAUCCUUAUGUGUGUGUGUUUGGGGGGGGGGGCCGCCAGGGAGCCCUGUGGGAGGCCAGCUCUAGCCACUUGCUGAUUCUUUACUCUUUUCUCUGCCAGGGAGCCACCAUUUAUGCAAUCCCUGCUCUGGCAAAGGCCAUCUCAGGAGGUGCUUGCUCUACCGGGAGGGCAAAUGGAGAUGGGCUCACUUGGCCUGAGCAUUGGUACAGAUACUAGGGAAACUGUAUUUGGUUGAACCUGGCAUUCCCCAACACGGGAAUGUUCUUAACAUAGUAAAGUUCUGGAUGGCAAACCCUCAGGAAAAGAGAACUGCUACUGAGGGGGUUGAGGGUUAGGACUGAGAGGUGCACUUACCCUGUCCCCAAUAGUUCAGUUACCAACCAUAUUUAGAUAUGGGCUCUGCACGGUUUUGUCAAGGGAACAUGUUGCCUUCAUUAUCCUUAAAUCAACUGCAGAUCCCACCUUAGCUUCGGAAGGGUGGCAGGGAGAAGUUAUGAGAAGCAGCCUUUGCCCAGAUGAUUCUUCUCCCUGGAUUUCACAGCCUACCCUGAAUUGUGCCUGGGGUGGGGCUGUGGGGUUGCAGGGGUGGGGGUGGGGGUGGGGGUGGNUCAGAGAAUCCUAUACAACUCCUUUCAACUCCUGCUACUCUGAAAGGAAGGAAAAAAAAAAAAAAGGAACCCUGCAAAUAGCACUUUUUUUUUUUUGGAAGUCUUUUUCCCUUUCUGUUCAAUCAGAACUGUCUAAAACCACUUUCUAGUUUAGAUGUCAUUACCGUUUGGUGUGGAACUUCAAACAUGAAUACCUUAGAAACUGUCUAUAGUUCUCUUGAAUUAAGAAAAAAAUAAGAGAACGUUCUUUUCAAGGGUCUUUCUCUAGGAACAAGGUGAACAUAUCCCUUGUAGACCGAUUCCCUCGCUUUCCAGGUCACUUUCCUCUGGUUGUAGUUGAUGAAAGGGGGACUUUAAAAAUGGUUAUUAUUAAACUGAGGAAAAAUCCACAUAUAGAAUUUAUGCUUUUCAGUGUACAAUUGUUUCUUAGUGUAGUCUCAAAAUUGUGCAACCACCAUUAUUACUAAUUCCAGAACAUUUCUGUCACCUGCCAAAGAAGCUCUGUACCCAUUACCAGUUACUCCCCCUACCUCUUUUUCCCCAGCCCCUGAAAACCACUGUUGUAUUUUCUAUCUCUAUGGAUUUUCCUUUUAUGGACAAGUGCCCCCUCCUCCAGCUCCUGGCAACCACUAUUCUAUUUGUUGAGUCUAUGAGUCUGGCUGCUUUAGAUAUUCCAUGAAAAAGGUAACCUGCAGGAUUUGUUUUACUGUGACUGGCUUAUUUCAUGUAGCAUAAUGUCCUUACUUUCUGUUUUAGUCAGCUUUUUUUUUUUUUUUUCCCACUGCUGGGACUAAAAGGGCCUAACCAGAACAACAGUAGAGGAGGAAAAGUUUCUUUGAGGGCUCAAGGUUUCAGAGGUCUUAGUCCAUAGAAGGCCAGCUGCAUUCCUCAGGUGAGGCAGAACAUCGUGGAAGAAGAAUGUGGCAGAGGAAAGAAUGUGGCUCAGAAAGAAGAGAGAGAGGGAGACUCCAUUUGUCAGAUACAAAAUAUAUACCCCAAAGCCAUGCCCCCAAUAUUCCACCUCCUCAAGCCACACCCUACAAGCCUUCAGUUACCACUCAGUUAAUCCCUGUCAGGGGAUUAAUUCACCAAUUGGGUUAAAGCUCUCAGAACCCAAUCAUUUCUUCUCUGAACUUUCUUGCAUGGUCUCACAAGUGAGCUUUUGGGGAACACCUCACAUUUAAACCAUAACAAUGUUCAUGCAUAUCAUAACACAUGACAGGAUUUCCUUUUUAUGGCUGAAUAAUAUUCUACUGUAUAUAUAUGACAUAUUUUGUUUAUUCAUUCAUCCUCUGAUGGAAAUUUAGGCUGUCUCUCUACUCUUGGCUCUUAUGAAUAAUACUACAGUGAACAUUGAAAAAGCAGAUAUCUCUUCAGGAUUCUGAUGUCAAUUCUUUUGGUUAAAUAUGUGGAAGUGGAAUUGCUGGAUGGUAUGUUAGUUCUAGUCUUAAUAUUUUGAAGAAUCUCCAUGCCAUUUGCCAAGGUGGCUAUUCUAUUCUACAUUUCUACCAGUAAUGCACAAUAGUUUUGAUUUUCUCCACAUCAUCACCAACAAUUGUUUAUUUUGGUUUGUAUUUUUUGACAAUGGCCAUCCUACAGGUGUAAAGUAACCUUGCAUUGUGGAUUUGAUUUGCAUUCCCCAGAUAAUUAGUUGUUUUGAAUAUCUUUUCAGAUACCUUUUGGUUACUCCUGUAUCUUUUUUGGAGAAAUAUCUAUUUAAGUACCCAUUUUUUAUAUUGAGUUGUAAAUAUAUUUAGUUUCUUAUGAAUUUGGGGAAAUAGCUCCUUAUCAGAUACACAGAUGGCAAAUAUUAUCUCCUAUUCUGUAUAUUGUCUUUUCACUGUGUUUGUUAUUUCCUUUGCUAUGCUACACACAAUUUUUUUUUUAGUUUUGUGUUAGACCCACUUGUCUAGAUUUUGCUAUUGUUUCCUGUAUGCUUUUGGUGUCAUAUCCAGGAAAUUAUUGCCAAGACCAGUGUCAAGAACCUUUUCCCCUAUGUUUUCUAUGAGCAGUUUUAUAACUUUAGGUCUUAUGUUUAAGUGUUUAACUCUUUUCUGUUGGUUCUAUCUUGUAUAUGGGGUAAGGAUGCAAGUUUACUCUUGUAGUUACUUAGUUUUCCUAAUACAAUUUAUUGAAGAAAUUAUCCUUAUCCCAUUGUGUAGUCUUUGCCCCCUUAUCAAAAAUCAUUUGACCAUAUACAUUGGUUUAUUUCUGGCCACUCUGCUGUUCCAUUGGUUUUUAUGUCUGCCUUUAUGCCAAUACCAUAAUGCUUUGAUUAUUGUAGAUUUGUAAUAUAUUUUAAAAUCAGGAAUCAUGAAAUGUAUUUUUAGGGCCUUAUUUAUUUUUUUUAGUUGUCCAGUUUGUUGGUGUAUACUUGUUUACAGUAAUUUCUUACAAUUCUUUUAAUUUUUGUGUCAUCAAUUGUAAUCUCUUCCCUUUCUUUUCUGAUUGUGUCUUUUUCCUUAGUUGAGCUAACUAAUGAUUUUUCAAUCUGUGAAUCUUUUAAAAAAUAACUCUUUGUUUUGUUGGUUUUUAAUGUUGUCUUAUUUUCUCUAAUUUUUAAAAUUUUGGUCUAAUCUUAUUUCCUUCUUACUAAGUCCAAGGGUAGAAGGAUCACCAGUGUGAGAUCAGCCUCAGCAGUUUACCAAGACUCUGCCUCAAAAUAAAAAAUAAAAGGAGUAGCUGGUAUUACAGGUGUGCAUUACCAUGACCGGCACUUGCUGUCUCCAUUGAUUUCAUUCAUUGUUUCAUUGAUUUUUUUUGUUGUUGUUGUUUUUGUUGUCAACAUGCUUUGAUCCAUUUCUCAUUUUCUUUUGUGUAUUUUAUGUAUUUUACUUUGUAGUUAUCAUGGGGCUUACCCCAACAUCUUACAUUUAUUUUUAAGCUAAUGAUUUAACUUUAAUCUCAUACAAAUACUGCCCAUACUGUUAGAUGGGUAGGUACACAAAUAACAUGAAAAAGCAAGGGAACAAAUUGCCCCAAACAAAGGAAGAUACUUCAGUAACAGAAUCCAUUGCCACCACGUUGGAAGAAAUGUCAGAGAAGGAGUUUAGAAUGUAUAUAAACUAAUCUGCAAUGUAAAGGACGAUGUAAGAAGUGAUAUCAGAGAGAUAAUACAGGAAGUGAAAGAUUACUUUAAUAAAGAGAUAGAGGUUCUAAAAAAAAUCAAGCAAAAAUCCUUGCAAUGAAGGAAUCUAUAAACCAAAUUAAAAUUUCAAUGGAAAGUAUGACCAACAGAACAGACCACUAAGACAGAACCUUAGGCAAUGAUGAUAAAACAUAAUCUUGAAAAUAAAGUUGACCAUGGACAAAAGAUGUUAAGAGACCAUGAACAGAACUUCCAAGAAAUAUGGGAUAACCUGAAAAGAUAAAAUUUAAUAUUUAUUGUGAUAGAUGAAGUCUCAGGCAUACAAAUCAAAGGAAUGCACAUGUUUUCCAAUGAAAUAAUACCAGAAAAUUUCCUAAACCUAAAGAAUGAAAUGGAAAAUCAGAUACAGAAGGCUUACAGGACCCCCAAUAUACAAAAUUACAACAGACCCAAAUAUACAACAUUACAACAGACCCAAAUGUACAAAAUUACAACAGUCCCACACCAAGGCACAUUAUUAUGAAAAUACCUAACAUAUGGAAUAAUAAAAUUUUAAAGGCUGCCAGAGAAAAGUGAUAAGUCACAUUUAGAGGGAAACUAAUUUGGAUCUCAGCUGAUCUCUCAACCCAGACCCCCAAAGCUAAGAGAUCUUGAAAUAAUAUACACCAAGUUCUGAAGGAAAAUGGAUGUCAGCCAAGAAUACUAUACCCAGCAAAAUUAAGCUUCAGAAUUGACAAUGAAAUAAAAAUCUUCCAUGACGAACAAAAAUUUUAAAAAUUCACAACUAGAAAGCCUGUUCUAUAAAACAUACUUGAUAAAAUAUUUCAUGAAAAAUAGAAGAGAAAAGAAAGUGGCUGCUGUAUUAUAUUGGUGCAUCCUUCUCCUGCUGUAUGUGAGGCCUGAUAUGGCAGCUUAACUCAAAUGUAGUGCAUGUGGAGAAGAGAGGACAAAAAUGCAUGUAAUAUUAUAACUUUUGUGAUAAGAAAAAGCACUUGAAUUGAGUAGAAACUCAUUUUUUAAAAAAAUGUUUAAAGUAAAGAAGGUAGAGAAUCAAAAGCAGAGACUCCUUGAAUUAUUUCUGUUUAUCUGCAAAAUGGAUUUUUAUAUCUAUGUUGGAGAGGAGGCCUAUGAUCUGGGAAUUCUCAGAAUUUCAUGCAUAACAAUGAAACCAAACCCUGCACACAUUGUCUCCAGUCUGAAACUUCAGCCCUUCCAGCUUCCUCCUUUAUGCUGUUGAAAUGCUUCAACCUCUUUUCACUCAGGGAUGGGGACUUAAGAUAAAAGUGAUUGAUUGGUAGCCUAGAAACACAGUAUCUCCCACUUGCUCACAGAAGAACACAUGGCCUUUAAACUACCCUGGAAAUCACCUUCUUGCCUCUGAACAAGGUUUCCUGUUUGCCUGACUCCUGCUUGGGGAAGAAUGGAGAAAGAGGGAAUAGACUAUCUUCCAGAAGCAAAAUCUCACUUCCUUACAACUCCAUCCUGUGGGAUGGCCCCCUGGACCUACGUACGUAUGAAGUAGUUGAGGAUAUUUGGUAUUAUCUGAAAUGAGUUAGUUCUGGUAUGUUAAUUUCUCCACCAUUGGAGUUUUCAAUGUGAUUGUUAGUUGGCUGAAUUACUGAAGAAAUAUACCUGCAGCCUGUUGUAUAAUUAUCUCAGGAAUUAUAAAGGCAAUAAAUGCAUGAUUGUUUUUUAUGAAUACAUUAAAGCAGAGAUGUGUAAUUGGCACUUUAAUGAUCUAGUGGCAGCAGAUUAUAUAUUAAUGUGAUUACAAAAUGAUAAUUGCUUUUGGCAAUUAAUUGGCAUCACCUUUCAGUAGCCCUUUCAGUACAUUGUCAGGGACUCUCAUUGCCAAUAAGAAAAAGGAUCCUGCAAGGCUCUGGGGGGAGCUCUGGGGGAAGAAUAAGUUAAUUACUUAACAAAACAAGUGGUUGAUCUUUAUAUUCUCAACCAACGAGUCUUUGGGGUUUAAUAACAGCAGUAACAUACUAUAUCUUUUUUCCUGAGUGGUGCCCAAAUGAUGUAUAAACUUUUUGUAAUGUAAUUACCACCCAUAAAUCACUUCAUUUUUGAAAUAUGGUGGCUUCUGAGAAAAUGAGAUUGCUUUUUACAGUCUCAUUAAUUUAAGAAGAAAAGAGUAGAAAAAAAAUUCUUGCCUCUAAUAGAAAGGCAGGUAAGGAUGGGAAGCUGAUUUGGUUACAUGUUACCGGCAAACUGACUGAAAAACAAACAAUGGCAUUAUAUGUAUACUUGAGCGUUCGCAAAGCAUUUCACAUAUACAAAUCAAUUUAAUUCUUACAGCUUUGUGUUUUGGUAGCAGUGUGUUUAUGCAAAUUGUUCUAGAAAAUGUCUCCAAACAUAAAUUUAUAUCUUUUUUUUAAAAAAAUCUUUUUGGCGGUUCUAGGGAUCCAACCAGGGCCUUGUGUAUGCUCUACCACUAAGCUACAUCCCUAGCCUCCAAAACAUAAAUUUGAUGCAUUGUCUCAACAUUCUAAGACUCAACCAGGAGAAUUUUCUGUAGCCUUUCUAUAUUUGCUAGGGCAUUCGACUUGCUUUUCACUGAUUAAAAAUAUUAAUAAUCAGUAUAUAAAAACAAAUAUUCCUGCAAAGUUUUGAUUAAAUAGUCACAAUCAUUGAUAGGUAAACUGAUGUUGAAAUUGGUAAUUGAAACAUUACUCUGUAGUCUGUUGCUAUCUUAUCCUAACCCAAUCUGUUGCUAUUUAUAUUGUCUGUAUUGACUUUUACCACAUGCCUCCUGUUCUAUCCUGAAACUGAAUAAUGAGAUUAAGCAUCUCUCAAUAAUGAGAGCAGACACUAUAUUGACUGAUUUCUAACUGCUCAGCUUUAUCUUUGAUUUUUCUUUUGCAUGUAUCUCAGUCUCUAAACAGUUCUUUCUGCAUUUUAAUAUCUGGCACCAGAAACUGUGUUGUAAAGCAACUGAGAACACUGGCAGAGUAAGAGCUGAAGUUGAGGUCACCCCACCGAAACAUUAAAUCAUUUAUUUGAAAAAGCUAUCUUUUGGGGCCAGAGCAAUAGUUCAGUGAUAGCCUCUAGGUGCAAGCUGAGGGACACUCCUAUCUGGAAUUGUGAUUCCAAAUGCUGAGUUAAUGCAUGAAAGCAGUCCUUUAUGUUUUUGAGUUCUUGGUUGCAGAGUGAAUAUUUAUGACUCUAGAGACACAUGUAACACUCAUUCAUUUAUUCAUUUUCACAUUCAACAAUUAUUUAUUAAAUGCCUAUGAUGUUUCAGACACUGUAUUACCUAGUGGGCAUGCAGAAGUGAGCAAAACUGACAAGAUCUUCACCUUCACAGGGAAUAUAGCAGAAAGGAGGAGACAGAGGGCCCCAGAUGAAGUGCCCCCCCCAUAUCUAUGUCUUUCCUUUUUUCUCCCACCUUCCCUCCCAUCUAUCCCUCUUUCUUCUCCUUUCCUGCCUCUCUUCCCUGUCUUCCUUUCUGCAUCUUUCCCAUAGGGUUCCAAAAAUUAUUGUCAGUAUAAUACAGAGCUGAUAUCACUAGUUUAUUAGAUAAUGCUAAUUUGAAAAUGUGAGAUAAAGUCCCAGGGACCUGCCAUAUAUUAGUCUAGCUCACCUUCUUUUUGUGAUGGUUUUUAGGUGUCUGGUAGUAUUAAAUACCCCCAGGAGAAGCAUUAGUGUUUAUGAAUACCUUUUUCUAGCUCUCACUUCCCUCUUCUUCAAUUAUUUUUAUGAACAAUGAAUAAAGAGAAAGGCCAGUAUCUAUUCUACUGAAUAAGUAUCAUUUAUUAAAUUACUGUGUGCCAGAUAAUUUCUAUAGAUAAUUCUGAUUUCUCACAGGAAACCAUUGAGUGGCAUUGUUAUCUUUUUAUAGAUGAAGAAGUCGAAGUUGAGCAAGGUUUGGUAACUGGCCUAGGGUCUUACAACUUGUAGGUGACAGAGCUGAGGCUACAUGAGAGGACAUGAGAGGACAUGAGAGGACAAAGCCCUUGUUGCCUUCUCUAGUUCUUACUGCUUCUAGAGCCCUGAAGUGCCCUUAUAUCCUUAAUAUCCUCUGCCUGAUAUUUAUUUAGACUCUCCUUGUUUUCUUUAAGUAAGGAUAUAGACAGUGGAGACUUUUCUUUUUCCUCUGUCUACAAGACUGCUUUUGCUACCUUUCUGUUUAUUUCAUUUAAAUUGGUUUCUAGAAAGAGUUUUAGUUUUGACUUGGUUCUAAUCAUGAUACACAGUUUGAUUAUAUCUUCCAACCAAUUUAGAAAAAAAAAAAAGGAAACUCCCUUUUUCUGGGAUAACAAAGCAGAUGACCCCAUCAUUAAAGUGUAUUAAGAGCACGGAGUCUCUUCGAAGAUUGCAUCUUCACAUAGCAUUAGCAGCUACUUUUGCAGGUAGUAAAAAAUGAGGUGCAAAGGCAUAAACAAAUUCAUUUUGUAUUACUCAGAGUUAAAGAUUAGUUCUAAGAGUAAUAAAGAUUGUUUGGUUAGGGCCAUCAUGUGAAGAUAAUCAUUUUAGCAGAAAGAUUGUGUGGGUUAUGCCGGUGCCUUUUGAAAUUCUACCCAUCACUUAGCAUUUCUUAGAAGGUGGUCAUAGGGCAUUUGCAAAUAAAUAUCAGUGGCUGCACAUUUUAUUUUAGGCACACUAUUUGCUUACCACGAAAAUGGAGGCUUUAACUUGACUUUGAAGUCCGUUUAGCUCGAAAACUGUAUUUCUAAUGGAAUCAAAGCUUUUAACUAUUGACACAUUGUCUUUGGUUGCUUUUAUGCAUUCUUGUGAUAGCUUUUCAGAAGGUCCAUGUGUAGCAAACCCUAGUGUUAGUAUAUAAGGGUUUUUAGGAGUUAGAAUUAAUUGCUAGGGUCUAAGUGAGACACAGUGCUCAUUUGCUAGGGCUUCAAGAUUUGUCUGGAAGCUCAAGGUUAAAUGAAAUUGCUUAUGGUCACAAUUACAAGCAAUGGUGUUUUCAAAUGCACACGCUGGAAGGAGUCUACUGAAAAAGCUGUGGAGACUUUUGGAAUAUUUGGUAAAUAUGAAACAUUUGUUCAUUGAUUUAUUAUUUCAAUGAUUACUGGAUGCUUAUUGUGUACCUCUUUAGAGAAACAGAAUAAUCAUGACGUUAUUUCUUCUGAAACAUUUUGUGAAAGUCACAGUAAAGCCCUCUGGACCUAUGGGUUUUUUCCAUGGGUUAAUGUUAUUUACAUCAUUCAUUCUUUGAUCCAUUGAUAUUUACAAGUUUCCUUCUUGAUAUCCUAAAAUAGAGAUUUGAUUUUCUAGUUAUCUAGCUUGAUUCCACUGAAGUGAAGCAAUAUACUCUGCUCUGAUUUUGAUUUUUUUAAAAAAAUAUGUUGAGACUUCCUUUAUAGCUCCAAAUAUUGCAAUUUUGGAAAAUGUUCUGGGUGUUUUCACAUAGAAUAUGUAUUCUGCAGUCAUUAAAUGCAGUUUUCUCUAAUAUAUGUCAAUCAUGAAAAGUUGUUAGUUGUGUUGGUUGGAUCUGUGCCUCUAAUAAUUUUUUUUAAAUAUUUAUUUUUUAGAAGUAGUUGGACACAAUACCUUUAUUUUAUUUAUUUAUUUUUAUGUGGUGCUGAGGAUCGAACCCAGGGCCUCACACUGCUAGACGAGUGCUCUACUGCUGAACCACAAUCCCAGCCCCUCUACUAAUUUUUUUGACUGUUUGUUUUAGUUAUGAGAGAGGUGUAAUUUCCCACUGCAGUUGUGAAUUUGAACAUUUCUCUUUCUGUUUAUUUUUGCUUUCUAUAUUUUGUGGCUGUGUUGUAAGAUGCAAGCAAAUUUAGCAUAGUUAUAUCUUUUUGGUAUAUUAACAUUUUUAUUAUUAUGGAAUGUUUUCCCUCAAUUCUAAUACUGUUCUUGUUCUAUAUGGCUACUGCAGCUUUUUUUGUUUGUUUAGUGUUUUUAUAAUAUAUUUUUUCCUAUCGUCUUGCUUUCCACCUUCUGUAUUAUAUUUAAAUGCACCUCUUUAAUCAGUGUGUGUGUAUGUAUUUUAAAAUUUUAAUCCAGCCUUAUAAUCUAUUUUUAACUGAAAUAGUUGGUGCAUUUACAUUGAAGGGAAUUACUGAUGUAUUUGUGUCUAUAUUUGUCAUCUUACUAUUUGCUUUUUAAAAAAUUUGUUCUAAUUAUUUAUACAUGGCAGUAAAAUGCAUUUUGACACAUCACACAUAAAAGGAGUAUAACUUAUUCUUCCGGUUGUAAAUGAUGUAGAAUCACACAAGUCGUGUAGUCAUAUAUACACAUAAGGUCAUAAUUUCUGAUUCAUUCUACUAUCCUUCCUACCCCCAUACCGUCUCCCCUCUCUUCCCUCCCUUAUGUCAAAUCCAAAGUACCUCUGUUCUUCCCUAGCACCACACCCCAUUGUGAAUUAGCAUCUCUAAAUCAGAGAAAACAUUCAGCCUUUGGUUUUGGGGGGGGGGGGACUGGCUUAUUUUGCUUAGCAUGAUAUUCUCCAGCUCCAUCUAUUUAUCAGUAAAUGCCAUAAUUUCAUUCUUUUUUAAGGCUGAGUAAUAUUCCAUUGUAUGUGUAUACCACAUUUUCUUUAUCCAUUUAUCUGUUGAAGGGCACCUAGAUUGGUUCCAUAGUUUAGCUAUAAACAUUGAUGUGGCUGUGUCACUGUAAUAUGCUGAUUUUAAGUUCUUUGGGUAUAAACCUAGGAGUAGGAUAGCUGGGUCAGAUGGUGAUUCCAUUCCAGGUUUUCUGAGGAAUCUCCAUACUGCUUUCCAUAAUGGUUGCACCAAUUUGCAGUCCCACUAGCCAUAUAUAAGUGUACCUUUUUCAAAAAAGGUAUGUAUUCAAUCUAAAACCUUCUUCUCAGCAAAGGAAAUGAUCAAUAAAGUAAAGAGAAAGUCUACAGAAUGGGAGAAAAUCUUUACCACAUGCACUUCAGAGCAUUAAUCGCCAAGAUAUAUAAAGAGCUCAAAAAACUUAACACCAAAAAACCCACAAAUGACACAAUUAAUAAAUGAGCAAAGGAACUAAACAGACACUUCACAGAAGAAGAAAUAUAAAUGGUCAAAAAUAUAUGACAAAAUAUUCAACAUCUCUAGCAAUUAGAGAAAUGCCAAUCAAAACUACUCUAAGAUUUCAACUCACUCCAGUCAGAAUGACAAUUAUCAAAAAUACAAGCAACAAUAAAUGUUGGCAAGGAUGUGGGGAAAAGGUUCACUUAUACUUUGACAUUUGCAUUUUAUUUGUCUCACCAAUUCUUUGUUCUUUUAAAAACCUCUCCUUUUUUUUUUUGUCUUUGGAUUAUUUCCUGUUAUUUCAAGUUAAACAUUAUCUUACCAUUCUUCUAUUGGUUACCUUAAGGAUUUUAUCAUGUAUCCUAAACUUAUUAGUCUAAUAUGUAUUAGUACUUUUUCCUCAAACCAAAUAAUGCAAAAAAUUAGAAUAGUGCUGCUCAAAUUGUUGUUCUUUGAUCAGCUCCUGGUCCACAGACUGUUUCUAACAGAAUAAAAGAUUGUAUAAAAGCCUUUAACUCUUGAUAAAUUGCCUUUGGUUGCUUUUAUGCAUAUUUGUGAUAGUUUUCAAUGAGCUAAAAAGCUUGAACCAGAGUGUAAGUUAACUAUAUCACUAAGCAUACUAUUUAUUUCAAUGACAUUGAAAAAAUGUAGUUUAUAUAUUAUAUAUUUUGUGUAUACAUGUGCACACACUCAUGUAUUUUUUUCUUUAAGCUGGGGAUUGAACUCAGGGCCUCACUAAUGUUAGGCAUGUACCCUAGCACUGUGCUAUACCCUGAGACCAAAUGAUUCAUUUUCUAACUAAAGGAAGUAUUCAUGGAUAUACAUUAUGUAGCAAAUUCCUUAUUUUGCUAUGAAAUGAGGUUUUUAGUAGAAAUGUCUGAGAACACUGUGGCACUAUUUAAAUCAACUCUCAUAAACAGAAAUACUCUUUUGUCAAAUAUUAUGAUUCUCUCUAUAUUUUGAAGUGCAUGAGACAUUAUUAUUGUGGUUUUAUACAGCCAACCUAUUUCAUAUUUACCCACAUAUAUAACCUUUCUUUAUGAUUCAUUCCUUUUUGCAUCUCUAAGGUAUCAUAUGGGACCUUCUGCUUUUAAAAUACUCUUUAGUGAGUUUAGUGUCAGAUUGUCUUUGUUUUUAUUCAUCUGAAAAUAUUCAGUUUUCUUCAUUUUUGAAGGAUGAUUCCUAAGUACCAUUCUAAGCUGAAAUUAUUUUCUUUCAGCACUAUUUUUUUUUAGUUGUAGUUGGACACAAUACCUUUAUUUUAUUUAUUUUUAUGUGGUGCUGAGGAUGGAACCCAGGGCCUUGCACAUGCUGGGAAAAUGUUCUACCACUGAGCCACAACCCCAGCCCCUUCUUUCAGCACUUUUAAGACAGCAAUCCAUUGUAUUUUGGCUUCCCUGGUUUAUAAGCUGCUAAACUGAUAAGUUCUCCUGUGAAAGUAAUAAACUCCCCUCUCCCAGUCUUUUUUGUUUUUUGGUACUGGGGAUUGAACUCGGGGGCACUCAACCACUCAACCACGUCUCCAGCCCUUUUUUGUAUUUUUAUUUAGAGACAGGGUAUCACUGAGUUUCUUAGGACCCGCUAAGUUGCCGAGGCUGGCUUUGAACUUGCAAUCCUCCUAUCUCAGCCUCCUGAGACACUGGUAUUACAAGUGUGCACCACUGUGCCUGGCUCACCCAGGCAUUUGUAACACUUUCUCUUGGUCUGUCUACCAACUCUAUUAUUUGGAUCCUUUAAGUGUCUAUUUUUAUAGUUUGUUGUUUCUCUUAGUUUUUGGUCAUGUUUCCCUGAUUCCUUAUAUGCAUGGUUAUUUUAGAGUAUGUUCCAAAUAUUAUAUAUGAAAAUUAAAAAUAUUAUUUGAGGCCUAUGAUACUUUUACCUUCCUUUAAAGAAGGGACAUGUUUGUUUCUAGAAGUUACUGAUUGGAGUAACUGAUCUCAACAGGGAUUGAGAAGAUUGGGACUUCAGUUUCUACAAAAGAUGGCUUUAUCUUCUUUACCUUUACUUUUAGGUAUAUCACCUGUGUGAUUACAGAUAAAGGAAGGUAGAAUUCUGGAGGUGGAAUUCCUUCUUUCUCAGAGGACCUCUGUCUUUUCUCUUAAGGUCUCCAACAGAUUGAGUGAGGGCCACCCACAUAAUGGAAGGUGGUCUGCUUUACUCAAAGUCUAUUAAGUUAUGCCAAUUUCUUCUUAAAAAAUCAAAUCAAAACAAAACAAAACAAAAAAACCCCUUCACUACAACAGCUAUACUGGUAUUUGGCAUAGUAUCUAGGUACAGUGGCCUGGUCAAGUUGUCACAUAAAUUAACCAUCUGUUCUUUUCUCUGCAUCUCAGUCAUUUCUACAUGAACUGGUAAUUUUCCCAGGAAGAAGAGACCCCAGAUGUCAUCUAUCUUUCUUUUCUUAAGUCUUGGUCUCAUAAUUAUUUUCCAUCUUAGUUCUCUGAUGCCCUCAAACAGAUUUUGAAAUGUUUUCUCAGCUAUUCUAGUUGUUCUCAGUGAGCUAGUCUGAUUAAUCUAGCUUAUCAUUGCUAGAAGUUAUUCUCCUGGGAUAAAUGACUGUCCUUCUUGAACAAAAUGUUUGCAUUAAAUCAGGGGAGGAUUCAGUUUUGCUUUUUUUUUUUUUGAGGCACCUAAAAUUAUAGGAAAGUGAUUGGAUUAAACAAAUCUAGAAUGAGGAAGAAAGAUCUCUGUAGGGAAGAAUUUUAGCAUUAUACAGAUAACAUUUAAAAUGAUGAGAAUGAUUGAAAUUACCUAGGGGAAAAUUGAAACAGAAGAAUAAAAAGGGACUGAAAAACUCUUCUUAAGAAUUCAACAAUUAGACAUCAGUUAACAUAGAAGAAGAGGCCCAGGUGAAAACUUGGAGAGGGUUGUCAGAAUAAGAGUAUGGUGUCAUAAAAGGAUGGGGGAAGAGGGAGAAGGAGAGGAAGAGGUAGGGAGAGGGAGAGAGAGAAAAAAAAGAAAGAGAGAAUCAGUGAGGGGGAGAGAGAGAGAGAAGUAGAGAAUGAUCAAAUAUGAUUUAGGUGAUGAAAAGUCUGACAAAAAAAGGGCCUAAAAAGUUUCUGAGUAUUUGAGCCUCAGAAAUCUUCUAGAGAGACUUGAUAAAUGGCCAUACUUGUGCAGUAGUGUGGGUGGACAGCCUCAGGAAGAGUGAUUCAGGGAUGUGGAGGCCUGCCCAGCAGCAAUCACCCUGGUGGCUUUCAAUCUCUAAUCUGAUAAUGAGUUCUCUGCUACCUCAACCUGAAAGGCUUAUUUGAAACCUGUGCUCUGUCCUUUUGGCAAAUUAUUUAGGUAAUGCCUGUCAAGAGCAAAGAAGGAUAGUGGUGUUCCCACUCCUUUCUAAUACUUGCCAGCUCUUUAGGGGGCAAACCUGCACAUCUUCACUUGUCUAAACCUCCUGAGGUGAACUUGUACUGCUUGCCCCCACGGAACUCCAACUAGAUGCCUCGUCACAACCAGGAGGCAGUGGAAAUGCUGAUCUCUCUCUCUCAUCCUAAUGAUGUGUGCUUUUCCACAGCAAGUUUUUCCUAUUUUGAGAUCCCAGUGUAACUUUCUUUAGUCUUUGAUCCAGAGGAAAAUCAGGCUAAAGAGAGCCUAUUCUAGCUGCCAAUAUUUCAGAAAAGUCUAGAGUCAGAAAUUGGAAAAAGUGGCAAUAAUAUGCAUGACACAUCUUGCUAUGGUCUUCAUAUUUCUCUAGAAAAUGUUAAAGAAUGGCUGCUUCCCUGUGGCAAUGUGUUUGUACACUGGUGGUGAGUUCGACUAUAGCAAGAAGAGCAUCUGGGUAGUGAGGAAAGCAAUGAUCCCAAAGCCCAUUGCCUGGCAGAUAAGUAUGGUGUAAAACAGAAGUCUUCCUUCUGGGCCUAUUGACUUGGAACCAAGUGUAAAAUGAAUUUACUUAUUUCUUUAAUUUAUCUGACUUCUACUUGAUGAGGCAAGCAGAGCCCAGGAGUCAGGCAUGAAAUUAUAGCAAACUGCUUCACUCACUGAGGGUGUUUUAGAGAGAGACUAUUUUGCUGCAUUGGGGAAACUAUUUGGAUAUAGUUUAAGGCCCCAUUAAGUCUGGUCUUUAAUCAAUGCAGUCCCAGCCAAGCUACUCUACUCAUUUGGUGGAUCUUGAUGGCUAUUAAAAAGGCUGUACUCAUAUAUGGUAAUAACUUAUGAGUGAGAUUAAAUAAUUGGUUGAGUGAUUGGAAAGAUGAUAUAACUUUUUGGAAUGUGUUCAUUCUGUAUAAUUGAGUCACUUAGUCUCUCUGAUUUUGAUCUUAAAUUUAAAGUGGGGAUAAUAGUACUUAUUCUGCCAAUAUCACUAGGUUAUAAAGAAGAUCAAGCAGGAUGAUGUAAGGAAGGCCCUAGAUAAAUAUAGAACUUUGCUUACCAUAAUAUAUUCACUUUCUUUCUGGAACUAGUGACCGUGGCUUCUCCUCCAGUCAGUCACUGAGUGUUGGGAAGUCUCUAUGCCAUCACAACACCAUCCAGGACUUAUAACCACUCAGGGCUAUCAUUAACACUUGGGAAACUUUAAAAAGUACAAGUCCUGAGGAAAAUAGCCAAGGGAUUAAGCUGAAAAUGUCAUAGACAAUGCCUUAUAAUUUAUCAUUUUACUAUCUCAGAAGGAAAAAUAUAUUUUCAUUGGUUGGUGAUAGCCAUAAUAGACAACUCUGCCAACACCAAAGCAUGAAACAUAGCAGAGAGAGCAUAGAGAAGAGAUGUUUGUGUGUAUGUGUGUGUGUGUGUGUAUGUAUGUAUAUAUAUAAAGAGAGAGAGAGAGAGAGAGAGAGAGAGAGGAGAAGAAGGGGAAGGAGGAAGAGGGGAUGAUGAUGAUGAUUUAGGAAAGAAUAGCAUCAAGUUGCAACAACAAUUGAAAGUGUUGAUGAGAACAAAAAUAAGAACCUCUUGGGCUGGGGAUGUGGCUCAAGCGGUAGCGCGCUCACCUGGCAUGCGUACGGCCUGGGUUCCAUCCUCAGCACCACAUACAAACAAAGAUGUUGUGUCUGCCGAAAACUGAAAAAUAAAUAUUGAAAUUCUUUCUCUCUCUCUCUCUCUUUAAAAAAAAAUAAGAACCUCUGGAUAAGUGGAGGAAGAAAUUAUAAAGUUUUUAGAUUUGGAAGGACUCAGAGAUCAUUUAGUCCAGGAAUGGCAAAUUCACAGGUGAUAUGGGACAAAUUUCCCAUCUCACAUCCUUGGCAGAUCAUACUGAUCAAUCAUCAUACUCUUCCUACACAGUUAAGAUUAUCAAAGCAAAGCAUCAUCUUAAAGCUGAAAUGCUUUGUUAUGUGGGAAAGGGAGGUAUCUGACCUUCAGCUUAUUGGAACAGGGUGUGAAAGGGAUCAACAGAGCUCAUUCAGUAAUCUGAUUCUCCCCUGAUGAGGUGAACAUAGCUAGUAGUUCAGUCACAGAGAUGUAGGGAUUUGGUCCAACCAGAGGGAUCAAGAUAGUGGCCCCUGCAAAUUGGCUGGCAUGAGAGGUGAAUCUUAUUCAACCUUCCCACAUUACAAUUAGGAAACUAUGCUAUAGAGAUGUAAUAUAUCUUGUUCAAGUUCACACAAUUAGUCAACCAGGACUAAAACCCAAAUUUCUCAUUUCUAGUUGGAAACUCAUGACUAAUCUCCAUUUAGAACUAUUUUACUGAAGACUGAUUCCUGACAUAGUUGGGCAAAGUAGAGAAAGAACUAUUUUUAGAUUAGGGUUUAAUCCAAUGGAUAUUGAGUCAGGACUUUGAAGGUGAGUAUAUUAGUUUCCUGAGGCUGCUGUAAUAAACCAACACAAACUGGGUGACUCAAACAUCAUUUAAUGACAAUGUCUUGCAGUUUUGGAGGUUAGAAGUCUGAGAUUAGGUUGUUGGCAGGAUUUCCUCUGAAGGCUAUGAGCAUCUGUUCCGUAUCUCACCCCUAGUUUCUCAUGGCUUGCUGGCAAUUUUGGACAUUGCUUAGCUUGUAGACUAAUUACCUGAUGUCUGUCUUCAUGUUCAUGUGGUAUUCUCCCUGCACCCCUAUGUGUACCUUCAUCCACAUUCCCAUACUUUAUAAGGGCAAAGUUAUGUUGGAUUAAGGCCCAUCCUAAGAAUGUCAUCUUAAAUUGAUCAUCUACACAAGACCGUAUUUCUAAAUAAGGUCAGUCUGUGAUACUAGGACUUCAACACAAUCUAACCCUUAACAGUAAGGUUUAGUUUCUUCUAAGUGUUGGUUCUCUGUCUUUGGGAGCUAGCUAGAAUCUAGUCUAAUGGUUUCCUUAAUGAAGUUGCAUUUAGCAUUAGAGUUGAUUCUCAAGAAGUUGCCAGUAACAACCAUGCAAAUGAAUUCAUAAGCCAUUUUGAAUUCUGUGUUUAUUGUAUAAUGUGAAAAAUGCAUCUUACGGUGGUUUAGAGGAGGGGGAGGGCCAGAUGGAGGUGAUGCCCUGCAGCAGAGAAUGAGUCCAGUGAGCUUUGGAGUGAGGUUAUGAUAUUCUGUUGUUGAAAGAGUAGGCAAAACAACUGCAGGAUGAUCUCUUUUAAAGAUCCCAUGUUAAGAAAUUAAGAAAUGCCAGAAAUCUAUCAUAUUCUCUGCUAUUGGACAGAGCACAGAAGCACGUGAGGUGGUCAAAGCUCUCUGCUGCCUGAGAGCCUUCCUCACAAGAAAAAUAAAUGAGCUUUGUCUUUGGCGUUCAUUCUGUGCUUCCUAUCUUUUCUUCUCAGUUACUUGGCUCUAUGGUGGCACCUCAUUUCUACCUCCCUCAAACACUCAGGCUGGGUUUUGUUUUCUUCAUGAAGGCUGGUUUUAAGGGGAGUUCUAAAAUAUAUUUACGUUCAUUUAGACUAGUGAUAAGAGUGUAAAGUGGGCUCUGUUUUUGCAGGUGAUUGUCAAGGCUCAUAGCAGAGGAGUAAAGCUCUAAGCCUGGAAGUAGGGGACCCGUCACUUCUAAAUAGGACCUCUUUCAUUAGCUAAUCAACCCCUAAAUUAAAAUGCUGUAAUUAUUAAUUUAUCCUCUGCAAUUGUCAGUGACCCAGGAAUUUUCUGAUCACAUUAGCAAUUUUCUUUAGUUCCAGAAAGAUGCAAAAUAGAAAAUUAUGAGGGUAUGAACCAAAUCUACCUUGUUUUCAGUACUUAACUUACCUGCAUUUGUGCUAGAAGUCUUCAUCUGACUUUUUCAGAGUAUGAGAGGAUAUGCCAGUCAGUCCUCAUUCCAAUCCCCCUCUUUUUAGCUGGCUUGGAGGUCUGAAAUCCAAUCCUGUUUGUUCUUUAGCAGUCAGAAAGUCUCUUUCCACUAUGAUCUCCUUGAUGAUGGUAAUAAUGCAGAACCACUUUAAGAGAGGGGCUCCACCUACUUCUUUAAGAAUGAAAUUUACCAGCUUUCCCUUUCAUUCGAUUACAUUCAAUCUCCUUCAGUCUUUUGACUGAGUCAAAGAGAAAGGCAAUAGAUGUCUUGGUGCAGGUGUAGGUGAGGGAUGGGACCUGGCAGAAUCUGUGAGAGGUGAGGGCAACCUUGAUUUGACCCUGGACACUUCUUGGAGUCUGAUGUCCCUCACUGGCUCUGAAGCAUGGCUUGAUCAGCCCUGAAGGUGGUCAGCCGUGGGCAUCCCUGGCAAAGAGCCAACACCCUCCUCCCCACAGGAGAGUUCACAGUGUCCUCAGACAGACAGGAUCAGUCCAAGGGAUUAAUGCAAAGACAGAAAACCCUGCUCCUCUCUUUCUUACUCUAGCAAUUAACCUAACAACUUUGUAGACUACAUUGGCAAGUAGUGAAUACAGGCAACAGGAUCAGCAGGUAAUAAAUAAUUCAGUGAGAAAUACAUUCUAGAAAACCAAGUUAUGUGAUUAGAGAGUUCUUGACAAACAUAACAUGUUUACAAACACUUAUUACAUUGUAUAAAAAAGCUAAUUUAUUCUAUUUAAAAAAUAUUUUUCCGUGAAAAGAAUGUCUGGGGAAGUGAAAAGUUCUGGGAAGAUCAACCCCCAAAUUAUAUCUACAUAGCUUCUUUAGAACACAUGCAUUUUUUUUUGAUAUUUAGUUUUUAGUUGUAACUGGACACAAUAUCUUCAUUUUAUUUAUUUUUAUGUGGUGCUGAGGAUUGAACCCAGGGCCCCCGCACAUGCUAGGUGAGCCCUCUACUGCUGAGCCACAAUCCCAGCCCUGGAGCAAAUGCAUUUUUAAGUUGAUUAUUGGCUCACUGGGUUUUUUUGGCCUUGGGAUCCAGUGGGUGCCAUUAUGUGCUUUGAGGUUUCACUUUCACAGAGGAUGGAAAGGUGAAGAUUCAAUUCCUAUGAAAUAAAUCAUUGUUCUCAACAGACACCUCAGGGCAAUAAUUUCUUGUUCAGUUGGAUGAAUUCUUUCAGGCACAUGCUGAAAUUGAUUGAUGACUUGCUUGACUGUCUGAUUGCCCGCCCAUCCACACUCUUUCCUUUAGUAUUGAAUUAUGUUUACUUAAUUUUUGAGUAAAAAGUUCAAACAUACCAAUCCCUCCCAACAUGAAAACUUCAAAUAGUACCAAAAAUUUCUUAAGAAGUAGUUCUACUCCCACUAUUGACCCAUUUUCCUGGUUCUGUUAUCUAAAGGCCACUGCAGUUGGUACUUUCUUGCAUUUCCAGAGAUCUACUAAGUAGAUAUUAAUGUAUGCAUCGCUCUCUGUGUACAUAAAAGAAUACUAUAUUUGAGGUACUAUGCCUUGCUUUUUUUUUUAAAUUAAACAAGAUGUCUUGGAUUAUUACCCAUCCUUCUAUAUAUCUAUAUACUUAUCAACCAAUCAUAUAUCUCCUUAUCAAUUUAUCUAUCAUUAACUUAACUCUUUGUAAUGGCUUCAUUGCAUUCAUUUUGUGAACAUUUCAUUAUUUAUUUAGUCAAGUUUUCUAUUGAUGUUUGGGUGGUUUUGUCUUUGCUAGAAAGAUUUCUACCAUGGAAGUGGAGAAAGCAUACAACCACCCUUGCUUUGUUUUGAUGGUAGAGCAUGAUCUCCUAAAUUGUUGAGACAAUUGAGGGACCUCUGUAGAGGCCCAGGUGGGAAAAAGGACAGGAAUUAGAUCAGAGAACAGCUGGCUGCACAGUGAUGUCUUAUAUGUGAUAUGAUUUCAUUGUCCCCUUCCAUUUCCCUAGGAAAUUCUCAGAAAAAGAACCAGUCAUCACUGGCAAAUGCAUUUAAUGUUUACAUAUUCAGCAAAUAUUAUUGUGUACCUUCCACAUGCUGGGCACUGUUCUAGGUGUUGGUGAGAUAGCAGUGAACAAAACCAGGUUCCUGCUAUCAAGGUGUUUACAUCUAGUAAAAGAAAAUAAAAUUAGAAGUAAAGAAAUAUAUAGUUUUUAAAAACAAAGCGGGGAAAGGGGCUUGAGAGUAACAGAGGGUGAGGAUGCCUCACAGCAAGGUGGGCUCAGUGUGGGCACUGAGACUGCCAGGCAAGUACCACAGUGUUGACAUUACCUGGAAUUCUGGGGGCUUCCUCCGCUACUCCCAUAUACAUUUCCAUGCUGGGAAUUCCCAUUGCUGCCUCUGUAGCCAGGAAUGAAGUACCAUCCCCUUUUCGGGUAUGUGAUGAAACUUGUUGGGGAGGGAAUGGUGGGAAGGCAGAGAGAUUGAGAAUUAGGAGUUUGGUGGCCUUGGGGAAAAUGUGGAUACUCUACCAAUAGAUUAAUUCAACAUCACUAAAUUACCAAAGGGCUUCUCAUCCUUCACUGUUUAGCAGGGGGCAGGGGAAAUUAUUCAUUAUUCAACAUGAGCUGAAAUGAAAGCACCACAUUUUGUAAAACAUGCAAGGUUACCUACUAUGGUAACUGCUUGCAGAGUUUUAAUGUGUCUGCAGCAUGGCUAAUUAAUUUUCUCUGAGCUUCACUGGUAUUCUUAUUUGAGAUGAUUGUCUUGGUAACUGAAUGCACCACAGAGAGCAAGAACAUUAGAAAUGCCUUUUGGGGCUGCUGUAACAAUCUGAGCUGUUUUCAGGGCUUUCUCAGCCACCACCAGCAGGGACUUCCUCACAGCUCCUGUACAGCUCCAUCAGACUUUCGAGCAGGGUUUACCAGAAGUUGCAUCAUCUAUAGGACCAUGUAGCUUGGAAUCUAGUCUCGGAAGUCAGAACAGUCUGGGAUUUCAUAUUUACUAGUAGCCACUUACUGUGUGACCUCAGGCAUUUAACGUCACUGUUCCCUCACUGGUAAAGUCAGAGUAAUAAUUUUAGUACCUACCUCAAAGAAAUGUUGCAAAGAUUACAGAUAUUAUAGAUACAUUUGCAAAUAUUUGGUCCAUCUCCCUGUUUUCUCCUUCUCCUUGUCUGUUUUCCUCUCCCUCUUCCUCCAUUUCCUUCUUCACACCACCACCACACCCUCAUCAUUUUUUCCUUUCUAUUUGUUAUAUAUUGAAUUUGUGUGUUAGGAUUCGCACUAUUGUAUCCAAAUUGGGCAAACUAUAAAGGAUAGUAUUGGCACAACUGAACCAUCUUCUAAGGCAUCCAAGAAGUGAGAAACUGGGUGAUCCAAGCCCUGGUCUGGGCUCUGCUGUGGCCAUGUGAUUUGAUCAAUCCCUUCAUCUAUCUGGGGUCCACCCUCCUCUUCAGUAGGAGAGAUUGAAAUUAAUGAUCUCUCUGGUCCUGUUCCACUCUGAAGGAAGUGCUGUCUAAAAGAUCACAGCCAGAUAAGUUAGGGUAUGUUUGGUAGCAAGUAGCAAAGUACCAUUAAUAAUGGCUUAAACAAUGGAAUAGCCUUUAAAAAAAAUUCCAAAUAAAAUUUAACAAACUAAAUCCAGCAGUAUGUAGAAAAGAUUUUAUAUUACAACUAAGCUGGAGAAAUUUCUUUGUAUCCUCUGAAGACAAUUCAUUUAAUAAUUCACUUACAUGUAGAUAGCAUCCUUAACAACACUGGAUGUUUCCCAAAGACAGAAGUGGUAGCUUAUAAAUCUUUAUCUCUCCCAGAGUGUUUAGCUUAGCUUUUUGCCAAAUAAAUACCUCUUGAGAUAAAUGAAAAAAAAAUUAGAACAAUACAAAAUCCUGAGUAAUCAGCAGAUUGUCCAGUACUUUACCACUUUUAGGUCUCAGGUUGAACAACAACUUGUAGAUUAGUAUCUAAUGGUUUGCAUGUAUAAUUCCUUGGAAGCUCUGAAUUCAUCAUAAAAAUAUUAUUAAACAACAAUUAACCUUGUGAACAACAGAGAAGUCACUAACGUUAUUUAUUACUUUGCCAGUUUCAAUAAAGAUCUAAUGUGCAAAUAGCUUUUCAGGGAGACAGCUGCCAUCAGUUAAGUAAAAACAUCAUCAAUGGAGGCAGAAGCUACUAGUGUUCUGAUUGCUGAUGGGCAUUAAUUGGUUUAUGGCUAUCCAUUUCAAUAACUUUCUGUUGUAUUGUGUUAUUUUAUGACUGUUUGUUAAACAUGUUCACACCCACAUGUACUUAUUGAAUGUUACAGCUGAGAGGCACUUUAAGAAUGCCUUACCCAACAUUUUUCAAACAGUGGCCAACUGGGGGUCUUUUAAGGGACUUUCUGGGUAUUGACAGUGGAUACUUCUGUGGGGUGAAACAGGAGGGCAUUUUGACAUGGCCAUCUCAAUGAAAGUUUAAUCUUGGCUCAGUCUUUUUAGAAAUUUAUUAUUAUUAUUAAUUUUUUUUAGUUGUAGAUGGACACAAUGCUUUUAUUUAUUUAUUUUUACGUGGUGCUGAGGAUCAAACCCAGUGCCUCACAUGUGCUAGGCAAGUGCUUUGCCACUGAGUCAUAACCCCAGACCCAGCUCAGUCAUUUUGAUGCAGAUAUUUUGUCAUGUCACAGCUGCACAAAUGGAUCUUGUAAAAAUCAUAAAAUUACUGAUCCUUAUCAGAAAUGAUUUGUGCAAUAGCUAUCCUUGAUCCUUACUUUAUCCCAACCCCUACUUUUGUUAUGGUGAUUUUCACUUUCUAUUUUAUUUGCUUAGACUAUUGUUGAAUUUUAAUGCAUAUUUAUUACUUUUACUCUGAAAAAAAUAUUAAAAACACUUCUUAGAAGUCUUGUUAUAUUGGAAUACAUUCUUAGGAGCAUCAGGCUUAUCUCCUCAAACCAGCAUUACCCAGGAAUAUUAUGAAAUGAAAAUGUAUAUUGCCAAAAGUUCUGAGAGAACUACUAGAAAUGUAAUUGGCAAUUUCCUUGCAUUCUGUGGCUGAGAACAAGAAGCUUGAUAUCCAUAAACAGAGUGUCUUUAACUCUGAUGAAUGAAUGAGAGAAUCUGAUAUUCAGACUAGCCAAGGUGUAAGUAAAUUCUUAGAGAAUUCCUGGGCCUCACUCCAUUCCUGAACCUCAUCCCCUCUCACUGAAUCUUUCAAUUUGACUUUAUCUCCAAAUCUCUUCCCUUGAGUGGUGUUGUAGUGCAAUAAGCUCAGGUUUUCAUUGGGUUUAUUAGUAUUUUUUUUAAUGUUACUUGAAACAUAAGCUUCUUGUAGCUGCUGAAACAAGAAUGAACUUGUAGCUUAAAUAGUUUAGUCACUCACAUUUCUGGAGCCUUAAUUCCAAAAUCAAGAUGUCCUCGGGGCUGUGCUUUCCUCAAAGGCUGUAGAGGAGAACCUCUCCUUGUCACCUUCAGCUCUGCUGGAUGUAGGUAUUUCUUGGCUUGUGGCUGCAUCAUAGUGAUUUCUGCCUCCAUUUACAAAUGGCCUUUUCAUCUGCAUCUUUUCCUCUUUUGUAUCAUGUAAGGAUGCUUGUCACUGGGUUUAUGGCUCACUUAGCUAACCCAAGAUCAUUUCAUCAUCUCAGAAUCCUUAACUGAAUCUGUGAAGACCCUUUUUACAAAGAAGGUAACAUUCAGUCUUUUACUGGAUAAGACAAUAUUUACAGGUCCUGGGGAUUAGGGGCAGACAGGUUUGUGGUGUACGGGGGCUAUCAGUGACUUCUUUUUUUUUUUUUUAAAUAUUUUCUUCAUUGUAGAUGGACACAAUGUCUCUAUUAAUCCAUUUUUAUAUAGUGCUGAGGAUCGAACCCAGUGCCCCAUGCAUGGAAGGCAAGUGCUCUACCACUGAGCUACAACCCCAGCCCUCUCAUUUACUUCUUAUAUUUGAUAGUUAAAAUAAAACUGGUAAUUUCUUUAAAAGAUAUACUUAAUAGAUUGUAUUUUCUUCUGAGUCAAAAAGUUUCUUGGUCAAAACAUCUGCCAGUAUCAAAAUGUCAUGUACCUGACUCUGGAGACCACCUCUGCUUUAGCAAGAGCUACUUUUCUGCCUUUGGCUUUUUUCCACAUGUGCUUUGGCUAGAAUAAAGCUUUUAUAACUAAAUAUAAGUUUGAAAACUCAUACUUCUUGUACAAUAACUUCAUUUUCUGUGAGGAAAACAGACUGAAGGUUGAGAAGAACAUGGCCCCUAGAGUCCUUAGACCACAAGCUUCACCUCCUCUCCCUCCCCACACCUCUGAGACCAAGUUAGUGUGGGACCAUCUUCCUUACUCGUUAGCUCUUUUUGUCAACAAAGAAAGGAUAAUACUUCUGUUAUGAACCUGUUAGAAUUGUUAUGAGUAUAAAAUUUUUUGAAAAUAGGUAUAAAGUUCCAAUUAUGGAUUGUGUUGAUUUUUACAUAUGUAUUUGAAAUUGCUCCUAAAAGCGUUUAUGCUUCUGUAUUAAAAGGGAACAGGAAAAACAAGUAAUUAUGAACUCGAAGUUAGAGAAGACUCACUCUUCCAUCGUAACCUCCAGCUACCUAGGGAGCUAUUGGGAGAACACACAAACAUUACAACCUAAAGUUUCAGAAAGGGAAGUAAGGAGGCUGUUAUGAAUAAUGCGACUCAUUUAGAGCAGAAUUGGUAGUCUCACAAGUUAAAGAGGCCAGGCAGGUAAUAUAAACAAAUGAAGCAGGGUAAGAGGAAGAAAAACAGGAGCACAGACACAGUAGAAAAUAGUUAAGUGAUACAAAAUAAGGCAGCGACGAUAGGAAGUAGUAGGGAUUGUAGGGAACAUGGAACUAGGGAACAGUUUUUGGUUCAGUCUAGAAGAAACUGGGGCUCUUUAGUUGCUCACUGAUGGUUGCUAUGCAGAGAUAUAAGCCCCACAGGCAAGAUCAUCCAAAGAAUAAACCUGGAUUUUUGCACAAAAUAUUUUCUAUAUCAUUAUGUGGCUAGGCUAGGCUUUGCUGUGAUAGCAAAUAGCUCUUCAAAUCUUAACGACUUAACAAAAGGUUUUUUUCUCCUCCAUAAUAAAGUACUUGUAGAGCCUGGGCAACUCUCUGGGACAGCUUUUUUCUGUAUAUCAAUUCGGCCAUUCAGAUUCUAUCAUCUUAACACUAAGACCCAAGCGUUAUAUGUUGAAUUGGACCCAAGGUCUCAUGAAAAUCAAAGGGAGAUCAUAGAGCAGAGGGAAGGGACUAGGAGGAGAGAAGGGGAGGGAAAGGGGAAAUGUUGGGGAAUAAUAUUGGCCAAAUUGUUAUAUUGUGGGCAUGUACAAAUCUGUACCAUGAAAUCUCACCACUAUAAUGCGCUAAUAAAAAGUAUGGAAAAAUAAUUGUAUCUUUCCAAAAGAUAGCUUGGAGACUUAAUCACAAGUUUCUCAGACUGUGAUCUUACUUAGAGAUAGGGUACCUUUAUAGAGAUUAUCAAAUUUAAAUGUGAUCAUUGAGUGGGUUUAUAUUAGUCCAUUUUAUGUUGCCAGGAAUAGACUACCACAGAUGGUGAGUUAUAAAGAUAGAAAGGGUAACAACUCUGGAGGUCCAACAUUGAAGGGCCAUCCCUGGUGAUGGCCUUUUUGCUAGUAAAGUUGUAAGGUGGCACUGGGCAUCCCAUGGUGUGUUAGCUUUUCACUGCAGUGACCAAAAAUCCCUGAUAUAAACAACUUAAAGAGGAAAGGUUUAUUUUGGCUCAUGCUUUCAGAGAUUUCAGUCCACAGCCCUCCAGCUCCAUUGUUUUGCACCUGAGGUGAGACAGACCAUCAUGGCAGAAGGGUGUGGUAGAGGAAAGCUGCUCAGCAUAUAGCAGCUGGGAAGCAAAGAAAGAGAGAAUGGGUGAGGAAAGGUCUGGGUAUAAGAAAUACCCUUCCAGGGCAUGCCCCAAGUGACCUAUUUCCUUCAAGCAGGUCCCACCUUCUACAAUUACCACUGCCUCCCAGUAGUCCAUUCAGCUAUCAGUGAUGAGCUCAGGGCCCUCAUGUUCCAAUGAUUUGGGCCAAAUUGUUGUACUGUGGACAUGUACAAAUAUGUAUCGCUUCUCAAAAGCUCUACCUCUGAACAUUGCUGAAUUGGGGAUCAAGACUUCAACAUAUGAAUCUUUGGGGGCCUUUUCAUGUCCAAACCAUAACACAUGGCAAGAGACAAGGAAUGUCCAUGUGUGUCUUCUGGUUGCUUUCCUUCUUGUUAUAUAUAAAGCCACCAGGAUUCAAUCACAGGGGCUCCGCCUUCAUGAUGUCACCUAAAUCUAAUCAACUCCCAAAGGCCCUCCUCUAAGAACCACAGUGGGAUUAAGUUUAUACCCUCUUAACACUUCACAAUGGACAUUAAAUUUUCACAGUUGUGCCUUGAGGUAUUCACUCAAAGCAUAUCCAAACCACAGUAGGGCCCUAAUCCAAUGUGAUUGCUGUUCUUUAAAAAAGGGGAGAUUUUAGACAGAGAGAAAAGCACACAUGGAGGUAGAAUGCCAUGUAAAGUUUGGAGUUAUGCUGUGACAAUCCAACAAACUACAAGAAGAGUCAGGACAGAGGCCUGGAACAGGACCUUCCCUAGUGUCUUCAGAGGGAACAUGGCCAUCUGACUGAUACCCCCAAUCUCAAGCUUCUAGCCUCCAAAACUGUGAGACAAUGAUUUUCUGCUAUUUAAGCUACUUUGUUUACGGUACUUUGUUAUAGCACCCCUAAGAAACGAACAUACCAAGAAACAGAAAGCCUGGGUAAAUCACAUAUAGGGAGUUUUUCCUGCCUCCGCCUCAAAGAAAUAUGCCAUUUUUGCUUUGGUCUAUUGGUCAGAAGCAGUCAUCUGGCCCAACCUAUUUCUAGGGGACUGGAAAGUAUUCACAGAAAAGGAUAAGUGGAUAUUGGUGUGCCUUCAUAAUAUCUACUUCAUUUCUGAUUUUAGAAUAUUUGCAACUAAAUCAGUUUGGAAAUAAAGAAAAAAUAAUUAAGCAAGCCUACAUUGAAGGAUCUAAACAAACUCUCCCUUGGUCUCGGUUUCACCAGUAUGUUCCAAACUGGGAUCUGCUUCUGAGGGCAAAGUCACAUGCAAUGCUGGUCUGUCCAUGGAGUGAGAUUUGUGAGAUGUAAGGCAACAAUGGAGGUCUUGGGGAGAGGAGGAUGCGAAGACCACCUUUCACUAACAGGUUUUGGAUGGAGCUGAGUUUUUCAGUCCUCUGCUCCCCUCUCCUCCUCCCCUCUUCCCUUCUGGAGAUAGCCCACUGUCCCUGGGAAUCAGUCCUAACCAGUUCAUCUGAAUUAUAGGUGAAGUUGAUUUUUGGAGAUGACCUUGGGAAGCUGCCAUCAUUUAUGCAUGAUUUCCGGAAACGUGCAGUCCAAAUUUCAAACAACCAGCUUAGAAAAUAAUUUUUACAAAACAGCUCACUGGCAAAUUUGGGACCUUGUGAGUGUGGGUUUUGUGUGUGUGAACAUAUUUAUAGUCUUGAUUUAUAUGCAACCUAGCAACAGCAUUUUAAAAUUAUUUGUAUGCAAUAUACUUUACUCAUGUGCAUAUAAUUUUAAAAUAAUAUAUCUAGGUUCUUCCAACUGAAUUUGUCUUAGAACAUAUAUCAGAAUAACUUGGCUAUGGAUUGUGCUCAAAAUUAUUCUUAAAGAACAUGCUUGGUUGGUUUCACUGAGCCAAAUUUCUUUUUGAAUAGUCUAAAAAGUAAGAAAAAGAAAUAAGACAAAUUGUACUUUUUAUGUACUGUGGCACAAACUAGAAAAAUAUAAUUGGGCUUCAGGCCAAAUUCUGAAGGCAAUUGGAGCUGCUUAUGUCAAUUGGGCAUAAUUAUUCCUCAGCUCCCGUUGACAGAAAGAAAAAUUGGUAGUGAUCUGCUUCCCCAUGCUGAGGAUUCAGAAAGAAUACUUGGGCUCCAGAUCACAGCAGAUGGGUGCAUGUAAAAGCUGCUGAUUUGUCAUUUGUGGGGAGUAGGGAAUCCUCCAGUUUAGAGAAGGCUUCGUGUAUCAGUUGCCUUGGGCCAUCUGUUCUACGGUUGAAGGCAACACCAUACGCUCAGUAAAUGUUUGUGGAAUGAAUAAUGAAUCUUUCCUAGAGAGCUUCCCUGCAAGUGUGUCUGCUUUUUCUUUUCACCUAUCAUAUGGCCCUUCCUCUGGUUGUUAUGGGUAGAGGGUCGAUGCUGAACAGGCUAAGACACUGUGCCUAGAUUUAUUUAUUCAGUAAGUAUUUAUUGAAGCUAUUAGGCACUAGUGACUGUCCCAGACGUCUAGCUAAUGGUAGUCCAACCUGGAAAAAUGUGUUGGGCCUCAAGAAGAGGGAGAUAUCUGAGCAGGACAGAGACUUCCAGUAAAGUAGAAGUGGCAACAUGAAGAAUUUAGUCCCAAACUUAUAUGUUAAUGGGAGACAGAGGUAGGAGCCUGGUCAUUUUGAUUUUCUGCUUUGAUCUCUCCUUGACAUAAUCUGUCCAUGCAAGACAUAUUAUGGGCUAGACCCUGGAUUGCUAAUUCUUUGGGAUCUUUUCGUUGUCAAUUUUACUUUAUUAUGUCUUCAGCCUACCUACCUGUUAACUGGCAUAUACCACUCAGCUUGUAAAUAUGCUACUUAAGUCUUUUACCUGAACAAAACGAAAUUCCUAAUUUACUUAAAAAUUCCCCUUUGGUUUUUAUUCUUUCCUUGUCAUUUCCUUCCAGUCAAGCAAACGAGAAGGGGGAGGUUACUCAAUGUCUCCCCUUCCUCAUCUUUCUUGUCACACCUCCCCAGUGGGCUUUGGUCUCUUUUGCUGUGCUGCAACUCUUCUGAUGGAGGUCACUGGUAUCUGUGUGCUUAAUUCACUUUUAAAUCCACAUUGUCAAGGUUUUGAUGACAUUUGACCCAGCUGACGAGGCCUUUCCUGAAAUCCUCUCCUCCACUGCCGUUAGUGACCACAAAUGCUCUUUAUUUUCCAAUUCCUUUCCUGAUUCUUUUCCUCAAGCACCUUCACUAUUAUCUCUUGGUCCACCCACUUUUAAAAUGAUAUUUUCUGAAGUCUGGAUUUGGGCCACCUAUUCUUUUCAUUCCAGUCACUUGCCUUGGGUGACUUCAUCCACUUGCAGUCCUUAGCUAGUCUCUAUCCAGGCUGAUAAUUCCCAAAUCUGUAUUUCUAGCCUACAUUCAUUCCUGAGCCAGAUCAUAUACCUGCUAUAUGCUUAAUUUCUCCACUGAUAUGUCCCCACAGAACCUCAAAACCAACAGUUAAAAAUUGAGCACUUCAUUUUCACCCACAUUGUGCUGUCCCUUCGCCCUCCACCUCGUGAGCAGUGUUCACUCCCUCUGUGGUUGCCUGAGUUAUAUCGCCAUUUAGCCGGUUAUCAUGGCUCAUCAAUCCUUCCAACUUUUUAUUCUUCAGCUUCUUCCCCUUUUCAUCAUCCCUAUGCCUACUAACUCAGUGCAGGUCACAGAAAUUUUUUUGCUUGGAUUGUGUCAACUUUCUCCCCUUUGACUUGCCUGCCUAUACAAGUUGGAAGCUGGACCACUGUUAUGGAUGGAAUGAAGUCAAAAGGGUGGGUCCCUACUCCAAUAUAAUGGCUGACUUAGAAGAAGACAAAGAGACACUAGGAGUCUAACAGAUGGAGGAAAGGCCCUGUGAGGACACAGAGAGGAGGCAGCCAUCUGCAAGUCACGGGAGACCUUGAUACUAGCUGUUGCUUUGAUCUUAGACUUCCAGCCCCCAGAACUGUGAGAGAAUAAAUUUCUGUUGUUUCAAUCACCCAGUCUGUGGCUAUUUUGUUGUGGCAAAACCUUAGCAGAUGAAUAGAUUCUUUCAAAAUCGAAUUUGAUCAUGGCGCUAUCCUGCUUAAGUUAUUCUUUAUGUAGAAGUUCCCUCCAAUCCCAUUUCCAUCUCUUUCCUCUCCACUCAGUGCUCUGGCCUUGCUAAAGGUCCCAAUCUCUCUCCGUACCUUGUCAAAUGUUCUUUCUGUGGCUGGUUUUUUCUCCCUCAUCCAGACUAUCCUCUUCUUAGUAAUUUCCACUUGCCCCUUAGCCACUGUUUCUUCCAUGAAGCCUUUUGUGACCUGAAUCUUCACUCCCUAGUCUGCUGGGUGCUGUCUCAGAGUUCCCCUAGAUUUCCCCUCUUCCCCUAGGCUGUGAGCUCUGGGGGAACAGGACUGAGGUCUUAUCCAUCUUUCUAUUUGAUAAUCUUUACAUAAUAGUUGGACCAUAGUAAGUAUUCACAAAUGAUUUUGGGGUGAAUGAUCAAGAAUAAAGAUGAUUUGGGGAGAUAUGGAAGAAAAUUUUAUAAGUCACCAUGUUUACCACAGUGGUAAAAAAGCCAGUCAGGGAGAAUUCUCUACCUAUUGGACCUACAUACACCGGUGGUCCAAGAACAAAACAGCAACAGCAACAACAACAACAACAACAAUAACAUUAUCACCAUCAUUGUAAUGACAGUAGCAGUUUCGUAUAUUCAGCCUAUACAGUAUGCCUAAAGUAUGCCAUGGAUCAUAUAUAAAACAUCCCAGUUAAUGUUCACAACUACUCUAUGAAGAUUUAAUAUUUACUUUAUUUUUAUUGCCAUUUUACAGGUGAAGAAACAGGCUUAGAGUAAUUAAAUAGCUUAGACAGAUUGUAGGUGGUAAGGCGGGAAUUCAAACUCAGCUAAUGCUCUUUUUUGCUCUCUUAAGAAAUCUCUAGUUAUGCUUGCUGUUAUUUCUAAUCCAGAUGGGGCUGUGUGACUACUUAUGGCCUAAGAAUCAUGAGCAAAAAUGACUUGUAUCAAUUCUGGGUUGAGGCCUGCUUCUUAGCAUCUCUUUCUCUCCUGAUGUGAGUCCUAAAGCCUCACCUUGAGAUGGUAAGGCAUUGAUGGGUCUGGGUCCCUGAAGGACUAGCAGGAGUGGAACCCCUCACCAGUGUGCAGUAGAGAUGCAGUGUGGGUAUGCAAUGCAAUCCUGUAAUUUUAAAGCCACAGGGAUUUUGGGAUUGUGGUUCAUGUUUUAUUCUAUCUUGAUACUCAGCAUCCUCAUUUCUCCACCCACAGGGCAGCUAUGGGACCCAUUGCAGCUGUGCUAUUCCCUGUAAAAAGAGAAAUAUGUGGGAUGUACUGUUGUAGUUUAGAUAUGUCUCCAAAAGUUCAUGUGUUGGAAAUGUGAUCCCCAAAUACAUGUUAAUGAUAUUUGGAGGGGGGCUUUGGGAUGUAGCUUUCUGUCACUGUGAUAAAAUACCUGGGGAAAACAAAUUAAAAGGGGAAAAGAUUUAUUUUGAUAUAUGGUUUCAGUCCAUGGUUAGACAAAUCCAUUGCUUUUAGGCAUGUAGUGGGGAAGAAACAUCAUGGUAGAGGCUUGUGUUAGAAGAAACCUCACCUUCUGCAAGCCCACCUCUGCUGUUUCCACCACUUCCCAAUAAUCUAAUCAGUGAUGGCCUAAAAAUGAAUUAAUCCAUUGAUGAGAUCAGAGUUCUCAUGCCCCCAUCACUUCCCCAAAGCUCCACCUCUGAACACUGACAUUGGGGACCAAGGCUUUAAUAUAUGAGCCUUUGUGGACAUUUCAUAUCCUAACUAUAACAAAUGAGAUUUUGAAGGUGGGUCCCCCAUGAUGGCAUUAGUAGCUAUAUAAGAAGAGGGAGGAGACCUGAGUUUGCAUACUUCUACUCUUUUCAUGUGAUGUCUUCCACCAUGUUAUUACAUAGUAAGAAGGUCCUCACCAGAUGUGACCCCUUGGACUUCAGCUUCCAGUAACUGUGAGAAAGAAAUUCCUUUUGUUUAUAAAUCACCCACUCUCAGGUGUUAUUUUACAGCAACACAAAAGAAACUAAGAAACUAAGAAACUUAGUACUUCCCAGCAACCUAAAUAGUAUCUGUCAACACAGAGAAAGACUGCCAGAUGCCAGUUGCUUAACCAGAUUUUAUUGGCUUACUAAGUAUAUAUUAAGUAUGCUUCAUUUCCUUGAAGACCUUAAAUAUCUGAGUUGGAGAGACAAGAACCUGUAAUCAACAAAAUACAUACAAAUACAUGCAGUAAUUAUGUGAGUGCAUUGUGGAGGUGGUUAGUGACUGAAUAAUAUUAAUAGAAAUGAGGGAUAUAGACCUUGAACUGUCAAUUCCAAGUUGGAAGGUUGUUAUUUUUUCUUUUGUUUGCACAGUUUAUAAAUCUGAGAACUAUGAACUCUCUAGGCUAGAUAGUGCUUUGUUGUGGGGGAUGAUCUUGUGCUUUGUAGGAUGUUUAGGAUGUUAAGAGCCUCCCUGGCCUCUAUUUACUAGCUAUCCAUUGAUCACCAUUCCACUCUGAGGCAAAACCCCAAAAUGUGUCCAGACAUUACUCCCAGCUUCCUGGGAGCAAAUUUGUUCCCACUUUAUUUGUCUACUGAAUGGACCUGUGAUGCUGGCUUCUCUUAUAUAUUUCCAGUAGAACCUAAGCAAGUUUAGUUUGGUAAAAAUGGCAAGUAACUUAUACUUUAGGUUUAAGGAGGUCCAGGAAUGUCAACCUACAAGUGUUUCCUUCUGUAAAAAUACAUUGCUGGAGACCUGAUUAGAGAGUCCCUGUUGCAAGUCAAAUCAGACAGGUCUUGUUUUUCCUUCCAAUUCCAAUAUCCUUGGGAGGUAUUUGCAAAUCAUUCAAGGGAAAAUCUGAGAAUAAAUUUUAACCAACAAAGAAAAAAAUAGCAAGACUUUUCACACUGAAAAAGCAGCAGAGCCAAAGAGGCAGAGGCAGAGCUAAUGGCAGGAAGGGAGAGGGGUUUGAGAAUAGUGUUGCUGCAGGCUAGCCAGGAGGAGAGCCUGGUGUUUUCCUGGGGAGGAAGGAAGAGUGAGAGAAUUUUAAAAUGCAUGAGAAAAGUGAGCAAAGCUGUCAGAUGCAAGCUUGGGGGAAACUGUGAGAACAUUAGGCUCUGGGAUGAGGGGAUUAAGGAUGUCCUUGGGGGACUGGCUUAUGUACAAGGAUCUGCUGAUGUAGCCAUGGCCUCCUUUUGUGGUCUCAACUUGCUGUACUCCCUCUCAUGCUUGGGGCUCAGACAAACUGGCUUUCUUCUAGUUCCUGAAAUGCCCUGUGUUUCUUUCUACUUUUCCACGUGCUGACCCACCUGCUUGGAACCAGUCUCUUCCACCCGACCCAGUUUCUUCUCUAAUGCCUCUGCCUACUUAGCUGUUACUCAUGCUUGAGAGCUCAGCUCAAUCUGUUACAUCUUCUGGGAUGCUUCACAGCAUCCUGCUCUUCAUAGCACAUUUCCUAAUUGAUAACUAGACCUUGAUUUUUGAGAUUAUUUUGUUCCUAACCAUCUAUUAAAGUUUGAAUGAUGGUAGAAAGUAUGUCAGUUUUGCUUAUCAUGGCCUCCAUAGGUCUUAACUUCAGGACUGGAAUGUAGUAUAUUAGUAAAGGUUUGGAAUGAACUCAUAAGGGUCUGGAUUUUUCUACUUCAUAAUUAUUCCUAUUUAGGUAAAGAUAGGAUCCAGAUGGAAAGGAAAAUUAUAUGAGGAGUAAAGAAAAAGGUACCAACUCAUCAUACCAGUAGUUUUAUCUUUGCUUUUUGAAAAUACUUGUUUUCUUGUUUUUGCUUUUUGUUUUGGUGCUGGGGUUUGAACUCAGGGGCACUUUAUCACUGAACCACAUCCCAAUGUGAGACCCACAGAGUCUCACUAAGUCGCUUAGGUGCUCACUGAGUUGCCGUGGUUGGCCUCAAACUUGCAAUCCUCCUGCUUCAGCCUCCUGAGUCAAAUACUUGUUUUUUAUCAAAGCCUAGGCAACCAAAAAAUGACUUUCCUGGCCUGUAUAAUUAAAGUUAUCCUGAAAUCUGUCAAUAAUUAGAUUAUGGGACUUCUUGGACCAGACCUCAAAUUCUUAUUUUUUUUAGAGUUGAAUAUAUUGGUCAAGAUGUCCUGGGUUCAAUAAACCUGAAUCUCAGGCAGAAAGGGGAUUAUGUUUCUAGAUCUAUCUUUCAGAACUGAGCCAAAGGCGCUGAAGCAAUCCCAGAACCUCUUAGAUUGUUCAGAGAAUGUUUGGAUCCUGAACAUUUUAUUCUGUAAUGAUCUCCAAGGGGAGUUGAACUUGAGUUUGAACAACUGUGUCUGGAGGGACUAUGUUUAGGAUUAGCUGGUAAUACUGAAGUUCUCUGUUGCCAUGUGACAAUUACUUCAAGGUGAUCUGUACCAUGAAAAUCAGCCUCAAAUUUAAUUCCUUCUAGAUAUUCCCUUAUUUAAUGGGUUAGCAAAUAGUAGAAAAGAAAUGAAAAGAAAAUUUUCUGUGAAUUAUUCCUUAAAAAGUCAGUCCCAAGGAAGAUCAAGAACAACACAAACUUUUUAAAGUGCUGAUUAUAUACCUGACAUUAUGAUAAGGGCUGAGGUUAUAUUGUUGAAGUUCACAGACAUGGAGUUUAAAGACUAGAUUUCUAAAAUAUUGAAAUAGUGGGAUCUAUUUAUUAUGUGUCCAUCUAUCAUCUCUCUACCUCUUCUAACAAAGAAUAUACUCAGAAAUUAAAUAACAGAAGACUCCAAUUUGUUGACAGUUUAAGCAAAAGUAUUAAACUCUUAACAAUAAAAACCCAUUAAAAGGAAAGAAAAUUUUUCGUGAAUAUAACAGGCAGGGGGACAAAGGUUUAAAAUAUUUAAUUACUUUAUUUCUUCAGGAAUGGAGGUUAUUUUUCUUGACAAAAAUUAACAAUGCAAUGUCCUUUUAAGAGCUGUUGCUCCUAUAUAGAGCUCCCCCCCUUACAUAAAUACACACACUCAGAGAGAGAGAGAGAGAUGUGUGUAUAUGCGUAUACAUAUAUGCUCUUUAGGAAAUUAGGUGAAUUUUAUUCAUCUGUAUCUAAUAUGAAUGUAUUUUAUAUACCUGAAAAGGUACAUGAGGUCUGGUGAUGGGCCAGAAUAUUCAAAAUGGAACAAUCCCGAAAUUUCUUUUUGGGGUAUCAGGACUUGAACUCCAGGGCACUCAACCACUGAGCCACAUCCCCAGCCCUAUUUUGCAUUUUAUUUAGAGUCAGAGACUCACUGAGUUGCUUAGCACCUUGCUUUUACUGAGGCUGGUUUUGAACUUGCAAUCCUCCCGAGAUGCUGGGAUUACAGGCAUGCGCCACUGUGGCUCGGCUGAAAUUUCAAAUCAUGUGUUUAUCUGCUAGCCCUUCCUGGUUCUUCUCUGGUUUCCUCUUCUCUAAUGACAGAAAGCUGUUCUCUUGAAAAAUAAGUAUGUGUAAAAGAUGGUUCUAUUGCCUAUAGAAGAGCCUACUUUGUAUGGUCUCAUAAUGAUCUUCUUUUCUGUACCUCUUCUUUCCUCCCUUCUCAUCCUAUUGACAUAAAGUCAUCCAUAGGGCUUCUCUCAGCAAGACUCAUGUAUUAAUCCAGGUCUUCCAGGAGGUAGAUGCCAAAACAGAAUUUCAUCGAGGAGAUGCUGACAAAAUAAGAAGAGAACUGGGUGAGAUUUGGGAGAACCAUCAGAUCAUGACAAAAUCUGACCAUGAGUGAAGGAGAGAGGAAAUAAAGAUUUUGCUGAAAGCAUUCUGUACUGCUGACAGAGCUAAAAAAAAAAAAGUUCUAAAGGAAGUUUGGUAGGGCUCUUUGGGGAAUUCUUAAGCUAAAUUCAACCCUCAGAGGGGUCCUCUAUAUCCCAGAAAAGAGUCUGCCUUAUAGUCCCUGCCACGCAUAGCUGUGCUUGGGAGCAGCUAGAGGGAAAAGGAACAUUAAAGCCAGACACUCAUGGAUUUCAACAAAUGUCUGAGCUUAGCAGCAGCCUGGAGUCUUUUGUUGUGAUACUUUCUGCGGUGGGAAGUCUGAGAAGUACAUUCACAUGGCUGGCGUAGUUCACAAGUUCAUUCAGAACUUGGUUUGGAAAACAGACCUACUCUAUGCAAAGUUGGGAAAGCUUUCAGGAUUCCACAAAAACAUUCAGUAAGGUGAAUACCAGUCUCAAUUUCUUCCUAGAAUGUUGGCUAUCUUGUUUAUAGGUGAAGUAAUAAAAGAAACAAUAUUUGGAGAGUGGGGUGAAUUCUGUUCUGUAUCUAAUGUGAGCAAGUUUUACAAAACCCAAAACGGACAUAGGGUCUUAUCAUAGGUUCUAAUAUUUAAAAAUUGGAAAAAUCCUAGAGAAUCAAGGCCAUAGGGUGCUUACUAUUUAUAUCUAAGCCUUUCUUGUUUCAUCCUCUCUCAUGACUGGAGCCUGUUCUCUUGUUAGAUUGAAAGAGGUUUGCCACAUGGAUUGGCUCUUUCAGCCUUCCCUCCACCCUCUCUCCUGUUUGGAAUGUUAGAAAGCUGUAAGAGCUACGUGCCUCAGACUCACAGAUACCAAUUUCGAUCUGCCAAUUAGAUGUACUCAGGCCGAGAUUUAGAAGAAAGGAGGCAGAUGCCAUUGUCUUACAGCUUUUGUUGCAAGCUAGGUCAUGACAUUGUAAGUGUUGGAAGAGAUGUGCUGGUGGGUCCAGGAUCCCAGUCUAGUUGUCAGCUUUGUGGGAUGAAGGUAGGUCAUGACCACAGCCAAAGCAGCAGCUUCCUGAUCUGUGGAUAAUUGAAUGGACAAAUGAACAUUUGUUGAAUAAAUACACAUUGUAAAUUAAUGAACAAAAAAAAUGAAUUUAUGAAAAACAAUCUUCCUCUCUGGGGAGUCACAUUGGGGUGACCUUGAAAACUGUAGUUGAAUGGCAGCUCUCUAGGUGAUUGGAGGCUCUCUGCCUUGCCUGAUGCUUCUCUGGUCCUCCUAAUGUCCUUUUUUUUUUUUUUCUUUUUGUGAGUGUUGGGGAUUGAACCCAGGGAUUCAUGCAUUCUAGGAAAGUGCUCUACCACUGAGCCAGUGCAGCAUUUCAAAAAAAUUAUCUUGAGACAGGUCUUGCUAAGUUUCCCAGGGUGACUUUAAACUUGUGAUCCUCCAGCCUCAGCCUCCUGAAUAGCUGGGAUUAUAGGUGUGUGCUAACAUGCCCAGCCCCCACUGUCUUUUUAGGCCCCUAAUGCCCAUAAUUAUUAAGCUCUCUCAUUCUGUUUUUUGUUCUCUACCUGGACUAUGUGGAAUAAGAAAAGGAAGAUGUUGCUCUCAUUAAUUCACUUAUUCAUUCAGUCAGUCAUGCAUGCAUUUAUUCAACAGAUGUUUAUUUUUAAAUUUAGUUGUUGACUAUUGGCCUUAUGGCACUGUGUGGGGGUACUGAGGAUUCCUUGGCAAACCAGACACAGAUUCUGCCAUUAUAAUUUACAACCAAAAGCCAGGGCCCUAUGAGAGGGUCAGGGAGAGGAUUAUUAAAGGCUAAAAGGCUAGUGUAUCAAUAGCUAAGUAAGCUAUGGAACCAACCUAGGAGCUCUUCAACAGAUGAAUGUAUAAGGAAAAUGUGGUAUAUAUACACAAUGGAAUAUUACUCAGCCAUAAAGAAAAAUAAAAUUAUGGCAUUUGCUGGUAAAUGAAUGUAACUGGAGACUCUUGUGCUAAGUGAAAUAAGCCAGUUCCCCCAAACCAAAAGCUGAAUGUUCUCUCUCAUAUGUAGAUGCUAACACAUAAUAAAGGUAGGAGGAGGGAAGAAUAGAAGUUCGUUGGAUUAGAUAAAGUGGAAUGAAGGGAAGGGAGGGGAAAUGGGAAUAGAAAAGACAGUAGAAUGAAUCAGACAUAACUUUCCUAUGUUCAUAUAUGAAUAUACAACCAGUGUAACUCCACAUCAUGUACAACUACAAGAAUGGGAAGUUACAUUCUGUACGUAUAAAUACAUGUCAAAUACAUGUAUAAAUACAUGUCAAAAUACAUUCUACUGUCAUGUAUAACUAAAAAGAACAAAUUAAAAAAAAAUUUUAAAAGGCUAGUGUAGGAUGCCCAAUUUGGGGAAAGAGGGAUAACGAACACGGAUUGAGCAUCCAUUAUAUUUUCAGGUUUUAUUAUGGGAUUUUAUAUAUUUCAUUAUAUUUAGUCACCACAACAAUCAAUGAAACAGAUUAUUAGCCCCAUUUUGCAGAUGUACAAAAUAAAACAAGAGAUUAAGUGUCUCGUCAAAGGAUCUGAAUCAGGAUCUGCCUGACCCCAGACUCCACAUUCUUGGAAAGCACACAUUGGUAACUUGGGACAAUGCUUUGCAGUCACUGCAUCUCCUCGAGACUCAUAUUAAGGACAAUACCUUAAUAUACCUCAUUAGUUUUGUCACGUCUCUGCAGCCCACUCAGCCCUCUUAAUUCGCGUUUACUUUCCCUUUUCAUUUGGUUCUUAUUGGUUUUCCUUUCCCUUUUUCCCCCUUUGGCUUGCCCACCAAAUGCCUUCUUUACCUUUGAUUCUGCUUUUAAUUUUCCCUUUGCUACUUUGCUCUUCCCCCUACUUUGGACCUUCUUUAUUUCUGUGUACCCAUCUCUUUCUCUUCUUCAUCUUUCUUGUAUCAUAUUCUUUCUGUCUCAUUUCUCUCUCUGGUUCCCUCAGGUUCUUGGUCUCCCUUUCCCUCUCCCCCCCCUCCCUUNUUAUAGUCCCUGCCACGCAUAGCUGUGCUUGGGAGCAGCUAGAGGGAAAAGGAACAUUAAAGCCAGAGCACUCAUGGAUUUCAACAAAUGUCUGAGCUUAGCAGCAGCCUGGAGUCUUUUGUUGUGAUACUUUCUGCGGUGGGAAGUCUGAGAAGUACAUUCACAUGGCUGGCGUAGUUCACAAGUUCAUUCAGAACUUGGUUUGGAAAACAGACCUACUCUAUGCAAAGUUGGGAAAGCUUUCAGGAUUCCACAAAAACAUUCAGUAAGGUGAAUACCAGUCUCAAUUUCUUCCUAGAAUGUUGGCUAUCUUGUUUAUAGGUGAAGUAAUAAAAGAAACAAUAUUUGGAGAGUGGGGUGAAUUCUGUUCUGUAUCUAAUGUGAGCAAGUUUUACAAAACCCAAAACGGACAUAGGGUCUUAUCAUAGGUUCUAAUAUUUAAAAAUUGGAAAAAUCCUAGAGAAUCAAGGCCAUAGGGUGCUUACUAUUUAUAUCUAAGCCUUUCUUGUUUCAUCCUCUCUCAUGACUGGAGCCUGUUCUCUUGUUAGAUUGAAAGAGGUUUGCCACAUGGAUUGGCUCUUUCAGCCUUCCCUCCACCCUCUCUCCUGUUUGGAAUGUUAGAAAGCUGUAAGAGCUACGUGCCUCAGACUCACAGAUACCAAUUUCGAUCUGCCAAUUAGAUGUACUCAGGCCGAGAUUUAGAAGAAAGGAGGCAGAUGCCAUUGUCUUACAGCUUUUGUUGCAAGCUAGGUCAUGACAUUGUAAGUGUUGGAAGAGAUGUGCUGGUGGGUCCAGGAUCCCAGUCUAGUUGUCAGCUUUGUGGGAUGAAGGUAGGUCAUGACCACAGCCAAAGCAGCAGCUUCCUGAUCUGUGGAUAAUUGAAUGGACAAAUGAACAUUUGUUGAAUAAAUACACAUUGUAAAUUAAUGAACAAAAAAAUGGAUUUAUGAAAAACAAUCUUCCUCUCUGGGGAGUCACAUUGGGGUGACCUUGAAAACUGUAGUUGAAUGGCAGCUCUCUAGGUGAUUGGAGGCUCUCUGCCUUGCCUGAUGCUUCUCUGGUCCUCCUAAUGUCCUUUUUUUUUUUUUUCUUUUUGUGAGUGUUGGGGAUUGAACCCAGGGAUUCAUGCAUUCUAGGAAAGUGCUCUACCACUGAGCCAGUGCAGCAUUUCAAAAAAAUUAUCUUGAGACAGGUCUUGCUAAGUUUCCCAGGGUGACUUUAAACUUGUGAUCCUCCAGCCUCAGCCUCCUGAAUAGCUGGGAUUAUAGGUGUGUGCUAACAUGCCCAGCCCCCACUGUCUUUUUAGGCCCCUAAUGCCCAUAAUUAUUAAGCUCUCUCAUUCUGUUUUUUGUUCUCUACCUGGACUAUGUGGAAUAAGAAAAGGAAGAUGUUGCUCUCAUUAAUUCACUUAUUCAUUCAGUCAGUCAUGCAUGCAUUUAUUCAACAGAUGUUUAUUUUUAAAUUUAGUUGUUGACUAUUGGCCUUAUGGCACUGUGUGGGGGUACUGAGGAUUCCUUGGCAAACCAGACACAGAUUCUGCCAUUAUAAUUUACAACCAAAAGCCAGGGCCCUAUGAGAGGGUCAGGGAGAGGAUUAUUAAAGGCUAAAAGGCUAGUGUAUCAAUAGCUAAGUAAGCUAUGGAACCAACCUAGGAGCUCUUCAACAGAUGAAUGUAUAAGGAAAAUGUGGUAUAUAUACACAAUGGAAUAUUACUCAGCCAUAAAGAAAAAUAAAAUUAUGGCAUUUGCUGGUAAAUGAAUGUAACUGGAGACUCUUGUGCUAAGUGAAAUAAGCCAGUUCCCCCAAACCAAAAGCUGAAUGUUCUCUCUCAUAUGUAGAUGCUAACACAUAAUAAAGGUAGGAGGAGGGAAGAAUAGAAGUUCGUUGGAUUAGAUAAAGUGGAAUGAAGGGAAGGGAGGGGAAAUGGGAAUAGAAAAGACAGUAGAAUGAAUCAGACAUAACUUUCCUAUGUUCAUAUAUGAAUAUACAACCAGUGUAACUCCACAUCAUGUACAACUACAAGAAUGGGAAGUUACAUUCUGUACGUAUAAAUACAUGUCAAAUACAUGUAUAAAUACAUGUCAAAAUACAUUCUACUGUCAUGUAUAACUAAAAAGAACAAAUUAAAAAAAAAUUUUAAAAGGCUAGUGUAGGAUGCCCAAUUUGGGGAAAGAGGGAUAACGAACACGGAUUGAGCAUCCAUUAUAUUUUCAGGUUUUAUUAUGGGAUUUUAUAUAUUUCAUUAUAUUUAGUCACCACAACAAUCAAUGAAACAGAUUAUUAGCCCCAUUUUGCAGAUGUACAAAAUAAAACAAGAGAUUAAGUGUCUCGUCAAAGGAUCUGAAUCAGGAUCUGCCUGACCCCAGACUCCACAUUCUUGGAAAGCACACAUUGGUAACUUGGGACAAUGCUUUGCAGUCACUGCAUCUCCUCGAGACUCAUAUUAAGGACAAUACCUUAAUAUACCUCAUUAGUUUUGUCACGUCUCUGCAGCCCACUCAGCCCUCUUAAUUCGCGUUUACUUUCCCUUUUCAUUUGGUUCUUAUUGGUUUUCCUUUCCCUUUUUCCCCCUUUGGCUUGCCCACCAAAUGCCUUCUUUACCUUUGAUUCUGCUUUUAAUUUUCCCUUUGCUACUUUGCUCUUCCCCCUACUUUGGACCUUCUUUAUUUCUGUGUACCCAUCUCUUUCUCUUCUUCAUCUUUCUUGUAUCAUAUUCUUUCUGUCUCAUUUCUCUCUCUGGUUCCCUCAGGUUCUUGGUCUCCCUUUCCCUCUCCCCCACCUCCCUUACUUUCUCUCUCUCUCUCUCUCUCUCUCUCUCUCUCUCUCUCAUUCACUCUCCGUCUGUCUACUAUAUAUCCCAAAGUCAGUCCCUGGCUUGGAGCCCUUGGACCUCUCUAUUUAUGGUCCCAUGUUUAGGUUGAGAAGAUAGAUAAUUCUACCAUUUCUCUUGGUUCUGCCAUUGGAUGGGAGAGUUAAAGAAUUUUUACCUCCUAGUUAGUGAAUAUACUCCUUUCCUCAUAUAUUCUUGUCAUGGUUUGAAACCUGAUGUGUUUUUAGCACAUUACUCUUGCUCUUAGAAAAUUCAUCCCAGUGAAGCCACUCCUCCUUCUUCUUUCUCUGCCUGACUCUGUAGGGAAGGAAGGGUUUGAAGAUGUGCCAGCUGUAAAAUACUGCCCUCAUGUAGGGAUGACAUGGAGUGUAGAAUUCCAUGCCAGAUUUUUUAAAGUACUACUAUUGACUUGGGAUACAAAUCAAAUGAGAAAUAGAAAAAUAUAAAUUAAUAUUGCUCCCAGUUAAUCUUCUCUUACAUGCUAUUAUCAUGUGCUGCAAUUGUGGGCUUUUUGCUAAACUUUCCUCUCUUCUGAUGGGCAAUGUGCCCUGAUCAGACAUCUUUAAGAAGGAGGUGUGGUGGCUUAAAGUCCAAAAGGGUAAUGUUUAAUAUGAUAGUCUUUAGAAAAAGAGAGAAAUCUCAUCCUAUUUCCUUUUUUUAAAGGCAAUUUUACCUUUUGAAAAGACCUACAAUUUUUCUUGUUUUCUUUUGAGAUGGGAAGGUGAAAUCUGUAAAAUCAUGGAUUAAUUUUACUCUUUAUCUUCAUUUGCUUUGAUUGUCAGACUUCAUUUCAAUACUCUGCUUAUCUCCCAAUACUCUAGCAGAAUGGUUGCCUUCCAAAAUUUCCAAAUCUCUUUCCCAACAUUUCAGUAGUAAAGAUGCAGAUGACUGUUUUAUAUUUUGUGGUAAGCACAUUAACCUUUUCAAAGAAUGUAAUAAUCACAAAUGAAUUAUAUAAUUCAGGAUCUCAUUUCCUUUCAAUCUAAUAAAAACUUAAAUGGGGGAAGUUAGGUGGUUUCUUCCCAAUAAAUCACUGUUUCACGGCCCUUGGGCUAGAAGGGCCCUUUCCCAUCCCUGUGUAGAAUGGUUGCUGAAAAGUUAAUGGAAUUUGGGACUAAAUUUGUGUGCAAGUUAUCCAGUUCAACAGAAAUAAAAGCCCCAUUGUACUUUGUAAUGGAGAGCUUGGUGUUCAGCCUUGGAAGUAACACUUUUUGAAAAUCACUUACAAACUUGAAUUUUAUGGAGAACAAUUGGGAUGAUGAGUUGGCUGAAACAUAUACUAUGUAAAGACUGGUGAAUAAAUACGUUGGCAAAAAGAAGGGGGUUGGAGUGAGAAACAGGAGAGAGGCAAAUAGAUAAUACUGUAUUUAUCACAGUAUGGGAUUCAUCUUUUAAUUUAAAAUAUAGGUGUCACAUCCACACUCUAGUUGUGGCAGGUCAGUAGGGCAAGUUGCAGAAAGGUGAAAGAAAGUUCCUGGAGACAGUGUACAAGACACUGACUGAGAAAAGAUGACAAGAGAUCAGUAAUUUUGCAAAAAGAGUUUAGUGGUGAUAGACAGAAAAGAUAGCACCUCUGUCCCUCAAAGUGCUUUACCAAUCAGUGUCUCCUCAGCUUCAUGGCAUUUUGUCUAGUGGCAGCAGGCUGGAUGAGUGACAUGUUUCCUUCUCACAGUGCCCUCAGUUCUGCAUCUAUUCUCACUCAGAGAGAGGUUUUAUAUGUUAGGCUGCAGAAGCGGUGAUAUCAUCAGCAUUAGCUUAUAUAACCAGCAUCUCAAGGAACAACUGUCCUGGUGUACAUGCAAGACUGCAGCCUCUACAGAUAGCACUAACUUGCCUUGGUUCCCAGUUUGCCUAAGAGAAAUCCAGUGUUUUUCAAGUUAAUAUGAACCUGGAUUUUCUGUCCCAGACUUAUUCCCAUUGUUUCCUUAACCUGACUAGGUUUUGGGGAGCAGAAAGAGCAUAUUAGCAUCAGGGUGUUUUACUGUUCCCCUUUUCUUCAGGAAAGAUACACUCUACCUACCAUGUAUCUGAAUGUCUUCAUAAUCUUAUUGUGCCUAUCUUCUACAACAUCCCUCAGGAGGCUCAUCAGAAUGUAGACUGUAACCAAUUCCCACAAUAGCAACACAGAGAGCAAAAGAAUGUGGUAAGCUCUGCUAUAAGGGCAAGUGGGCUAAACAAUAUAGGAGGCGAUUGUAACCAAACAGAAAAAGGAUCAACACUAAGCUUGCCUAUUAGAGUAAUAGGGGUUUACAACUUGUAAAGCCAAAACCACACUGUGAUAAUUUCAGGAAUACAUACACAACAUCCUGUUUAAAUGAGGGUACGGGUGCAGUUAGCAUAUCAAACACUUUCUACUCUGAAGUAUCACCUUCCACAAUUGGGUAGUUUCUUCAUUAAGCCAAGUUGUGCCUCUAUGAGUAUUUAGGCAGCUACAGUGUGUUUAGGACAAGUUUCAACUGGGAACUCAAUGCUCAUUGCUUGAGGAGAAAAUAUGGCAAGUGGGUAAAGUCACCACUUGCCAUGCUAGCUUUUACUAGGUUCCAAUUAGUAGGGUUGUAGACAAAGUGGGAGGUAUACAGGCUGAUGUAUAAGGUCUUUUCCAAGUGCAUCAGCUAAUCUAGUUAUAUGACAGGUAUGACCACGCAUGGGUGCCACAGUCCAUAACCACCCCCAAGGGGAGGGAUUGCUCCCCAACAUGUUGUCUUACUUUGCUACCCUAAGUAGUUAGGGUCUUUGAGUAUAACUGUUAAGUUUCACUGAUCAGUAGGGAUCUAACCCCUAAACAGAGGGCAGAGAAGUGUCACUGCCAUUGUUUCUUUCUCUACAGACAGGAGUUUCCUUCUCAUUUCCACCUGUGUUGUGCUUAGCCACCAUGAGCUGUCAAAUAGUGUACCCCAGCGAAAGCUUAGCCAGGUCUAUUGUUCCCAUGCUAAGCAGAAUACAUGAUAUUUAGUGUUCUUAAAAGAGGGUUAAUUUAAGUUCAAGUCCUUAGGGCAGUUGUCCAGCUAUAGCCAGGAGUGGUGGGUGUCACUUCAGCUUAACAUUCACUUCCAUUGCAUUGAGGUGACCAGUUGUAGGUGCCAUGGGAGACCAGUGGAAGAGGAUAGAGACAGCUUGCUAUAUAUCCAUAAGUCUCUUUGUUCUUCACUUCCACAAUGGUUCUUGCCCAUUCUGAAAAUAGAUUAGCUCUGAGGAUGAAAUAUCAGAUAUUUUUAACAGGUGUUAAUACAGGCAAAUCUUGAUUAUUCAACAGAUAAGCAACCUUAUCAUUUUGAGAACGGUGCUGGCCGGUGGCCCUAUCUCGAGGUUUACAAUACUAUAUUUCUGAUCUCAUUGGUCCUUUUCCUCAUGGGCUUGGGAAACCAUUCACAUGAAAAAUAGACUAUGUGGGUCCCCUGUGGCAUGUCUUCUGGCAGCAGCAAUAGCAAAUUGUUCUGUGUUCCCAUUUGUGGAGUACAGGUAUCCUUCUUAAGCAUUAUUAUUUGAAUCCAGUAGGUUUGUUUGUCCAAAAUCUAAGCUUAUUUUUACCAUAUCUGUGGGAGUAGCACACAUGAAACCAAGGAGUUGAAGGCUAUUUAUGGUUGCUUUCUGUGAUGCCCUUCUGCAAGCAUGCCCAUAGUGGUCCAGUGUACGUGUCCAUCCAUGUUAGGGCAACCUUGCAGCCUUCCAAUGGGAGGAAGGUCUGAGGAAGUCAAACUGCCACUGUGUGCUGGUUACCUCCCUCAAGCUAUAUACCCCAUCACAUAAAGCAUUGGCCAUAGUUGCUUCAGGAACAGGCAGAGCAAGAGUCACCAACACAUACAAAAGCUUGGUAGGAGCCAGGAUUACUUUGCUAUGGGCCAGAGAACUCUUCUUUUUUUGUGGUCUGUCUUCCUAUCUAGCCAAGAAGCCACAUAUUUAGUGGCAUAUCUUUUAGCUAUUUACCUUUAGUUAGUUUAUCUGGUUCUUCAUUUCCUGGAGGAGAAGCAUGGCUGUAUUAUGCCACAUGAUAUAAAGUCAAUUCCUAGUGUGGCAAUUGUUUCUGAUGCCUUUCCAUAUCUUUGCCUUCUUCAUAGCUGUGACCAAGGUCCUAAGGGAACUCAUUUAUUGCCCUGCUCUUGCCACAGGAUCCACUCAAACUUAUCAUGGCAGCUAAAAUCAUCCAGUUCAUGGGGUUGCUUUUGGACUAAUAUGCCCGAGGUUUGUAACAGCUCUAUUAAUAUUUUUGCUUGGGAAGAGGCUUUGAGGUCCUUAAGUUCCCAGUUCCAUGGGGAUUUCCUUUUUAUUAAAUAAUUAGAGUGGUUUUAACAUUUGUAACAAGUGUAAAAUGGAAGGACGCCAGCAUCUCAACACUCCCAAGAAGGUCUGACUACUUUGGAGUAGGGGAAACUUGGACUUUAUCUAUAAUAGCAGAUAACCCUUGAAUACUUGGCAAACAGUCCAGGUCUUUGCAAUUUGGAAAAGUUGACAGCCUUGGAAAUGUUCCACCAUUUGAUCUGCUUCCUGUAGGUGGGAAAAGGACUCAGAAGUUAACGCCACAUCAUCAAUAUAAUGAAACAUCUAUACUGUUAGGUUUUGUUAAUAGGCCAUAAUACUACCACCAUCCCAUGACAUAUGCUUUGGCUAUUAAAUAUCACUGGAGAAAGACACUGCAAGUUCAUUGUUGCUCCCAUAUAUAAGCACAUUGCUCCUGGCUUUCCUUAUUGGACCCCUUGUGUUUCCUUUGCUCCCUUUCUCCCAAACUUCCAUUUCCCUUGAUUCCUCAUCUUUUCAGUUCCCCUCAUAUCAGCUAUAGCAUAGGCUUCUUGAGAAACAGGAAAGACCAUUAAAGGGGUAAGGAUUAAUACCAGAGCUCCAUAAUAUUCUCUAGGAGCCAUCUGGAGAAUGGUGUCCUUCAUUCCCACUGUGACUGUUUCAUUAUCAGGACCAGCAUAAUUCAGUGUAUAAAUGGCAUGCCUCUUCCUAACUCUGUUAAGAUGGCAUGCAAUUCUUCCAUGGAUUGCCAUCAUGGGGGCACCAUGGGCAAAUACCCAAUAUUGGGCCGCAUAGUUUUAUACACAGCUAUCAGUCAGGACAAUAAAAUGAUGGCACAGUUCUCAUUAACAGCUAAAUAUAAAUGUUGCCUCAGAGUCGGGUGCAUGGUGACUGAGGCAAUUUUACCCAUUUUACUCCCUGAUAAGAGCAUGUUUUCAGCACCAAACCAAACAGCCUCAUUCUGCUACAGUUUCCCUGGCUUGCUGCCUAAAAUACCCUACCAAUUUAGCAGCAGUAUGAUCUCUCAUGCAGGCAUGCAUAUGCCCUUUGGGAGUGGGCAGAUUUUCAACAUCUGCUCCCACCAGCCAUGGCAGAUCUGUCUUUAGCUUUGGAGUUAUGACCAGUCUGACCCUUUGUGCUGGCAAUUUGACCAGCUCAUCCCAGUCCUCAUCCUCUUAGUUUGAGGUGCUGGGUUCACAGGGUCCCGUUUAUGGGGCUUCCAUUCCUUUUGAGUAACUGCAAUCCUUACACUAGCUCAUUGUAAAUGUUUACCUUUUUAGUUUAGCAAAAUGGCAGGCUAGAGUUUCCAAAUUUCCAUCAGCCCUCUUCACAUAAGCAAGUAAUUGCUCAGUAGUUCCCGCUUGAGUUAAAGGGGCUUCAUGCUUCAGCUUUAAUCCUUCCUACAAUUCCUGAGCACAGACUCAGACUUGUAGAUCUGCCUCUUUUGCUGCCCACAAUGAUGUGAGGAGGGGCCACCCCACAGCUGCUGCUAUCUUGCAGAGCAUUUUCUUUUUCUUUACACCAUGUUUCCUAUGAGCAACAGUACUUCCCCUAAUGCUUGGGGCAUUUGGGGGACAUGAAGGCCUCCAGGCACUCAUAAUAGCUGCUGCUCCAAGAAGAGUUCAGUGGUGAUAGGCUGAACAGAUAGCAAAGUGUUUCACCAAGAAGUGCCUCAUGAUGUUCAGUUCAGUGGUGGCUGGCUAGACAAGUGACACACCUGCUUUUCAUAGUGUCCUCGGUUCUGUCCCCACUCAGAGAGAAGUUUUACAUGUUAGGCUGCAGAAGCAGUGACACCGUAAGCAUUAUCUUCCUUAGUUACCUUGUAUGACCAGAAUCCCAAGGAACAACUGUCCUGGCAUACAUGCAGGAAAGUACCUUUCUACAGAUAACACUAGCUUGCCCUGAAUCUCCGUGUAUAUAAGAGAAAGCCAGAGUCCUUUAAAAUAAUAUGUAUCUGGACUAUCUGGCCCAGGCUUGAUCUCAUUUCUUCUUUAAAUUUGCUGUGUUUUGGGGAACAGAAAGGAGACAUUUGGGGACAAAGUACUCUAUUGUCCCCCUUUUCUUUAGGGAUAAUACAACAGGACAUUGAGAACUAACAGUAAUAAAAAGAAGCCUUUAUUGAAUAUUUAGUACUACGCUUAGUGCAUUAUAUUCGUUUUGUUUGUCUGUUUUAGUCAUGAUAGCAACCUCAAAGGAAGGCAUUGUUAUUUCCAUUUAAUAGGUGAGAAAUUUGUGGCUCAGAAAGUUAAGAAUCUAGUCCAAGUUUAGGCAAUUAAUAAAGGCUAGAGCCAGAAUUGAGCACAGGUUCCUUUGACUUUAAAGACAAUGCCCUUAAAAAUAAUACAAGUAUGCUUCAAAAGAAAGAGAUAGUGAGCAAACAGUUGCUUGCAUGGAAAAGAAAAAAACAGUCCUUUGUUUUAUGCAUGGCUGUAUCUUGACAUCUUCCCACUAGGUACAGUGAGAAACUGCAUUACCUCUUAUUUCCAUAUAUUAGCAAGGUGAAUGUGCCUCACUCAUCUCUAUUUACCGAGCAAAUGCCAUGGCAUGGGUUCAAUGAAAAUUUUCUCCCUUGUGUUCCAAUCUAUUGCUGAUGUGACAAGGACAGAAUUGUCAGAGCAGCUCCUAAUUAAAUAGUUCAGAGCUUCAUUAGGAAGAUGUAGCUGAAUGCAGGACUUACCAGGCAAGUCUGACCACAGUUGACACUAAUUGGUCCCUGGGAUGCCAACCUUACACAGCAUGGGAACUAGACACUGAGGAGAGGGGAGGAGCACCAGGCUUGCUGAAACCACUUUUGAGGUAGAUUUUGGGACCAUCACCAUUGGUCAGGAAGGGAAUUCUUGUAGGCACAAACUAAGGAUCAGAUUUGAGAAUGUCACCUUGGCUUUUUCUCCUUCAGUGAGUCAGUGACCUACUGGACCCAGAGCAUUUGUACUGUGGUUGAUACCCUUUCAGUGAAUGCAUGUGUAUGUGUGCAUGCGCUCACAGACCACAGAGGAAUGAAACAGCACAGAGUUGUGUCAUCUCUGUUAGAGAGGCAGGACUAAUCUAUUUAAUUAAUCUUCUACCUUUGGGGGUAUGGUAAGUAUUCAAGAGACACUCCAUCUUAGGAGUCUUCCUGUUUAAAAAAAAAUGAAUUCUUGCCCCCAAACCUUAGUAACUAGGGCAGGUGAAAAGAUGUGAGCACCCACUGGUUCAGUCCUAGCUUUCAUGACAGAAGUUCUGUGUGGGAUUCUCACUGCACUAUGGGACCUUACUGACUCUCAGACCAAGGGACUAAUUCUUUUUUUCAUUCUCAGGUUCGCAUAGGCCACUCUGAGACUAGUUAAUACUAAUACAAACAACACUAGAUCUUCAAAACAGAUUUCAAAAUCUGUUAAAUAUCAAGAUUCUGGAUGUAUCACUGAUUUUCUUUAUAUUUUGCUUCCUCCUUGAGAUCCUGCAUGGAAAAAUCCAAUAUUUUGAUCUCACAAGAGACAUUUUAUUAUUUUCUCAAUUUUGUAGGUGAUGAAACUGGGGCCUAGAGAGUAAGACCUUAUGCAAGUCCUGAGCAUUGGAAAGAGGCAGAGCAAUGACAUGUUUCAAUUCUUUUGACCCUAAAUUUAAUAACUUUUCUGCAAUGUACCUUCCUCUGUAACAGUUUCUUCUCUUUCCAUUUGUUCUACUGUAGACUUCACCAUGGUAGACUGUACACACUUUCAGCAUUCUCUGCCUUGUCUCCAAAUAAUUUUGGUCAAGUUUCUACAGGUGCUUGAUAUGUAGACUUUGUAGGGUACACACAUGCCCUAUAAAAACACAGGGCAAAUAAAGAACAACCGAGAGGUGGUUAACCUUAUCCCCAGACACUACACUAGCUCACUCUGCAGGGAGACUUCACAAGAAGUUUGUGUCUGUAACACCUUCACAGUGGCCCUAAGCAAAGAAAGCACUGUGGCUGUCAUUUCACCCAUCAUCCUACAAAGGUUUAAUGGACUUGACUUUAGGAGUAAUGUGUGUCCUGUGAGAUGAGGGGUACAUUCCUAAGAUUAGAGAAGUACUGUGACAGUUCCUUUACAGUUUGUUUUUGACUACUUCUUCAUCUAUAACUUAGUACUGAGCAAUGCAUUUUUUAAAGUGCUUCUUUUUAAAUCACCUUAUACAUCUUUCAUUCGCAUCUGCCUUUCAGCUCCAAUGGAAUUCUGUCAAAGGAGAGGAAGCAUGCUUUUGUUGUUGUUGUUGCUGUUAGAACUUGAAACAUAACUUUAAAAGUCUGGAUUCACAAGCAGUGGUUUUUUUUUUAAUUAUAUGAAGCUGUUUCUUCAUGUAUUUCUGAGGAGGACAUUGUUACUCUCCUUGUGUCUAGUCUGGGGAGUUUGAAUUCUGGGCUAUAGUGUAUUUUGGUCUCCUAAUCUGUUCCAAGUAGCUUAACCUUGUUCUCUUGGCUACUGUUUAAUGUCCCUUAGUCACUCUUAAAACUGGCCUUGUUGUGGCUCCUCCUGAAACUUUCCAAUUGAUUGCACUGGGGCCCUUCUCUUCUUCCACCUCUACCCAAGGGUAUGGUCUUAUCCCUGGGACCUCCCUCUGGGAAUGCUUCCUUUGAUGUGGACUUGGUUGUCAGAGUAAAGGAGCACCAAGAGGGGGAGAUUUCUCUAUCUUCUGAUUCUGAGGAAAGCUGGGUUUGUUUUGAGAGGGAAAAGGAUUCAGUCAGUGAGCUCAUUGAAAUUUGACACCAUGUCAGCCAGGCAUCAGGGCCCUCUGCACUGCAGCUUUGUUUUAUUUUUAAGCAGUGCCAUCCUAUUGUCUCAGGUCAGAGUGACUGCAGCUCCUUUCAGUGGGACCCUUGGUCUUUGCAUGGAGGAGCAAUAUCUCUGACUUUCAGAAGUGCCAUCUUGGGUGAGCAAGGACAUCUUCCCUUCCCUGGAGCUCACUGACCAGCAUGGCCUAUUGUAGAAACAUUUCUGAGCUGCUUUCAACACUGAUGCUUAAGGGCUAUUAUGAAUGAGAAUUUCUAGCUCGGGGAAAGGAAAGGAAAACUAACUCACUCUCUCUCUCUCUCUCUCUCUUUCUCUCUCUUUGGUACUGGGGAUUGAACUCAGGGGCACUUAACCACUGAGCCACAUCCCCAGGCCUAUUUUAUAUUUUAUUUAGAGACAGGAUCUCACUGAGUUGCUAAGGGCCUUGUUAUUGAUGAGGCUGGCUUUGAACUUGCAAUCCUCCCAUCUCAGCCUCCCCGGCCGCUGGUAUUAUAGGCGUACACCACCGCACCUGGCCACUUCUCAUUUUUAAAGGAAAGAAAAUAAACAUUAUUAUUUGAUAGCAAUUAAAUAUUACUUGUGAUGAUUUUUUAUUUUUACUCUUUGCUUCAAUCAAUAGUUGUUUUUAAAAGUUUUUUUUUUUUAAAGAAUAUACUCAUUCAACAGACAUUUAAGAUACCCCUUCUAUUUCUUUAAUGAUAAUAACAAAGAUUAAGUUGUUACUUUGUUCCAGGACUUGCUAUCCUACAAGCAGUAUUUUAUUUGAGCCUCUCAAAUUUUCUAUUAAAAAGGCAUUAUUAUCAUUCACAUUUGUUAAAUGAGGAAAGAGACCCAUAUGAGGUUAAAGAAAAGUAAAGGCAAAUAUCUAAAUAUUAUGGGAGAUGCUAAAAAGUCACAAUCCUUGCCUUAGAAGAGAAGUAUGUCAGAAUGAGAAGGAACCUUAGAGACCUCUGACAAUACCAUCACAUCUUAUAGAUUAAGUCCAUCACUUGCCCAGGGACCACAGUCAGUAGAGGAAGACCCUGGAUGGGAACCAAGGCCCUCAUCCCAGUGCAUGUGCCAAUAUGUGCUUUCUUCCUCCAGGAGUUUAAAGUAUUGUUAGAAAUACCACCCCACUUCUUCCCUCUAGCAUCACAACUCUGGAAGAGGGCAUGUUCUUAAUGUACAAAUGAAACUUGCAGAUAAAAGUUUCCAUAGGCACAGAGAGAUCUUUUGGAGGUUUCUGAUGUUCCCGGAAGGCUUAGUACAGAAGAGAGCCUCUAGCUCAACCCCAAAGGGUGUGAAAAUUUGAACUCAUUGAAGGAGAAGAGAACAGAUGUUCCAAGAAACUUCCUGAAUAAAAGCUUUGAGUUUCAGGAGAUUUUGUCCAUUAGGCAGAGGAUUCCUGUAAGGGAGUAAUGGGAGACAAAGAAGCAGGUUAUUCUGAGCUUUGCUUGCCAGAUACAUGAGGGACAGAUGGACGCAGAACAAGAAGUGGUUACUGGAAAUAAUCUAGAUGUGAGCUGAUGCUGCCCUGAGCAAAAGUGGAGACCAAAGAGGAAAGGAAAUCUUCAUGUUGUGACAAGAUUGAGGGCAUUUUAGGGUCUAAAUAUACAUUGAGAUAAAGAAGCCAUUACUGCAGGGAGGAGGUUACGAUGAGCAAGAAGCUGUCUCUGGGAAGCAGGAAUGAUGUGGUUCAAUUCUGGGGUCAGGUGGAGGUGCAAGGCUACAGGCUUGAAUGCAGUUGAUUUGCACCCUAUUGAUUUUCCUGAGCAGACCAUUUUCACCCUAUCGAUUUUCUCGGUUGAUUGGGCUGUGUUUUCUUGUUGGUUAGAGGUCACUUUGUUCCCUUUAGAUUAAUUUUUGGCUUCUUGCUACUUCUCUUGUUAGUGUGUGCUGCUCCACUCAUGACUGGCAGCUGUGGGCCAAAUACGACAUUUCCACUUGGUAGUUUUAUUGUUUGGUGAAAAGUUGAGGGUGCAACAGGAAGUCGAACUUACAAAGGAGAUUGAGCCUAGCUCAGCCAUCUGUAAAGAGGUGUCACCGUGGCUAUCAUAGCGAGACUAGGAUUACAGAAGCUACACUGUCCACGUGUGCUAGAUGCUUGGGUAGAAACUCCUGGGAGAGUGACAGGAGUUGCCUGCUCAUGCUUCCCAUACCCUCCAGCACAGCUGAGCCAAGCUUGUGGGAGACAGCCUGGAAAUAACCCUGGGGAAAUUCCUUCAUUAUCCUGGCUCCGUUUUCUUUACUCUUCUAUAAAAUUAAAAGUUGGUACUGAUGCAUGAGAAUUUCAUGGACAAAAGUCAGGAUUUGCAGUUAGAAGACUUGAAUUUUGAAUCUCAGCUUGUCCUUGGUUGGUCUCUUGUCAUAUCUGUAUUCCUUAUUUGUAAAGUAAGGAUGCUGACAUCUGCCCAGCCUACUUCACUGGGUGAGAUACUGUGUCUGGCAAUGCUGGGCACACUUUUAAAGCUCCAAUUCCAGCUCAUCUCAGCAUUAGGACUGCCCUGAAGCAAAUCCCACUCUUCCCAGCAAUUCAAGGGGGUAAGUGAAGCUGGGGGAGCCAGCUUGGGCUUGUGUCAAUGGAAUCACAAACACUGCCCUUAACGAUGGCCAUGAUAUAGAAAAGGUUGAAGCAAAAUCCUGGCCUGGCCCUGGAAUCCCUGUACUUCUUGUUUUAUUUACAAAGCUUAUCACCAAAUGCUAAAAGAAAAUAAAUUGAUUUCCAUCUUUACUGAUGUGUUAAAAUUGCUGCAACACCUCAUAUUACCAAAUAGAUUUACUGUAUAAAUUGGAACAUAAUUGGUACUUCAGGCAGGUCACAAAUCUACUUUGGCAGGAGCGAAUCGCUCACAGUACAUUGAUUAUCAAAAUUAGUUAAUUCAAGACAAACAUUGCAUUCUCUGAUUCCUGGCACAAAUCCCUCCAAAUCUUCCAUGCAUUACUGCUGUAGAGCUAAAAGAUAGAUAUCCAUCAGGUCACUGAUUCUCUGCAGGGCUGAUUUAGAUGGUACUUAUGCUAGUGCAUCCACCAAGAAGAGAUAGAUCUCAUUUAUUAAAGCUGCCAGGCGGGAGCUUAAAUGAUGGGAUUUAGUAAUAUUGUACUAAUCUGUUGCCUUUAUUUACUGCUUCCUGUCUUACUGGUGUAAAUCUUCUCAUGGAAGAAUGUCUCCUAAUUCAUUCAAUUUGACUUUCCUCAUGAGGAACAGAGGCAAGGUAUAUCCUCAUGGGAACUAGCAUUUUCUGAGUGCCUCUGUGUAGAUAAUAUCGGUGCUUCACCCAGAUUCCCUUCAAUAAUGUUGUAAUAAUAUGGCAGGGAGCAAAAGGGACAGCAGGCUGGGCUGUGGUGUGUUUUCACUUCCUGUAGCCAGCACCUGCAGCUCCUUUUUGAGGAGGAGGCUUCAGACUUACCUCCUUCAAGCUACUGGAAAUUGCUUUGCCACACAGAGAAGCAGGAGGCCCUGGGCAUCUGUGUUUCUGGGAACAUAGUGGUGGCACAUAAAUAAUGACUGAUAGGUUCAGGAGCGUGAAAGCCCAGUUCCCUUCCCGCAGGUGUAACUUACACUCUGGAAUUCUCCUGCAGGAGCAAGCUGAAGCCAGUCUCUCUGAACUUGACCAGAAACUGCAUCUUUGUGUGGCUUCUUCCCUUUCCAUGCCUAUUCUCCCCCCUACGCCUAGUGGACCCCCCAAGGGUACUUCCUCAAUAAAUCAGGUGUAUAUGAAUCUCUGUCUCAGGGUUGGCUUCUGGGAGAUGUGAUAUGAGACACUCUGAAUUCUAGAUAAAGGCUGGGCACUUUAAGUCUACUAUUUCGUUUAAUCUGUAUGAUAAACAGAGUUAAGUUCGUGUCUAAUAUCUCAUUCAAACUUUGUCAUAAACCCGAAGAGUCAAGUAUUAUUAUCACUCUCAUUUUGGCUGUGGUGAGGGUACUGGGGACUGAACUCAGGGGCUCUUGACCACUGAGUCAUAUCCCAAGCCCUAUUUUGUAUUUUGAGACAGGGUCUCACUGAAUUGUUUAGCACCUUGCUUUUGCUGAGGCUGGCUUUGAAUUCAAGAUCUCUUGCCUCAGCCUCCUGAGCCACUGGGAUUAACGGUGUGAGCCAUUACGGGCGUGAGCCACUGCACCCAGCAUCACUCAUUUUAUAAGUGAGAAUAUGAAACUCAGUGGAUUUGACCACUGGUGUUCCAGUUAUCUAUUGAUACAUAACAAACUACCCCCAUACUUUGUGACUUGAAACAACAAACUUUUUUUGGCUCACAUAUUGCAAUUUGGGUAGGGAUGGUGGGCCAGCUCAGCUAAGUGUCAGUUGGAGCAGCUCAGUUGGGACUGGAUGAUCUACUUCCAGCAUGGCUCACCCACACAGUUGGCAAGUGGUUGCUAGUUCUUGACUUCUUUCCUCUCUAUGGGGUGGCUUAGUCUUUCUCACACUAUAGUGGCUGUGGUCCAAGAUUAAGCAUCUAAAGAGACAGGUAGAUGACAGUUUUCUCAGGAACUGGUCCUAGAAAUUGUUAUAGAUUCACUUCUACUAUAUUCUAGUAAUCAGGAAUCCAGAACAUAGGUCUAUCUCUUGAUGGGAGGGGUAUCAAAGAAUAUGGGGGCCCUUCUUAUUAAUUUCAGAAACUGCACAUAUUUAAUAUAUACCUUUUUAUAGCUUUGAACAAAUACAUACACCUAUGAAAUCACUAUCCAAUUGAAGGUGAUAAAUAUUUCCAUUGUCUCCAAGAGUUUUCUUGUGCCCCUUUGAGAUUUUGUUUUGUUUUGAUUUGACUUUUUUCCUCUGGUAAUAUACUUCACAUGAGAUCUACCCUCUAAACAAAAUGUGAAGUGAGCAAUAUACUGUUGUGAACUGUAGGCAGCUCUCUGGAACUCAUGCGUCUCGUGUAAAUGAAACUCUAUACCCAUUAUGCUAGUUAGUUUUCUGUUACUGUAACAAAUACCUGAGACAAACUUUUAAGGAAGAAAGGUUUAUUUUGCUUCAUGAUUUCAGAGGUUUUAGUUCAUGGUCACUUGGCUCCAUUGUCUUUGGGCCUAUAUCAGGGCAGAACAUCAUGGCUGGGAACAUGUGACAGAGGAAACUGCUCACCUCAUGCUGGCCAGGAAGUGGGUAGAAAGAAGAGGUCAGGAUCAUAAUACCCCCUUCAAGGACAAGGGCCUAGUGACCUAACUUCCUUCUACUGGACCCCACAACCUAAAGGUACAUUGGGCUGGGGACCUAGCCUUUAACACAGACCUUUGGAGAACAAUCCAGAUCCAAAUAUAUUAAACAAUACUCCCCAUAUCUUUCUUCCAUUAAUUCCUGAAAACCUUCAUUCUACUCUUCUCCUAUGAAUUUGAGUAUUUCAGAUACUUCAUAAAAGUAUAAUUAUGUAAUAUUGUCUGCCUGUGUCUGACCACUUAGCCUAAUAUCCUCUAGACUCAUCCAUGUUAUCACAACUGGCAGGAUUUCCUUCUUUUUAAAGGCUAUAUAAUAUUCUUUUGAGUGGACAAAUUAUAUUUUCUUUAUCCAUUCAUCUAUCAAUAGAUAUUUAAGUUGUUUCCUUAUCUUGAUUAUUGGGAAUAAUGCUGUAAUGAAUAGGAUUUUGAACAGGUCUUGAUUCUAAUGCUUUUGGAUAUCUACCCAGAAGUGGGGAGGAGGAAGGAUAUUUUAAUUGCUAUAGUAGUGGGCUAGUAAACAGGGGACAGGAUUCAAACCCAGGCCUACCUAAAUUCAUAGCCAAUCCUUUAGCUUCUAAAUGUUCUUAGCAUUUAACACUUGUUCCUUCUACUUAGUGGCUCAUCUCCUUUCUUGUGUGAUGCUCUGGCCUUCAUAAAACAUACACUUGAAGAGAGUAUUCUAGCACCUUAAAGACAGACAGUCUACACUGGUGUGUGAUAUUCAAUAAGUCAUCCCAUUAGUGGCUAUAAAAGGGGAUAAAUAAAUUUGUAACUGGAACUUAUAAUUUGGGAUGUUAAAAUAUUUUAAUGGUAAAGAUUCACUUUUUAAAUUUGUAUUAACUAAUCAAUAGUCAGAAAGGGGUUAGCUGUGUUAGGUGGCAGAUAGGAAUGUGUGAACAGAAUAUGUUUGGAUUCUGGAGAAGGAAGAAAGCUGAAACCUGGGGCUGGCUGAUACCACAGCUCAAUAAAUAUGUGAAUUUAUAGAGAAAGAAACAUCACGGCAUGGUGUUGGUCAAGAGUAGACAUCUGGAAGCUGGAAGUCAUUUGUGGGAAGAAGGUGGAAAAAGGAUAUUUGGGAGAACAAUGGUAUUCUUUGGCUCUUGAAUAGUAGAUACAGGGACCUGGUCCUGAGGUUGAGGUACCAGAGAGGUAUUGGUAAUGAGGUAAGAGAUAAGUGGGUAAAAUUAGGAUAUCAGUCAGAAAGAGACUAGAGAGUGAGUUGGCUUGAUGAUGGGCCAUUAAGCCCUUGUCUUGAAGACUUCCUGAAUUCACCAGCUCCAGUGCAAUGGGAAGGGGCCAUAAGUAAGUCAUAAUUCCAGGGGUUCUGGUUGAUACCCAGAGGUUGUGAGACAGACUUAGGCUUUAGAUAAAAAUAAAUUUUAUUUUAAAAACCAGCCCCAUCACAUUUGGCAUCUUGUUUUAGAAUUCUUAUCCUUAGUUUAGCAGUCUGUAAAAUUGGGAUAAUAAUAGAUAUUUGAAAAAUUUUAAGAAAUGUUACCAAGAAUGCAUACCAAGUUCUCAGCACAUUGCAGGUGCUAGUAUAUAGUAGCUAACAUGAAUAGUCAAGGAUGGAGGAAAUACUUUUCAUGGGAGUGAAUGGAUGGAGCAAAAAUUGAGUUGGAUAUUUGUGUUAGAAGGAACCAAGUUGUGCCUUGCACCUAAGAUGGAUGCUAAAUUUACCUCCUGGGCAAGAUUUUGUGCUCUGAAAUUCCUUAUUUGCCGUAGACUAGUUCUUGUUGUGUGGUCAAUCGGAUCUGGGUAGUAUGACCUGGAUGUUUCCGUGUGGGUACAUUGUUCAAAACAAACACCAGGGACUAAACUUUGAGAUAGAAUUAUAGAAUUUUAGAGCUAAAAGGAAUCUGAAAUGGUACCAUCAUAGAUAGUUGAGACCUAAGAAGGAAAAAUGACUUACUUAAAUUCACCCAGAUGGUCAGUGGAAGAAGAAGAACUGUAACCUGGUGGUUAACUCUCAGUUUUCUAGGGUGGCUUUUCAAUUAGUACCACUGAUGUACAAGUUGCUUCACGUUUCAAUAGUAAUAAUAAUAACAACAAAACAAUAAUAAUAAUAACUGUUAUUAUUCACAAUACUUAUUAAAUGUUUGUUAUGAACUACUUAUAGUGCUUUAUAUUUAUAUUUCAUUAAAUCCUUACAACCAUAUGAUAUAAGCACUAUGAUUUUCUCCAUUUUUGGUGAGAAAGCUGAGGAAAAGCACCCAAGGAUGUGCCCAAGAUCAUGGAGCUAGGAAGUGGCAGCUUCAAAGUAUGGCUCCAGAUGCCCUGCUCUUGACACUAGGCCACACUGCUUCCUGUGCAUUUCAGUGGCUGGGAAGAUAAUGACUAUGUUGGAUGGAAGGUGACCAGGGAGUGUUCAGUCCUGGUAUAGUGGCCUUCUUGCUGUCCUUUACUGUUGUUUCUAAGUCCUGUCUGACCUGCAGGGUUUACUCUACCCUGUUCUUUAGAAUAAUUGUGAUACUCUUUUGUUGCUACUUUCCGUAUUUUGGAUCUUGAAUGUCUGUCCCCCAGAGUCCCAUGUGUUUGAUCUCUGGCAUGGAGCACUAUUAGGAAAUGAUGGGCCCUAUAGGAGGUAGGACAUAGUGGGAGGAAGUUAGGUCACUGGGGGAAAGCCCUUGAAGAGGAUAUUGGGACCCUGGCCUCUUCCUGUCUAUGUCUUUGCUUCCUUGGCUGCCAGGAGGUAGACAGGCCUCCCCCACCAUGUGCUCUCACCAUGAUGUACUGUGCUUCUGUAGGCCCCAAGCAACAGAACCAAGUGACCACAGACUGAAACCUCUGAAACUGUGAGCAAAAAUAAACCUUUCCUUCUUUCAAGUGGAUUACCCUGAGUACAUUGUCACAGGGAAGGAAAGAUGAUAGCAUAUGACUUUUCCAUUGAUCCUAUUCAAGUUAUAGUUCAGCUCCUCCAGCUAUACACUAACAGUUUUACUUAAUUUUACAUAAGGUUAUUAUAGCUAAAGCCUUUGCUGUUUAGAUCCUCCAGCUAUACACUAACAGAGCUUUCUUUUAAUUUUGCAUAAUGUUGUUACAGCUAAAGCCUUUGCUGUCAAGGCAAAACAUUGCCUUCCAAUAAAAAGGAAAGGUGAAUGACGAAGAAAUUGAAAGCCUCCAGACCAAGUUUUUCCUCUGGGUCCUGUGUGUUCUGGUUAAAUAUUGUGAAAUAUCUCUGUAGUGAGCUGAAAGAGGGACUUCUUGAACAGCUGAAAGAUUGUUUUAGACAGAGAAAAAGAAAUUUGGUAACAAUAAUAACAGAGGAUAACCAGACACAUGAAAACUAGAACUCAAUUUUCCAGUAUUCCUUGCAGCUAGAGGUGAUCUUGUGAACUACUUCUGGCCAAUAAGGUAAGAGAGCAAACUUUCACAAGAUAUCUGAUAAAGAGUCUAGGCAGGGGAAGAGAAUAUCUAUCUCCUUGAACUUGUCUGUGAUGCCAGAAUUGUGGUUCUCAUCUUGUGACCAUAACAGAACAAGCAUGAAGAUGCAAAGCUAAUACGCUUAGAUUAGUAGAGCAGAAUUACAGAAUGAAACUGAGUCCUUGAUAACAUUUUUGAGCAGCUAAAACAAUACCAGCAAUAGCCUACUUAUGAUCUUGUCAUGUGAGAAAAAUAAAACCCUACUUGUUUGCAAAACAAACAAAAAAAGUACUGUGAUAUACUGUGAUAUUUCUUAAGUGAAAAAAGGUAAAAAAAAAUUCUAAGAGAUUUGCAAAAAUUAGGGAAUGAGUGAAUUAGUUAUAAGGGUAAUCAGAAGCUAACAACUCUGAUUAAAAAGGCAGCAGCAAGCUACUGGGAGAACUGAAGAAUGCAGUCAGUUCGAUAGCUGGAUUUUAAGUUGAACUUGUUCCUGUUUCUGCAACUCCAAAUUGGAAGUCUCAAACAAAUCAUUGCUUACCCUUCUGGGGACCAGUAAAAAAACAAAAAGCUGACCAAAAAAACCCAGCAAGGUAAACUCUGUGAAUGUUGUCUCUGGAUUUUCUGCUGUGCACAGUGGGAGCUCUUUACUACUUUGCUGAGAGGCUGAUUCUAACUUAAUUUUCAGAAGCUGGCUUUGGAAAGCAUUACCCUGUACCCAGCUCCCUCACUGAACACACCAGCCUGCAUGGGAAUGUGCUGUUGUGCACUUGACAUCUUCUACAAGGUAAGAUGCUAGAGAACCUGGUCUGAACUGUAUUUGGUGAUUCAGAGAUCAACAUAAUGCCUGACAUGUGAGUGGCAUUUGAAUCAGUAGGGUCCUGGCAGAAAGCAGAUGGUGCACUCAAAUUUAGUUCACUGAAAUGACUAUUUACAAAGGUGUGAGCGUAUAUAGGGAACUGGAUGGUAUGGUGCAGCACCCUGAGUUCAUGAGAGUGUGGAGCCAUUAUCACCCCAAGUCUAAAGGAUGCUUAGGGAAGAGGUGGCUGUAAUCCCCAAACACAGGCAGCUAUGGGUAUAUUUAGGGCUGCAGCCUGCUCAUGGCAACCCCUUAGAGAGGAAUCUGGGAGAGUCAGCUCUUGCUUUCCUCCCUCCUUUGAUCUACUGCUGAUGCUUCCCAGUGAUUGACUCAAACUGGGUUCCAUCCAUAGGAAGAUUAGAAGAUAAUCUGUAUCGUAGUGUGAUUUUAGGAGGGAUGGCAAGACCUUUUGAUCCCAGCUAUCCCCAAAACCUCUCUCACCUUGUAGCUGAUACCUGAAACUCCAUCUUCAUUGCUCAUUUCCUUGAUUUGACUUUAUUUAGAAGGCAGUGCCAGCUAGGAAGAAGAGAGGGGACUGAGGGAUAACAAGAUAAGGUACACAUUGAGGAGAGCAUUAUGCCAAUACAGAGUUGGUGCCAAAUUAAUGCAGUUGGUAGAGUUUGGUUUCCUGAGAUACAGUGCUAGAUGGACAAGGGUAAAGAAUGGAUAUAGAGAGGUGAAAGGAAGAUCUCCAGCCACCACUUAUAAAUAUCUGUUGAGCAAGUGAGUGGUAUGUUCUCUUAACAUGCUCUCCAAGGAGUUCCUCCCCCUCCUUUCUUACUCUUUCCUUUGUCUAUUUGCACCUCUUUCACUCACUCACUCACUAAUUAUUACUUGCUUUGUACCAUAUGCCAACAGUGCUAAGUGGCAGGAAUAUAACAACAGAAUCCAUUGUUAGAAAGAACACAUUGGCGGUGGGGGGGGGGGCUACUGGGGUUGUGGCUCAGCAGUAGAGUACUUGCCUCGCACGUGUGCACGUGUGAGGCCCUGGGUUUGAUUCUCAGCACCACAUAAAAAUAAAUAAAUAAAAUAAAGAUAUUGUGUCCAUCUACAACUAAAAAAUAAAUAUUUUUCAUAAAAAGAAGGAACACAUUGGGAUAGGAUUAUGACAGUAUUAUGAUGACAUUUGGUCAGUAGCACUUCAACAGCCACACUUCCUUGCAAGGUUCCUGAAGGAAAUACACGUGUGGAGAAUAGAGCGAUAUAAAGCAAAGUAUCAUUGUUGGUGGAGACUGGGAAGUUGUGCUGGAACAUGUGGAAAGCCUCUUCUUGCCUCACCAGGAAGGCCCAAGUGGCUUAAGUCAGAGAAGGCCAGAGGUCUUUCCUUUCCACCCAUAACUCCUAACCCCAAUAUUGACAUAAUCAUUCCUACUGGAGCAAAAGCUGCUUACUUCUCUCUACCCUGGUAUUCAGCCUGUUCCCUGCUUAGGGAUUUUUCCUUCUGUACCCCUGAGGAGUUUUAGUACUACUUCUAGGCCAUCUUGUUUCUCUCCAUAACAAGACCAUCCAUAGGAAGAUUAGAAGAUAAUCUGUAUCGUAGUGUGAUUUUAGGAGGGAUGGCAAGACCUUUUGAUCCCAGCUAUCAAAACCUCUCUAAUCUUGUGGCUGAUACCUGAAACUCCAUCUUCGUUGCUCAUUUCCUUGGUUUGACUCUAUUUAGAAGGCAGUGCCAGCUAGGAAGAAGAGAGGGGACUGAGGGAUAACAAGAUAAGGUACACAUUGAGGAGAGCGUUAUGCCAAUACAGAGUUGGCCCUCCUCCUGGUCUGGUGAGAUGCUCUUCUGUGACCCUGCUGACUCAAGAGUUCACUGUUUUCUCCCUGCCUCCCUCCCUCCGUCCCUCCCUCCCUUCCUUUUUCAUUUAUUUUUGUGGUUCUGUGACUUUAACUGCAAGUAUAGGUUUGUGUAACCACCACUACAAUCAGGAUAUAGGCCGAUUCCUUCACUCCUCAAAACUCCUUUGCUCUCCCCCUUUAUAGUCACACUUGUCCCAAACUCUUGCAGCUGGGAACCACUGAUCUGUUCUCUACCACUAUCAUUUUUGUCUUUUCAAGAGUGACAUAUAAAUGGAAUCAUACGGUGUAUAACCUUUUGAGACUGGCUUCUUUCACUCAGCAUAAUACCUUUGAAUUUCAUCCGACUGAUGUGUUUUAAACCAUCUGGUUUUGUUCUCUCAUGGAUUGGAUCUGCCUUCACUCAACAGCACAUUGCCUGCCAUCUAGAGACUAGAUCAUUGUUCUGUCUGUUGUUCAACUCUUAUUAAAAGCCUGUGUUUUAAUCAGGCUCAUUUGUUUGCAAGGAAUACUCAUUCAGCUUCCCCCUCAAAAAUGGGAGUUUAUUGUAAAGAUCCAGGGCUCCUCUGGGAAUCCAAAUAAAGGAGGCUCUUAUCAUGGUCAGUUUUGGAAAUGGGAGGUGGUUUUGGAUCUAAGACAGCUUUGAGGGAGAGUUUGUAACCACUGUAUCUCCCUUAGAAGAUGCAUGGAUUGCCUCUCAUCCUGUUUCUCCCUUUGUAUCUUUGUGCUCUGUUUUCACUCUUCUCCUGAUUACAUGCUGCAUCUACUUUCCUUUUGCAUUUAGCACAUGGUCUACCUUUGCCCUAUGAUGGUUUGACAGCUGUCCCUGCUUCCAGCUGGAAUUUUAGAUUCAAAUUCCUGAGGAACUAUCUGAUUAACUCUGCUCAUCUUUUGAGUCGGAUAUCUUUUGGGUUUAUGGCCAUCUGAUAGUCUCUGGCCUGCUUGGUUCUAACCACCUGUGUCCGGUUCUGAUGGGGUCAUGGUGGACUGGUAGAAUAGAUUCUUUAGAAUGGGGGGAGAUGAGGGUGGAGUGGGCAAUGGUUCAUGGUUCUAGUAUUUUCCAUUAAGAAAACACUUUUUAUGUUUCUUCUUCAGAUAUUCUGUUGUUCAUUUGAUCAAAUUAGGUCAUAGGAAAAGUGUAUUUGGUCCAUCUUGGUUACCCUUCAGCAGACUGCUUUCACUCAGCUGUUUUAUUACCCUGCUGACUCUUACCAAGGGAAAUUUCAAGGAAGAGUCCUGUUGAAAUUGUGACUUAAUUUUCUGUUUUGAGGACAUUAUCUAUAUAGUGCUUCUAAUAGGAAGCUCCAUGUGAGAAAUUUGUUUUAGGUAUGAACUUAAGAACACACGACUUCCCUUAAGGAAUUGGCACGUUUCCCUCCUCUUAACCAAGGAAUACUGAAUAAUUAAUUCAGUUUCCUUUUGUUGGUGCUCAGAAAACUCAUUCCCAAUCAAUCAAUCAGCUAGAGCAGCUAUUCAAUUUCUUAGUGUUCUUGGCCUUAUCUUGACAUUUUCUAAUUUUUCUUGAUCUUUAAUUUUAAAUACAUGUUUGUUCCCUGUGACCCAUCAUAUAAAUGUUAAAGAAUGGAGACACUGAUAAAUAAAUAAACAAAUAAAAUCAUACUAGAGAGAACACUGGGAUAUGGAGUCUAGUUCUUGGACCCAGACUAUCAUUUGACUUGUUCCAUUAGGUCUUUUCCUAUGAUAAAUGUCCACUGAGCUAAUAAUAAUAGUCAUAGACUUUUUAAGAUAGAGAAAACCUAUCAUGAAAUAUAUAUUGGGAAUUAUAUGAAGAGUUCUAAAAACUUAUUUGUAUCAUCUCAUCUAAUCCUCAUAAUUCUUGUAGUGUUGUGGUGUGAACUGGUAAAUACAAUCAAUAAGAGUGUAAGUUAUAGGUUAUAGAUUAGUAAAAAAUAUAGACUAUAGAUAUAAGAUUUUGAUAAGUGAGAUAAGAUAAUUAUAAAGCAAGAACUGUCAUAGACAGGCCUAAGUCUCCAUUUUGCUGCCUUCUGUUAAAAAAUAUAAAAAUAAAAAAAACUGUUACAAGAGCUGUUUCUGAGAAACUGAAAUGAAAGCUGUUUUCUUAUAUUGUUUUCUGUACUUUGUACAAAAUGUACUCAACCCAGGUUAUGGUGGUCUUGGUGACCCAAGACUUUGAAGUAGAUUCUCGCCCCUGCUAACCACCUCCUCAAACUCAGGAUACAAUUGUCUACCACACGCUCAGAUCCCAAAUGUGGUUAACUGAGUUGCAAAUCUGACUGCUUUUUUUCUAGCUUCUGUGAUUGGCUUGCCUGCAUGACACUAAGGAAAGCCCCUGAGUUGUGGUUUUCAUUUUUAAAUUCCCAGGAAGCGGCUGUUCUCCCACAGAGCUCUCAUUGAUUUGAGAUAAAUAAAAUAAAGCUCUCAUUGAUUUGAAUUUGAAUUUCUGAAGCGGCUCCCCGUAACAGUAGGAGAUACAUAUUAGGGUAAGUAAUGAUGAGCUUAAAGCUUCGACUUCUCCUGUAGUCUUUGGUGGGCUUUCCAUGGCUCACAUGUAAUGUCAAUGCUGAUAUUCUAAAUGAGGUUUUUUAUUUUUAGUGUCUUGGUUCUCUCAUCUACAAGUACUUAACUUAUCUGACCAUGACCAGGGCAGGAAUGGUGCCUAACUCCUUUGCCUAGUGGGAAGACUAGAAAGGCAGUUCCUAGGAAAUUAAUUUUUAUGAUAAAGAUGAGAUUUUACCUGUAGAAAUUUGUGCUCACCCUUGGAGCUGGGCAUGGAUUAAGAAAAAGCUUGUUUUCUGCCAAAAUGUAGGGCUGGCUCUGGUAGACCACUUGGCUUUCUUUUGAGGGGAUGGGACUUGAGAAGGGGGCCAUUGCUUGAAGUGUCUCUGGAGUCAUUAUUGCUGACCUGGCCUGUAUCUGUGAAGGGACUCACCCAUGCUCCUCAGCUAGGAACUGCUCCUUGUACUGUGGGACAUUUGGGAGCCAUUAGGCCUUGGCUGAGGCUUUAUAAUCUUUAUUAUAAUCUAUCAUGGGGCCCAUAAAUAUUUAGCCAGAGAGACUGCCCCUGAGCACCAGUGACGGAGCAGGUCAAUAGCAGGUCAACCGUUUUAUAAAGCCACAAGGGGCUGCUUAACACGGUAGUACUUGACAAGGCAUCACUUCCAGGCAGAUCUCAAAUGAACACUGUGAUUCUCUGUGCACAGAGCUCAGUGCCAGGAGUCAAUUAGGAUCUGGGGUACUAUCCUUGUCUUUCCUCUACCUACAACCCCUUGAAAGAGACACAAUUUUGUCAUUGAGAGAACAAAAAGACUAUUUAUGCAGAGUCCAAGAGAUUGCACUUAUAUUUCAUAUUCCUUUGAUAGACUGGCUUCUAGGAACAAUGCCUUCUCAUUAUUAAUAAUUUCCUGGACAUUAUUCCAAAAUGAUCUGUCCUGAGACCAGGCUGAUAGGAAAAAUUAGGAUGCUACAUCUCGAGUUUUCACCAGAUGAUUUAGAAUUGAAGGUCUCAGUCAAACAUUUUUACCAACCUUCAUCUCAGACAUUGAAUGACUGAAAAUCUGAUAAAGGAGGGAGCCUCAUUUUCUGGUCAGUGACUUUGACUUCAAAUUUUGAAUUACAUAGACAGACAUUGUGUACUCAGGAGGAUCAGGAAAGGAACAAAAAUUGGAAAUCUUCCUAGGAAGUCUCUAGAAUCAUGGAAUUCUAUCCAGCCAGAUUGUGUCACCUUCUUAAACUUGAACUAGUGAGAGUUGGGGUAUCCUUCCUUUGGGGACAGUGUUUUGAGCAAUUCUAUAGACACCCUUAUCCUCAAUCCCCUUUCCAAGAAACUUUCAUUUCUUGUAUUAUUUUAGAUGAUUUCUCUUAGUCAGCAAUCUUAGGAAACUAGAUGCCACCCCCACUUCCCUCAAAAUAGGAGGGAGAAUCUUAUUUGGAGACUGAGGACAUACUUACAUUAGUCACCUCCCAGUAAGGAGAGGGCAGAAGAGCCAGAGAUGUAAGUAAUUGCAACCCUGUCCCUCCAAGACAAUGACACUAUUGUCCACAAUCUCUAGGGCCUUCAGAACCAUCCUAACUAGACUCUCAACAUUCUUUGUUCCCUUUCAGGAAACUAGAUGCCAUAAACUUAGUGUGCCCUGCAAUUCUAUUCAACACUUCAACACCUUCCUUUCCUUCAGAACGCCCCUCUGUGACAGCCACCAGAAGCCUCCCCAAGAAAAGCAGAUGCUGAGCAAGUGAGAAAGGGAAGGAGGGGAUGAGAACUCCUGAUCUAAGGGGGAUGGAAACCAAAGGGGAAGCAGAAAUAACCACCACGAAAACAAACAACAAAAAGCAGCAAAUGUCUAGGGACUAGAUUAAAAUUCUAUUGUAAUUGACCAUGUGAGCCUAGAGUUUUAAAGUUGGGCUUCAAUCAUGUUUGACUGUGACCCAUAGUAAAAAAUAAGUUUUGUGUUACCAGUGGGUACACACACACAGUUUUACAAACAACAUUCACCCUUAACUGCAAAGGAUGUAUACUGACUUUUUUCCCUCUAUUUUAUUUUACACCAUUUUAUCUCACCUUAUCUUACCUUUAUCAAUUCAAGCCUUUUCUGUUCUAUUUCAUUAAAAAGGGGGAAUGGCGGCUACCUAUUAAUUAAUUCCAUGAUUCACUAAUAGAACAUAACUGGCAGUUUAAAAAUAGUAGUUUGUUAAAAUUCAUGGAUAAGACUUCUGGAUUCAUAGACAUUCAGAACUGUGGAUCAUCCAUUUCUAAUGUAACCUCAUUUUACAAGUGAAGACACUGAGACUUUUUAGAGAGGAUGUAAUUCAUCCUGGAUCAUACAGUUGGUUGAUGGCAAGACCCAUGUUCUUUCCUGAAUUCACAUGGUGAUGCCAGAGGAGGUGUGGUGUGGGGCAUAGAGUCUGGGUAGUUUGAGGAUGUGGUCUGUUUAGAGUUCUGUAACCUUAUGCACAUCACUAAAACCAUUUGGCCUCAGUUUCCUAUAAAGUGGACUGUUGUGAGGAUUGAUUAGGUUAAGAUACAAGAGAGCUGGAGGUGAAGUUCACAGGCAAAGAAUACCUGUUUCUUUUCCUUAUCUCUCUGAUAGCCUGUCAUGCAUGUGCUAUCUGUAUUUCUCCUCAUUAGUGCUACAAUAGAGACCCCUGUCUAUUCUGGAGCCUCCCACAGGCAGAACAGGAAGGGAAAAAGUUAAUGUGGUAUUUGGCCUCUUCUCUUCACCAUCCAGAGACCCCUGUCCUGCAAUUCCCCUACUCAACCCUCUCCUUUUUUCCGAUUUGCUUUUUCUUCUUGGUUUAUCUUGCCAUUUUUUAAAAAGAUAUUUUUUAUCAAUAUGUCUUGAAUUUGGGGACCUCUUAAAUUAUCCAAGGCCAAUAUAUGGAUAGAAAUAAGCAGUCUACAUAGAGAUGAUAAACAUACUCAAAAAUACCUGUAUGGAUCUAUAACAACCUGUAGAUCCCAGAGUGGGGUCUGGAUGUGGGAAAUGGGAAGGGAGCACAUUAAAUAUCUGGAAAUUCAUCAAAGAUGUUCCACUUGGGUCUUAAGAGGAUGACAUUCCACAAAGUCAGACAUGUGGAUUUUGUCCUCAGUUGGUGGCAGGGAAGCACCAUGUUAUCCCUUGGGGCAACUAGAUGCAUGAGAUUUUCUGUGGUCUAAACGUAAGCAAAAAUGAAUAGUCACAUGCCAGGAGAACCCAUUCUUUCGUGGGAGGGCUUCAGAUGGCAUAUGAAGGACAGUCUCAUACAUAGGUGGUUUUGUCAAGAGGGAGGUUCAGUUGGCAUCAACCACAUGCAAUGCUUUCAGAAAGAUAAUUGAACUUAAUGUUAUUUUUUUAAGUCACCCUGGGAUUAUUUCUUUCUCUGUAUUGGAAGGGGUUCAAAGAACUGGAGUUCAUUUCUCCAAAGACCUUCACAUGUUUUAGAACCACAGGAAAAAUUUGCGUGAAAAACAUUUAAAUAACUCCAUCUGCUUUUUCCUCCUGUUUCUUAUUUGAAAGAUAAGGCAAGGGUAAGGCUCAUUUUGUUUUUUCUCUUAUCAACAUAAAUUCUGCUCAAAUAUCUGGUUCAGUUUCCUUAGUAAUUUAUGCAUUCUCAGCUCAGUGAUUUUCUGCAGAACCAGUCUUUUAUGAGAAACUAGAAUUUUCCCGGGGAGAAAAUUGCCUUCUCUGUCACUGUACUCUAUAUUUAGUGCAUAACCACCUGUGUGACAUGACCUGAGUUUCCACAUCUAAAAUGAAGAAGCUGCACCUAGAGAGGACAUCUUUUGUGAUGGUUAAGAGCAUAGAUUUGGGAGCCAGGCUGCCUGGCUUGAUCUCGACUUUUCUACUUAUUGGUGAUGUGACCUUGAGGAAAAUUACUUAACCCAUCUGUGUUUCAGUUUUUUCACCUUUAGAUUGAUGGUGAUAAUAAUAGUAUCUGUAUCAUAAAAAUUAUAUGAAUUAAUGCAGUGCCUAGUUUUAGUAAUUGCUAUAUGAGAUUUAGUGUUUUUCUCACUGAAAUGAACCGUAAGGUCUCCUAUGGUUUUAAAAGUGGAUGAUGAGAUUACAAUAAUACUAUUUUACAUUAGAAUAGCUAUUUGUUGUUUAUAAGACUUAGCUCCAUAUAUUAUCCUCCAGAUGAGGAAAUUGAGGGAAAGGUUAAAUGAGUUGAAUAAAGACACUAUUCUGACACUUGCCUCACCGGAUGAUGCUGCUCAGCUAACUUUUCCCUCUUAGAUGGUCCUCCUCUGGAAACUUUUCAUUAUAUUUAAGUAGUGCUGUUUUCCUUCAAAGUGUUGGAUGCUACCAUAAAGCCUCUGUGACUUUUCCUGUCCCUUUCUGCUUUAACUGAGAAAUUCUAUUUGUUCUGAUGGGCAAACACAGAAUCUUAGUGGGACGGUCACAAUACCAAUUCAUGUCUUACGUAAAGGAGAGUAUCAGUGUUCUCAGUUGGUAGGGGACCAUUCAAGGACCCAGGCUCUUUUCUCUUUCAGGGCUCUAGAGUUCUUUCCUUCUAGGUGGUGGACGGAACAAAAGACCAUGAAGAUUUUCACCUAAAUUUUAACCACAUUGAUUCAGAAGCAACACACAUCACUUCCUUUCACUUUUCUUUUAUUAUUUUUUAUUUUUUAUUUUUUAGUUUUCGGUGGACACAACAUCUUUUUAUUUCAUUUUUAUGUGGUGCUGAGGAUUGAACCCAGUGCCCCACGCAUGCCAGGAGAGCGCGCUACUGCUUGAGCCACAUCCCCAGUCCUUCCUUUCACUUUUCAAUAGCAAAAGUAUACUAUGUGGCUCCAUGUAGGGCCAGGUGGGGCUGGGAAAUGUGACCUCCAUGGGGCAGUCAUGUCUUGAUAAUUUAGAGGAGCAUGAACUUUUGAUCAUCAGUUGCCAUUUCUGCCACACUAAUUCACCCCCACAGCAAUCACGUAUUAUAUCUCUCUACAUUUUCUCUUCCAUGGCCCUCUACUUCCAUUCCCAUAGCUACCACCCUGGUUUCAUCCCUCCUAAUCUCAUACUAGCAUAUCAUAGCUACUUCCUGCUUCUAUUCUCUGUAUUUUUCCAUCUCUCCCUCAUGCCACAGCCAGAUUAAUCAUCCUGAAUAACUCUUUCAAAAUUUCAUUUUUCUAUGUUUCCAUUUAGCAGCAGCUCAACAAUGUUUGUGUUUCUGUGUCAGUCACAGUGCUAGGCACUGAAGGAGUUCAUAAAGAAAUAAUGCUUGGUUCCUGCAUUUCAGCUGCUUUUAAGCAGGGAAAACUAACAUGCAUACAUUAAGCUGUGAACCAGGAUAGGGAGUAAGCCCUAGGAUUGAAGUACCAGUACCUUCCUAUUUGCAUAUAGAGGAGGGGAAUAUUAAUUACUCAGAAAUGGUGAACAAUCCUGGGUUAUCACAAGACUUGGGAGGAGGUAAUGAGUAUGUACUAAGUGUCUGAAACUGAGCUCAAAUUUCUGGGCUUGGUUGAAUUUCAUUUCAGGGAAUUAAGAGAGAACAGUUGAAAUUGCUAGGGAGGCUGGGUUACACAUAUAUAUAAAUAUACAUACAAACACAUACACACACACAUAUAUAGAAUACCAUUAUAUAUAUAUGACAAUUAUAUAUAUAAUUAUUAUAUAUUUUUAGAAAAUAAAGGAGAUAGGAGAUUCUAUAUUCCAUAGUCUAAUGAACUUGGUAUCUCUAACUAGAAAAAUUAUAAAAUUUAUUAAUAAUAAACGGGGCUGUCUUGGGCUUACUAUGAACAAAUCAUUUCACUUUGGUCUUGUUUUCUCUCUUUUAAGGUUAAUUUGAUUUAAGAUCAAUAUAAGAUAGAGAUUGGGUUUUUCUGAAUUCCAGCUAGGAUUUUGAUCAGUUUGAAUACAAUUCUUAAAAAAGAAAUUAGAACAGUAUGGAUGAUUGUGUGGUUUGGUGGAUUAAUAGAAAAAUCAAUACGAACGUGGAGGAAGGUAUGGAGAGAUUUGUUUCAGGAACCUAUCCCCUGCCUCCUGUCCUUUAAAAAAUAUUAAUUUUUUUUGUGAAAGACUUGAUUCUCAGGUUUAUGGUUACUGUGAGCAAGGAUAGUAUCUUUGAGAUAGAGUGAUUUCUGCUUAGAGUUCUCUGGAUGACUUUCUAAACUUGAGGUUAGAAUUAAAAAGAUAAAUGAGGUAUUGAACUAUGUAUGGUCAUUUACCUCUGCAUAUGUUUAUCCCCUUUUGAAAAAAUUGAAGCCAAAGAAUUUCUAAUUAUAGUUUGGCUAAACAGUGAUUAUGCAUUAAACAUUAACUUUGUACCACUCAGAAUGACUAUGCCAGAAGGGUUUUCUUGCUUAUUAGUUAAAAAAAUGGUAAAAUAGAAAUUAAACCCUGAAUCCUUCCCUGGAAUUUUCAGGGGGAAAUAAGUCAAUGAAUUGUACCUUCCUCCUUACCCCUAUGUCCUGUACCCUACACCCUGCUUCUGAAAUAACAGCCUUAGAGAACAGAAUCAAUUGGAAGUAGACUGUGCCAUAAUGAGCAGAAGUUUGGAAAUUCAACAUAAAUAUUGGAACCCUGGGUGAUAGCUGGAAGUGCUAUGGUUGGAAAUAUUAGGAGAUGCCUGAAGGCCUAUCUCUACUCCCCUGGAUACCACAAAAUAAAAAGCAUGAACGUAUGGUAAGUCGUGCUGUGGUUUAGAUGGAAUGAUUAAAAUCAUGUGACUAUAAUCCAAUUCCAUUCCAAGAGGAAGAACCCUAAAUUAUGAACAUCUUCUAUUCUUGGGCCAGGGAUGGGGGUGGUUGCAUGCACCUAAUAAGUGGGAUUCUCUUCAUUUAUAAGUGUUCAGUGCUAAAGAAUGCUUAUUUCAGUUGAGUCAUACAGUGUGCUUAGUCAGCAAAGGGCCAAUUUUGGAAGUUACAUGGCCUCAUGUCAGUGAUGUUAUAGAAGGAGUUCUUAAGCUGAACAGAGGACAAGAAGGCUUUAGGAGAAAGGGCCUUUGAAUAUCCCUUUGGGUACCCAAAAGAUCCAAAUUUUUGACUUAUCAUGUAUGUCCUCUGCUUAAGAACUUGAACUUUCAUGUCUGAAAUAUCUGUUUUAAUGCCAACUCUGCCAUUUCAUUUGGACACAUUGAACAAGUUACUUUACCUUUCUAUGCCUUGGUUGCUUGACUGUAAAGUGGGGAUAUAAUAUUAAUAUGUCAACUGUUGACCUCUCAAAAGAUUCAGCUAAAAGCUCUGUUGAUCAAACAUGGCUAAGAGACUUGCUGUUAUAAAGGAUGGAUCACCACUUACCAAAGUCUUUAGAGUGACUCAAAGGAGGGAAGUCACGAGAAGGUAUUUAUACAAUUGUUCUUAAACUCUUCCAAAAAUAGAACAGUGUAUACUUCCAAACUCUUUUUUUUUUUUAAUGAGGCCAGCAUCUCUCUGAAACCCAAGCCAGAAAAACACCACAAGAAAAGAAAACUCUAGGCCUGAUUCCCUGAUGAACAUGUAUGCAAAAAUCCUUAGCAAAAUAUUAGCAAACCAAAUUCAAUGGCACAUUAAUAGGAUAAUAUACCAUGACCGAGUGUGAUUUAUCCCCUGGGAUAUAAAGUUGAUUCAACAUAUAAAAAUCAGUUGAUUUAAUAUACAACACUGACAAAAUAAAAGAUAAAAUCACAUAAUUAUUUCAAUAGAUGCAGAAAAAAGCAUUUGACAAAAGUCCGAUACCCUGACAUAAUAAUUCAAGUACAGAAGGACCUUGCCUUAACACAAUAAAAGCCAUAUAUGAAAAAUCCAGACCUAACCUCAUAUCCAGUGGAGAAAACGUAGAGUCUUUUCUCUAAGAUCUGGAGCAAGAUAAGGCAAGGAUGCCCAGCCUCACCUCUUGGGUUCAUCACAGUACCAGAAGAAUUAGCCAGAGUGAUGAGGCAAGAAAAAUAAAUAAAAGGCAUCCAAAUCAAAGAGGAAGAAGUAAAAUUAUCUGUUUCCAGAGGACAUGAUCUUAUAUGUAGGAUCUCCCUUAAACUACACAAAACUGGGCUGGGGGUGUAGCUCAGUGGUAAGGCACUUGCCUAGCACAUGUGAGGCACUGGAUUCUAUCCUCAGCACCACAUAAAAAUAAGUAAGUAAAAUAAAGCUGUUGUGUCCAUCUACAGCAAACAAUAUUUUUAAAAAACUACACAAACCUGUUAGAACUAAUAAAUAAAUUGGGCAAAGUUGCAGGAUACAAAAAUCAGUCGCAUUUCUCUGUGCUAACAAUAAAUUAUUCAAAAAGGAAACUUUAUUGUUUAAAUUUAUUAUUUUAUUAUGUAACUCUUAUUUACAAUAGCACCCCAAAGAAUAAAAUACUAAGGGAUAGCUUUAGCCAAAGAGUAAAAGACACACAUGCUGAAAACUACAAAGUACUGAUGAAAGAAAUUAAAGCAGAUACAGAUAUUCUUUGUUUAUAAGUUGGAAGAAUUAAUACAUUUAGAUUGCCUGUAUUACCCAAAGUGACUUAACAGAUUCAAUGAAACCCCUAUCAAAAUCCUAUUGGUAUUUUUUACAGAAAAAGGAAAAAGAAUCCUAAAAGCCAUAUGAAACUACAAAAGACCCCAAAUGGCCAAAGCAAUUUUGAGCAAAAGGAAUGAAGCUGGAGGCAUUUUUUACAUUUCCUGAUAUAAAAAUAGAUUACAAAAUUAUGUAAUUAAAACAAUAUGAAACAGGCAUAAAAACAAUAUAUAAACCACUGGAACAGAAUUCAGAACCCAGAAACAAACUCAUGCAUAUACUAUCAACUGACCUUCAACAAAGAUGCCAGGAAUGUACAAUGGGGAAAAGUAGAGUCUCUCCAAUAAAUGUUACUGAGAAAACUGGAUAUCCAAGUGCAAAAUAAUGAUUUUAGAUCUUUAUCUUACACUAUACAUAAAAAAUCAACUUAAAAUGAACCUAAGAACUAAAACCAUAAAACUGCUAGAAGAAAAUAGCAGGAAAAGUCUUCUUGAUUUGCCUCAGCAAUAAUUUCUUAGAUAUGACACCAAAGGAACAGGUAACAAAAGUAAAAAUAGAAAAGUGGGACUAUUUUAUGGCUAAGUAAUAUUCCAUUGUGUAUAUGUACAACAGUUUCUUUAUCCAUUCAUCUGUUGUUGGGCAUCUAGGUUGGUUCCAUUGCUUAACUACUGUGAAUUGUUUUGCUAUAAACAUUGAUGUGGCUGCAUAAAUGGAUGGACCUAGAGACUAACAUGCUAAGUGAAUUAGGCCCAUUCCUCCAAACCAAAGAUUGAAUGUUUUUGCUGCUAUGUGGAAACUAAACCACAAUAAAGGGGCAGAGAGAAAGACAACAAGUUCAAUAGAUUAGACAAAGGGGAACAAAAGGAAGUGAGGAGAGAUAGGAAUAGGAAAGACAGAAGAAUAAAUCUAACAUAAUUUUCCUAUGUACACAUACGAAAAUGCCUAAUUGAAUCCCACCAUGGGGCCCAGCCACAAGAAUUAUUCCUAAUUAGAAUAAGAUACAUUCCAUGCUUGUAUAAUUUCAUCAGAAUGGAUUCUACUUUUAUAUAUAAGAAGAACCAAUUAAAAAAAACUAAAGUGGAAUUACAUCAAAUUUAAAUCUUCUGCACAGCGAAGGAAACAACCAGCAGAGUAAAAGGCAGCCUUCAGAAUUGAAGAAAAUAUUUAUAAACCAUGUAUCUAAUAAGGGGUUAAUAUCUAAACUAUAGAAAGAAUUCAUACAACUCAAUGGCAAAAAAGCAAAUAAUUGGAUUAAAAAAGGAUAAAGGAUGUAAACAGACAUUUCUCCAAAGAAGACAUAUACAUGUCCAAUAGGUAUAUAAAAAAGGUGCUGAACAUCACCAAUCACUGGGGGAAUGCAAAUCAUACGAUGGCCAUUAUGUAAAAAAACAGCAAUUAAAAAGUGUUAGUGAGGAUGUGGAAAAAAUUGAAAUCCUCUUACACUUUUGAUAAGGAAUAUAGAAUAGUAGAGCUGCUAUGGCAAGCCAUAUGGAAGUGACUAAAAAAAAAAUAAAAAUAGAACUAACAGUAUGAUCCAGCAUGUGAUCCAUAGUUAUGUGCAUUGGAUGUUAGUUCUCCUCUUAAACUCUUAAGAUAAUGCUUUUCUACUCUUGCAGCCCCCACCCCUGCCUGUGAAUGUUCAGCCCAAGUCUUGUACCUGGAGUACAGAAAUCAUUGUUUCUCUUCAGUAAUGGUCAUUGCUUGUUAGUUUACAACACUUAACAUUUCCCCUCCUGGGAUCUGACAGGUUCCAUAUUAUUUUUGAACUUAACCUUGGAAAUGGAAACCUAUUUUUUUAAAGUUAGAAACUUAUGGUAAUUUACUAUUUAUUAAAGCUCUCAUACAUAAGUAAUUAAACAUUUUAAUAAAAAACAUGCACAUUAUUUCAUAAUAACAGCUAUAGUUUUAUAAAUGUGGUGCUUUAUUUUGCAUAAUUAGCUCAUUAGCCCUUACAUUAACCUUAUGAGGUGAGGUGGUUUGGUUUUUUUUUUUUUUAAAUUUUUACUCUCUCUGGGAGGAAACUGAAGUUGAGGAGGAGCUGCUGGGUAAGUAACUUGCUCCACCCUUCUUAGCUGAAAGUGGUAGGGACAAAAUCUGAACUUAGGUUUGCUUUACUUCAAAGUCAUAUUUUCAACCAAAGGAGUAAUUGAAUAUAGAUAUAUUAAAUAAGAUUUUCAUCUAAAAGUAAGAUUUUUACUACAUGAAGCUGAUUGGGAAGGAUCAGGAGAGAGAUUAUGAAAGAGGUAAUAUACAAAUAUUACAUAAAAACAUACAAGAUUUUCUAAGAAACUUACAAGGUUUAAAGUACAUAUAAAUAUUAUAAAUAUAAAUAAAAUAUAUAUUUUUAUGAAAUUUUCUCAAAGAUAAUUAACUUGAACAUUUUUAUACUCUUACAUGUUAUUGUCAAAAGAUAUAUAUCUUGUAAAUAUAUAUAUAUACAUAUAUAUUUAUCUUGUAACUCUAUAUAUGACAAUAUACAUAUUUACAUUUGCAGGGGUAAUUGAAUAAUUAAGAAAUAUCUAACUCAAACUUUAUUAUUUCAUUUACUUACAUAAACUAGUUAAGUAUAAAGUUGACACAGGGAUCUCAGACAAGGCCUUCAAUGGACCUACAUUUAUGUAUUUAAAAAUUUUUUUUCCAUUUCUAUUUUUCCUACCAAGACAUCAAGCACAGUCAAUGUCAUAUAGUAACAUAUGAAAGUGGCCCAGGGUGACACAACUAACACUUGACUUUGCAUUUCAUCUUUAAACAGGAUAUAUCAUCUGUCUUUUCAGAUGACUCUCCUCUCCUCUCCCUGGAAUCAUUAAAAUAGAGGAUCCUUCCUCAUUACUGUGGUUGCACCUUCCUCACAAAUUAGCCAGAACCAUUUCCAAACAGGCAUUAUUUCUGAGUGAUGGUAUUUCUGAUGUUUCCUGAACGUUUUCUUUUCUUUCCUUUUUGUCAGAGGGGAAGGACACACCAAUUUCUGGUGGGCACUGCUGCCACCUCCCAGGAUGUGUCGCUCACAGCCCUGUCCUGCUUUCUGCUCUUCAGUUAAUCAGAUGAAUCACAUUUCUUCAGUGGAGUACAUUUCUUUCUGGCAGUGAGUUUGCACAAUCACCUCCGCACACGCACAGGCACACGAACUGUCCGCGCUACUGUGGAACAAUCAUUUGUAAUCCAUACCUACUUUCCUCACUAUGUUAAUUUCAUAGAUUUUUAGAACAGGCUAAGAGCUGAGAGACCAUCUGUUUCCCUUUUCAUUUUAUCGAGUGGGAAACUGAGGCCCAGUUAGGCCCAGUGAUUCUCAAAAUGUGGCCCUUGGGCCAGUGGCAUCAGCUUCCCUUGGGAAAUUGUUAGAAAUGCACUUUCUCAGGUCCUACUCUACACCUAGGGAAUCUGAACUGCUGGGCCAGCCCUCUAGAAAGUUCCAAGUCUUGCUAUAGUUGAGAAACGCUGGGUUGAGCCUUUGUCCAGGUCCUGUAGCUGUUGGCAAAACGAUCCCAGUUUUCUUGACACUUGUUUAGAGUCCUUUGAGCUCCAUCACUUUGUGUCUGUCCCUGCCUGAGCUUACACAUGGUAUUUUUUUUUCUUUUUGGCAUUCUUCUGGAAGCUGGUAUUUAUUCAUUUAGUUUUAAUGAGGUCCAGUCUAGCUGCCUUUUUCUUCCUCGCAGCUUGCUGAGAGAUUUAAGUUCAGGGGCUAUUACCUAAUUAUAUUAAUUUCAUGUCUGGGGAUUUUUAACAACAAUUUCCUCAAAUUGAAGUCUUAAUUUGACCACAAAUCCUUGCCCUGAGCAGCGAGGUACAGUUAGUUCUCCAUGUUCCUAGAUUUUUCUUUGCUUUUCAAGCAAAGUUCAGCAGCCAAGCAGAUGCAUUUGCUUCUACUCUUCUGGGUAGACAAGAAAGGCUCAUGUCCUUUCAUAAGCAAUUUUCUUUUUCUAGUGACAGUUUCAUCCUAUUCUGACAAAACCACACAUCAGGAUUAUCCCUUUCAACUUCAUUCUCAAAGCUCUGGCUUCAGUGCCACUUAUCAACGCCCCUUGUUGAAAGAACGUGGCCCUCAGAAACUUCUGAGGUUCUUCCUUUGCCUCAGCAGACCCCAGGCAAGACAGACAACCUUGUCUGAUCAUCCUCCACUGUUCUUCCAUUGCAGACUCCACGUGGUUGAGCUUCCAAGAGCCAUCUACCUUUUAAUCUCUCUUCUCUUGGUUUUUUCCCUUGGCUUCCAUUCUCCAGCUAGAAGCCUGUUGUGGUCACAGGUCCUGGCAGGAAGCUGUGGUUUUAAUGACUUUUUUUCUUCAAUGGAAGAAGUUUGAAUGAGGGCUGAAACUUUUGAGCUCAACUGCCCCUCUGCUUGUUGUAAGGCUCGGCCUGAGCCCAGAAAACUCCGAGGGCUUUAGGACUUGAUGUUUCUUUCCCCCCUUCAGGGGAGUUUCUGCAGGAGCUCUGAGCCAGGCCAUGCCAAUCCAGAGAACUCUCAGGAGGCCGGGGCUCUGGGGCUGAACUGGAAUGUAGUAUACUCCUGGUGGGCCCUCAACCAACACUGAAACCCAUCCUGAUGAGGCCCAGAGGAUGUAAAGUUGACUUAGCCAUCCAAGGGUCACUUGGGGUGAGGCCACUUGUGAGAACUGACCAAAACCUGGUAAACUGCAGGAAGAGAGAGGUGAAGAUUUCAGGGAAUUUCUCCUAGAUACUUUCAUUCGUGACAUCUGUCUACUUGAGGUUUGAUUUUUCAGUACUGAAAACUAUAAAUACUAAUAGUUUUUGGUGAGUCUGGGCUUGGGUUUAAGAGUCUAUCUUUGCAUGGUGAUUAUAUUUACAUAUGAAGUUGUGGCUUCUCUUGAUACAUAACAAAUAACAAAGAUAAUAAUAAUACUAAUUACUAUCAUGAAAUAUAUGCUCCAGUUUUCUCUGGUGGGCAUGUUACAGACAUUGCCACUAAUCCUUCUACCCUCUUUUCCAGGUGAGGAGACAGGCACAGAUAUUCUCAAUUACUCAAAAUAAGACACUAAGUGAGGAAAUUUAGUGUCAGUUUUCUUCUUUUGUGAGGACUUGAUAUAAGGGGUUAAACAUAUUGGCUCUGGGACUGGGGAUAUAGCUCAGUUGGAGUGCUUGCCUCGCAUGCACAAGGCUGUUUAAUUCCCAGCAACACACACAUACACACACACACACACACACAAUCACUUGUAUAUAAAUAUCACUUCACACUAUAAUAUCUAGUUAUACCCAAUUCCCCUUAUACCUCAGUUUCCCAAUUUGUAAAUUAGGCAUAAUGGCAUCUACUUUGUAAGGUUGAUAAAAAGGCUUAAGGAAUUAGUAUACAUUAAGUACUUAAUAGCUGGUGAAAAAUAAUUUGUUAUAUGAACAUUGGGCUAUUAAGAAAAUGCAAUUCUGAAAGAAAAAGGCACUGUUUCACAUUAUUUGCCAAAUAAACUAAUCCUUUACAGCAGCAUUUCCAAACGUUUAAUACUCAUUUUUGCCUCUUUUCCGGGGUUGGUUAUGAAAUAAUUCAGUAGUUGGUAAGAAAAACUAGGAAGGGAUAUGUAAUUUUUACUUAGAACAAAUAAGUCAUUCAUUACUACCCUUGCCUCCUCUCUCCCUCCUUUCAGAGUGCUCUCUGGGUCCCCUGUACCUUUGUGACUCAUGUGGCUGCAAAUCACUCAGCAGCCAGGGCUGAAUCCCAUUUGCAGUACAAAGAGCCUGGCAGGGAGGAACGGGCUUAAUUAGUCAGAGAUGUUCAAGGUAAAGCCUUUACAAAAGAGCUAACUGUGCUGUGUAAAGGGAAGAAACGCGAUGAAAGCCACCAUUACCGGAGCAGGGAUGAUGCAUAUAUUUCCUUAGCUUUUUCUUGCCACAUCAUAUCUGCUCAGAUGUCACAGCUCCAAUUUCAGGGGUAGUUCAAAGCGGAGGUUUCUGACUAGGAAACCACAGAAAUAGUCAAGAGCCUUGAAGCUGAUGCCAUCAGAUGUAUAACCACUCUGGCCAAUUAACAUGCCGGCUUGGGGAAGAUGAAGGUGAAGAAAACAAGGACUUAUCUCCCACAGCUGUAUGUGAGAAACAGACAUGGAAAUAGCUAAUCGCAAAUGCAAUGACAGAUUUCUAAACCUAAGCCUGGAAAUAAAAGCACCGUGGGACACAAUGUUACCUGAGGGAGAAAUUUGGAUGGUUAGAUAGAAACAGCUAAACAGAGGCAGGGAUGGCUCAAAAGAACAUGGACUUGGCCAGGUAGCUAGGUAAAAGGGAAAGAGGACACAAACAAAACAAUAUAAAGACUCAAUCCUAGCAUUGACAUUGACAUUUACCAGUUUUGUGAUGUUGGGUUUGUCUUUACAGCUAUGGGCUCUAGGUCUUUAAGGUCUUGCAAAUUAUUCUUAAUAACCUCCACAUUUCAUUGAAUCCCAUCUAAGGGCUUAUAGAAGAAAUAGAAAUCUUCUUCAAUAAAUUGUUGGAAAUGGGGCCCAUAUUUAUUUGACUCAAAUGGAAUCUUUGCUUCUCCUUAAUUCAUAUAUCCUACCCUGCAGUGAGUGCGCAUCUUAAAAUUUCUAGAUAACAGAGAAAAAAAUUUUCAAACCAUAAUUAGGUGGUUGUUAACUACUUCCUGGCUUUAUCCAUGGUCAUUAGUAAGUCAUGUUGUUUCUGAAAUUGAUUUUCUGGGAGUUUAGAGGAAGUUUUUUUGAUCACACUAGGUGUGUAGACUAUUUGGAGCAUUCUAGGGUUAGAAUAAUCUUGUGAGGAUGCUUGAGGGUAUGUGAUAUUGAGAUGAUGUGUAAACUGAGCAAACCUGAUCAUUCAUUCAACAAAUAUUUAAGGAACCCUGAUGAGGUUCCAGGCACUACACGAGGUGCUGGGAAGAUGGCAGAGACCAUGACAGUCCCUGUUACAACAGAGUUAAAAAAUUUCUGUGUGACAAGUAGUGGCAUAUGCAUUUAAAAUAGGACACAGUUUCAUGUUAGAAGUGUCAGAAGCCCGCAAGAGACUUUGACACUCAUUUACCUGUCUACUUUUCCAUAUUCCUCAGCCGCCUUGCAUCUAGUAGGGUUGUGUGAUUUGUUUUUACCAAGGGUGUGUGAGUGGAAGUGAGGGUGUUACUUUCAUUCACGGUGUGUCUUCUCCACACUCACUCAAGCCUACCUGGAUAAGUUUGGAGACCACAUAUUCCAGAGAACAUCGCUCUAAGAUCAAGGAGGACUGUCUGGUCUGUCUCAGACUGUGAUGUGAAAUAUAAGCUUUCUAUGUCAACCUCAUAAAAGACAAAGACUAUGGCAAUGUUCCAGAUUUACAAAGACUUGAAGAGACAUGACAACUAAAUGCGAUGUCUGCCCCUAGACUGGAUCCUGUACUGGGAAGGGAGAAAAGCUACAAAGAACAUAAUUAGAUCUGCUGAAAAAAAUCGGGGUAUGGAUGUCAGAUUAGAUAAAACAAGUAUUGCAUCAGUGUUAACCUGGGAGGAUGACAAUUGUACUAUGCAUAUGUAAAAGACCUUUCUAGUCUUAGGAGAUAUACACUUGAAGUGUUUAGGGGCAAGGGCUAUCAUUUAUGUCAUUUGCCCUCAGAUACUAAAAUAAAUGGGAUAAAACGUUGACAAAUCUGAGUAAAGCCUAUGUAGACAUUCCUUGUACUAUUUUUAGUAUUACAACCUUUUCUAAGGGUGAAUUUAUAUUUAGACUAAAAAUAAUAUAAAACAUUACACUGUUAAGUCACUAAGGUUUGGGGGUUUAUUGUUGCCACAGCAUAACCCAUACUAUCUUGACUAGUGGAGAGGGAAUUAGGAAGAUAUUACAGGGUAAAUAGGCUGCAUUUAGUGGGCCAGAGAAAGACUUUCCAGAAGAAAAUGAUUUGAAAAAUAAAUAGAAGCUAGCCAAGUGAAGAGGGAGGAAAAUUCCAAGUAGAGAACUAAAUUUUUGGAGGCCUAGUGGAGAGAGUACAGUACUUCAAUAACACAAAAAGAAUUCAACAUGGUGGGAGGGAAGACAUGAGAGGUGAACUUGGAGAUGUAGACAAGGCCAGGUCCUGAGGGAUCACAUAAGCCACGUUAAGACAUUUGGACUUUAUACUAAGGGCCAGGAAGGGUUUUAAGCAUGACUAAUGUGAUAAGAUUUACAUUUAAAAAAAUUAUCCUGGGUGCAGAAUGGAUUGGAACAGAAGAUGAUUAUAUAUAAGAAAAGAUGAAUGGGGUGGUGGCCAUUGAGGUGGAGAAGUGUCGGCAAUCUGAGAGUUAAUUAGGAGAGGGGGUUCUUUGACCUGGGUGAUUGAUGAGUGUGAAAUGGGAGGAGUGAAUGACAACUCCCAGUUCCUGCUGAGGGAAUUGGGCAGGUGGUGCUGCCAUUCCCUGAACUAAGAGACCCAGAAAAAAUAUUAGGUUUGGUGAGGAAACAUAAUGAUUUUAGUUUGGACAUUUUAGUUGGGACAUCUGCUAGAGACGUGUUUGGGAGACAGUUGCAUGAAUGGGCAGGGAGCUCACAAAAGAGGUCCAGGUACAAUAGGGAUGUGGGAGCUCUGGACACCUUUGUGGGAGGGGUGAGGUCACCAGGAAGAGCAUAGCAUGGAGAAGAGGACCCAGAGCAGAACCCAAAGGCAAACCAGGACUACAGAUGGAUAGAGAUAUGCUGAUGAGUCUGGGCUUCAGUACAGGGUAGCUGGCUAUCGCAAUUCUUGCAAUGCAGUUUCUCCUUUUGAAAAUAUGUCUUACCUCCUUGCAGGUAAAAGAGCUCUGUUAGAUGAGGGCUUAUUAGAUUUAGAAACUUUAAACUAGCAUAUGUUUCUAUUUAGUAGGGUUCUUUGCACUGUAUAGUGAUUAAAGUCACUGGGAAAUAUUUUGACAUCCCAUUUUACAAAUAGGGACCAUAGAGUUCAAAAAGUUUUAAAUAUUUUACUUCUUGUUUCUCUGGGAUUUGGCUGACAAACUGGGGAUUUGAUGCCAAGAUUUUGGCUUCUGUACUUAGUAAAACUUUCAAAUUAGUUAUUCAGAGGUCAAGACAUGUUACAUAUGCCAUUAAUAUUCCUUUCUAAGUUUUAAUCCUCAAUUGAAUCUCUGGUUCAAUCAGCAGAUGCUCUUCUUUUCACCAAUAUGAUUUUUAGAAGGUUAUAGGAAAGCACAGAUUUUUGGCCAAUUAACUAAUCACCUAUUCAUGCUUCAAGAUGUAUUCAGGUAUGCCCCCAAUGCAGCGGGCAUACCUGAAUAUGCUAGGCUGGGCUAAGUGUCCUCAGACAAACUUCCAGCAUUCUGCAGACAGGUUUGUGUGUAUGGUUUUCUCCCCUGGCUGCAAGCACUGUGAAUCUCCAGCACUGUGAGCAGGGCUCAUAGACUAUGCUCCACCUCAGGACUAGGGAGAGGAUAUCGAGGAGACCUGGGUUGUGGUUGUGAUUCUGUUGUGGGUCUGUCGUUGGCUGUGUCAAGGCUGCAGACUUUUCCCUUGUCCCCGGAGGACCUCCUCUCAUGCAAUUGUCGGCUUUCAGAGUCGGCCAUCGACCACAAACCUCUCUUCUCUGUCACUUUCUCCUUUCUAUCCCCUCACCAUUCCAUACAGCAAUUUGACUUUUGGCAGAGAAUAAUUUGGCCUUGCCAGCAAUUUAUUGGGUCUUAUAGGACACAGGUGGCUUGUCAUCUUUUAUAAAACUUGCACAUAGCAGGCACCUAAUUAAUGAUGAUAAUAGUGAUAAUGCAAGGACAAUUGCACUAGACACAUUCUGUUAGUAUUGUGUCUGGUAGGAACUGUGGUCUUGCCUCUUUUGGGGUCAGUGUCUUUGCGUUUGUAUUUUAAGAUGAUGUGUGUGUUGUGGAGAAGAGCAUCCAGGUGAGCCAGCAUCCCCUAUGUGCUGAUAUUGCUGGAGUAGCUGGAAAUGAAUUUCAUGAGAAGGUAGGAGGGAGGGAGAGAAAGAGAGAGGAGAGGCAGGAAUUCAGAAAUUUGGGAUGUAUGGAUCUACAGGAGUAAUGGUAUUAUUUUUGACUUUAUAAAUAAUUUAAUCCUCAAAACAAACCCCAACCUAAAUAUUGUCUUCAUUUGAAAGGUGAGAAAACCAAAGCCCAGAGAGGUUAAAUAACUCGCCUAAGAUCAUAUCCUUGGAAGUGGCAGAAGUAGGAUUCGAACACAGGUCUGAGUGACUCAAAGCCAUGCUCUCAGCCCACAAUACCUCUACCUCACCUCCCAGGACAGUAAUGCUCAAUAGUUAGUUUGAUCAUUAGGAAGGCCCGGAGAGAUACUUGUGGGCCAUUCUUUUCACCUGAAAUCAGAAAUACCAAACACACUACCCCAUGGGACCACCUUGUGCCCACUGAGUAGUUAAGGCAGAGUUUGACUUAGGAUUCGCCUGAGGUACAGAGGCUUUGGUAAUCACUACACAGCUGCUCAUGGUGUAGCAGUAGUCUGUCUCCUUUGAGAAUAUUCUUUCUUGCUUGGACAUAUUUAGCAUGGCUCUAUUUGAAUUGCUGAAGUUAUAGCAUCUGGUAUUUUGUAUGCAUUUUCUCUGAAAUUAAAUUUUUUUUUAAAAGUCUACUAUUGUUCUCCCUGCAGCAAAGUGUCUGUCUCUCUCUGUUCCCCACCCCCACCUGCUUUUUAAUUUUAAAGCAUUUCUUUGGCAUGGUCUACUCUCCUGACUGUGUCUGCCUUGAUGGAAUUUGGGUUUCAAUAGCAUCUGCUCUGAUUCCAGCAGGAUUUUGAGGACUUUUAAAUUUAUCUGCCAAUCCUUUUAAGCAACAGGCUACCCUUUCAAUAAUUAAGGGAAAAACCCCACAGCCACUAACAACCUGCCCUUCCUCCCCUUUCUUUCACACUAGUCCUAGCAUUUCUGGUUAACAGCUCUGCUGGAUAAAUUAGAAAACAAAAUCUCUGUGGGUGACCAGGCAAAACUUAUUAAUCAAUCAUAUAACCCUAGCAGACGACACAGCCCUAAUACAAAUAUUUGUGCUUCUGUCAUUGGCACUCAUCUGAUCGCUGCCAAAUAGUGACAGAUUUUAAAGACAAUCACAUUAAGUAUUAAUCAGGCUUGAAAGACGCAGCCAUGCAGAGGCAUACUAACGAGUAGGCCUCUCCUUCCUGUCUUCUGCACUAGCAGCAAUCCACACCAGCAUAGUAUUGAAACUGUCCUUUUCUUUCGUAGAACAUCCCUUUCAGCAUGCUGCAAAAUCUGAAACAGUGUUGGCUGGCUGAGUGACCUUGAGCCAAUGACACAGCUCCUACUAGACGAUGCCAUGGUCUCCAGGCUCCCCUGAUUAUGCCCACGUUCCUUACUCUCUCUCUUCUGGGCGUGAGCAAGGGCUAGAUGGUCAGUGUGGGAAUUAGUGAGUGGAUAGGGGUUAGAAAAGGGGAGCAGACCAUGGAGAAGGCAGCACAGAGACAGGGGCUCAGCUGGGCCUGGAAGGAAGAAGGCAGCUACAGGAAAGGGACCCAGGUAAGGCUGGGAACAAUGGGCUACCAUAUCUGGGCAUCUGUGAGGACAAAGUUGCCAGCCUACAUGCUCUGGAGAGUCAGUGUCAGAGAGAAGGGAAUUAUUUGGAGACUGAGGCUUUCCAAUGGGUGAUGGAUGCUCAGAGGAUGUAGAGAAGAAUCAAAGUUCCAGACCCACCAUAGUUCUUCCUUGAGUUGCCUGGUCCACCGCAGAAGGAGAUUAGAGGUUCCAGAGCUAUUCAGAGUUCCUGGGUAUUAAUUUUGAAGUCAGACUAUACAGAGUUGCCAGAUAGAAAAGUGGACUGACAGCUCAGUCAGGGUCCUGUGGGGCCUUGUCCAGCUGGGGUUGGCUUUUAAGUUCUGUGAUGUGAGAGAUGUGAAUUUAUCUGUUCUGAGAUGUCCAGAUUCAGGGAACUGACUCACAAUGACCAAACUCAUGUCAGAUUGAUGUUUAAGUGGAAGAAGUCCAGUUUCUUACUGAGGUGAGGUAGGGGUAAGUGUGUGUGUGUGUGUGUGUGUGAACAAAAGAGAGAACAUGGAAUUGACUAGUUGGUGCCUUCUCUCUUUAUAGGCAAACCUACAAGUUAUAAUUUAAAAUGUGAUUUGUUAAGUGCAAGUUCCCAAAAUGACAUAUUAUCUUCUGGACAGUGACACAAACAUACCAGCAAAUUCUUGUGACUUGAUCUGUAUUUUUCUAGACUCUUUGAAGAGCACUUGUUCUCAAUCUACUUUCACAAUCUUUUCUGAACAUUUAAUGGGGGCUCCAAGUCAUUUCCUGGACAGUAAAGCCCCUCCAGUUAGGGUUUUCUCAAUGGGUAGGGAGGGAGUUAGAGGCCUGUAGGUGAAAAACUAGGAGAGAAACUCAGAUGGUAAUGAUCUCUUGGCCCCUCUCUCGGCAAUCUAUUUAAGCUCCUAAUAUUCCUUUCUUUCCUCAUAAACUAGAAAAUUACUAGAAUCAUAGAAUUGCAGGAGUUGGAAGAGGCCUUAGGCAUAAGCUCCUUGGAUGCAGUUUUGCCUCUUAGGCACACAUCUUGUCACUUGCUUAGGGGACAUGUGAGUGAGAGAUGGAAGGAAGGGCAGAAGUUCUUUCCCCUGAAUCCCCCAAAGGCAGAUAUUUCUACUGGGGGUUCAGGGUAAGGAUGCUGGCAAGAAAAAUAGUUUCCUAUGAGCCAUCUUUCCUUCUGCUUCUUCAUGCUUCACUCACUCCUACGGCUCGACUUUACUCCUACCCAAGAGCCACCUGACCUUCUCCAUUCCCCACCCUCCUGCUGGGGCGGGGACCUGGCCCCACAGUGUCCUUCUUUUUUGCAGUGCCCCAUGUCUUUGCCUCCAGUGUCAGUACACACCCCUAGGAGGCCCCAUCCAUAGCCCCACAGCCCAACACGGGAAGGCAGGCCCCCCCUCACUUAUCUUUGCUCCUGGCAGAGAGCCCAGCCUAGGGUGACAGGGCAAUAGAUAUUUGUUAAUUGGAAUUAAAAUGUGGGACUGUGAGUGGAACUUUGGGGGUUCCAUUUGUAGCACUCUUUCUUCUUCCUCAGAAAGGAUGAGUAUUGGGAGUCUCACCAUCUCUCUACAGAGAGGGAAAAACAAAUAAUGUGCCUUGAGCACCCUUCCACAUAGCAGGAGUUCGAUUUUCAUGGGUAGUGCCCCAUGGGGGAUAAAAUACAGAGUCCAGGGGUGUUGGAGCAUCUCGAUUUCACAGACUGAUGAGAUAAAUUGUUAUACCUGAGUUUCUCUCAGUUUUGGAGUUUUAGCCCUUCCUGUCUUUUAAAUGCUGAAUACAAAGCCCUUGUUAGUCUAUCAAGAUGUCCUGGGGGACUGCCCAGGGAUUCCUUUGCAGGUGUUGGUAGACCCUGGUUUGACCUGGGGGUGUGGUAGGAUAGAUUAUUUGCUGGGACUUAUGAAACUUGUCCAGCUCUAUUAGCAUGGCUAGAACCAGUUCCUGACCCCUUUCCAUCUUCUGCCACAAAUUUCCAAAGGCUCAAGAAGAAUAGAGUUCAUUUCCCCUGAUUACUUUCUUUUCAUUAUUUUAAUAUCAAUCUCAUCUUGGUUUCUCACUCACAUCCUGAGUAGCAAUGAGGAAGAAAAUAUUGAUCAUGACUCAGGAAGCUGUGUCAAGUGUCUCUUGAGAGCAUCAAACACACUUGGUUUUUGUAUGGGGUCAAUAGAUCAGAAAAUUCUUCCAGCUUCUAGAUAUUUCUGUUGCAUAGAAUCUUCCAUUUUAUAGUCUGAAAUAGAUGAUGCCACUUCAGAUCAUUGGCAGAUUCAGAUCCAGCCCGUGCCAGGCGCAGUCGCUUUUUUUUUUUUUUUUUUUUGCUGCUGGGAAUUGAACUCAGGGGCCACUGAGCCACAUCCCCAGUCCUAUUUUGUAUUUUAUUUAGAGACAGGAUCUCACUGAGUUGCUCAGUGCCUUGCUUUUACUGAGGAUCAACUCACGAUCCUCCUGCCUUGGCCUCCUGAGCUGCUGGGAUUACAGGUGUGCGCCACCACGCUCUGCUGAGUCACUAUUGACCCCUUUGUGUAUGAUUGUGUCUUCUUUUCCAUGUUGGUGCACAUUUGCUUCCAUCAGCUGCCCCGCCACCCUGCUCUUGGAGGACUGUCCCAGCCACUAGAGGCCCUCUGCCUAGACACAGAGCUGUCUGUCCAGUGCCUGGGAGCUUAUGAUCCUAGCCUCCUUAGCCAAUGAUUGACAGGCCUGGCGUAUGAAGGGUCAGCCACCUGCCUGGGGCUGGGACACACUCAGGCAUACUUUAUACUCCAGAAUUUCCCUGUGGACCAGGUGGACGCAACUCUCCAUGGGCCCUAACCCUGAAAUUGCACCUAUGCUACGCUUCUUUUUCUUCCUGUUCUGCCUUCUCCACUUCCUUACCUGUUUCUCCUGGGAAUCUGUCUGUCUUCCUUUUUUGUAGUUGUUGUCCUGAGGAUAGAACGAAAGCCUUGUGCAUGCUAAGACUGGGAGCACUUCUUAAUAAAUCCCUUGUCCGUGAAUCCUCAUUUCAGGCCUGUUUCUGGGGAACCUGACCCCAGACAAUGAUGCCACAUUGAAUUCUCACAGCAACCCUGUGGCAAUUGAAUUAAAAUAGUACUUUCAUUAGUCUCAUUUACAGAUAAAGAAAUGAGAUGCCUAGUUAGUUCUCGAGUGAUUUCCAUAGGAUCAUUCAACUAGUAAGGUACGGAGUUGUGGAUUUCAGAACCUCUGACUUCACAUCCUGGACCUGGUUAUUUACAAUUCUCUACUGUAGAAUUCCCUUCCAUCUCAUAUGAAGGCUGGUAGUUUAGGCCAGUGACUAUGCAGAAAAUAUCUACUCUAUCACAUAUUAUGGACAAAAAAGUAAGCAAAAUAGUAUUGAAUUAAUUUAUAAAUAUAUAAUUAUAAACCAUGAUGAAAGCUAUAAAGCUAUCCAGGUUUAGAUUGGGUAAUGUGUAUGUGGGUGUGGGGUGUAUCCACCCCCUUUUAGGGAAAAGAUAGGUUUGCAUGAGAAAACAAACAAACAACUCACUCCUGUUUGCCUGAAAUGCAAUGGCAUGCAGCUGAAUGAAAUUAAGCUUAAUUUUGUAUUUUCUGUUGAGGUAGGGUUAAUUUUGUAAGCUUCCUGUGAUCUGAAGCUGUGUUUUUUGUAGCUUGCUUUCACUAUCUGUCAACAACAUGUAAGAAGUCUAUCCACACACAACUCACCGCCUCCCUUGCACAAGCCCCAAGACCUUGGCAAGCCUCCUUGAUGCCAAUCAGCAGCCCCUAGUAAUGUAAAAAGUGGUGGCAGCUUUGGCUUCCCCAUCGAAGAGUUCCUCAUUAAAAUCUGUGCUUGGCAGAACAGUUGGUCCCAGAUUACAUAUUCUGGCUUGUGGUGGGGCAAUUGAAGGACAGAGACAAUAAAUGCUCACAGCUUGUUAAUGACACCCUCAGAAGAUGGGGUUACCUUCUAGAUAUUUUUCUAGAGAAAUUUGGGCCACUGAUCAUACACACAGACACUUAUUCACUCAUUUCUAAGCUUUCAUAUUCUUUCUCUAUAAUGUAAGAGAGAUUAAUAAACACAACUUUUCAAAGUUAUGUUUUUAUUUCUCCAAUUGGUAAUCAUAAAAGAAAGAGGGGCUGAAACCUGAGCUGUCAUUCAAUAGACCCAGUUUAAGUGACAGGGAAGAAUCUAAGAGGCAUAAGAAGCUUCUCUGACCUUAAGAGAAUCCCUGUGAUUUAAUUAUUAUUAGGGAUAACAACAAUACUUAUGACAAUUGUUAGAUUCAUCUCUGAGCUGCUAUUUUACAGUUGAUGAAAAAUUUUCAACUUUUAAAUCUCAUUUUUUUCACAAUCCCUUCCUUGGAGUGGAAACUCAGAAGUUUUUUUUUUCCCCACUGAUUCACCGUUAAUAAAGAGAAAGCUGGUUCUGUUACUGCUGAUCCAACCCCAGUUUCUAGGGUUGUCACCUGUGAAUGACUCAGACCCCAAAUUACAUUUAAAAAAAUCAAUCUAUGUAUUUUCAGAAGUUGUGAAGUUGGAAUCAGAAAAGGCUAAAACAGCAUCUAUGGGUACUAAUUCCCCCAAGGUCUACUUUAAUGAACUUCUGGUAUAGCAACAGGGAUAACAAGGAUAAUCAUAUUUCUAGCUACAGAAAUGUCCACAAAUACCCAGAACUUCAAAAGUCAGGGUUGGAAGUUUUUUGCUUAAUAGACACUAGAUAGUGCAUGAUGAUUUUUUAAAAAAAUUGUUAUAGCCUAACUAAAUUCUCACAAUACAAAUGAUAAUGAUAAUGGUUUACACUUAUUGAGUUCCUACCACAUGCUGGGAACUUUGCUAAGCACGAGGGAGUCAAAGAGGUAUAGGAUGGGGUCCAAGCCUUCAAGCAGUUUGUAUUCAAGUUGGAAAGCUCCACUUUGGCUAACUGGUUGAUGAUUGCUAUGGAGAAGAAGUUUAGUGGAUAGAGAUAUUGCCAUGGUCUGGCACAAUCAGAGGUAGCAAACAGAGGAAAUAGAGCAAUGUAAAGACCUUAAAUGAGAUAAAUAAAGGGGCAUGGGAAGAAUGCUCCAGGCAGGGGUAGUGAAAAGAACUAGUAUGUAGAGCUGGAAAUGUAUGAGUUAUAUUUAAAAGACAAGAGAAUAAUACAACUGGAGUGAAAUAUAAGAACAGAGGUAGAAACAUAAUCCUUGAAAUCCAGGUGCCAAACAGGAUACUGGUGGUGGCUACAAUACAUUGGAUGGUAAUUAAAUAUGGCAAAUAUAACAGCAAUAGUGGUUGAUGCCAUCAUUAAUGUCUAAUAUUUACCUGUUCCUGCUGUAGGUAUUUACUGUUCUUUCUCAUCGAAUCACUCUUUAAAUCAGUAAAUUUUCAUUGCCCACUAUAAUUCUCACAAGAAUCCAAAAUACUUGUUUUUACUUCCAUUUUAAAAUGAAAAUACUGAAGCCCAAUAGGAAUAAGUAACGUGUAGAGUCACACAGCUAAUUAAUAGAGGAGUCUUGAUUUGGGCCCAUGCUGUUGGUCACAGCCUGCAGUUUCCCCCAUGCUAUCCCUUUACAGGGGUGGGCAUAUGGAAGUUGUUUGGAAAGGUGAAGACAGGAUGUCAUAACAGAGAGAAUCUUGGAGGUGGGCAACUAUUGCAAUAGGCCAGACACUGUAGUGGUAGCUUGUGGUGUGAGGAGAAAGGGAGGGAGGGAAAAGGAGGGAGAAGGGGAAUAGCAAGGAUGGUGGAAGGAGAUGGUCAUCAUUAUACAAAAUACAUUUUGAAGAUGUGAAUUUGGUGUCAACAUACCUUAUAUACAAACAGAGAUAUGACAAAUUGUGGUAUAAAGGUGUAUUAAGAAUUGUAAUGCAAAAAAAGAAAAAACAAGAGAGCUCAUGUAUAAUGGCAUAAUUUGGCGUGAAAAUACUUUAUAUACAUAGUUACAAAAAAUUGUGCUGUGAAUGUAUAAUUAUGAAUAUAAUGCAUUCCACUAUUGUCAUGUAUGUAAUAAAUAAAUAAAUAAAUAUGGCUUUCCACUAUAAAAAAAAAAAAAGAAUAUGUGCAUCUAAAGGACAGAGUCCUUCAGGCUUGUUAUCUUAGGAGACUUUGGCCUUGUUCUGACAAUGCUGCCAUUACUCAAAAGUAUUGAGAACUCUUCCUUCAGGAUUGUCUUCAACCACAUGGGAAAAGUUCUAACUUCAGCCACCAUGUCAUUACUCAGCCUGAUGACCCACCUGAUUUUCCAAGCUUGAUUCCAACUCACUUGUUUUAGAAAAUGAAAACUGUUAAGGGACAAAGCUUGGCCACUCUUGAGGGCGAGCUCAGGUUGUUCUCACACCCAGGGGGACAGUUUGGAUCAUGUGGACAUAAGGAAGUCCUGGUUUUGAACCCUGACUCAACCAAUUCCUUGGCCAAGUUAUUUAACUCAGUAUGCUUCAGGUCCUUGAGCUGUAGAAUGUAUAUUAUGAUUCCUUUCCUGGAGUGUGGUAGUUUUAAUUAGGAUGCUUUCAGCAGCAAAUGAGAAGUCAACUCAAAUUGGCUUAAAUAAUGUAGAAAUUUAUUUGCUCACCUAUGGAUAAGUCCAGAGGUGAAGUGGGUCCCAGGAAGAAUACAGCUGUGGCUGACUUCAGUUCUCUGAAGUUCUCUUGGCUCUGUCCUCUUCUGAUGUCCAGCUUUGUCAUCUGGCUGAUCCCGUUUGCAGUUCUCAAGUCAUUAACAACAUCUAGGACAGUUUCCUUUCUUCUUUAUUUCUAGUCUUUAAGAGAGAAAAAUCUCUUUUAGAGAUGAAUAUUUACACUUUCCUUUCGUCUGUUGGGACCAACUUAGGACACAUGCCCACCCAUGGACCAGUGCUCAGUAGUGAAGGGCCAUGUGUGAAUUGGCUUAGCGCAGGAUAGACUGGGUGUUAAAAGGGAUUAAAUUGUAUAAUUCAUAGGCAUUAUUUGGUCCACAGCUAAUACUCAAUGAAAGUUCGUUAUUUUUCCUAAUAAUGAGGAGAGUAUUCUUUGGGUAAAUUACACAUGCAUGCCUGACAUCCAUCAUCUAUCUAUCUAUCUAUCUACCUACCUACCUACCUACCUACCUACCUAUCUGAUAUAUUUAUAUAUGUAUGGAAUGUCUUCUCUUUAAGGUUUAUCCUCAUUCUCUUCUUUGAUUCAGGGUCACACUCUUUCUUCUCACCAGAACAGACUACAGAACAGUGCACACGCUGAGAUGGUAGCCCCAGACUUGUUUAGUGCAUGAGAGAAAAACAACAACAACAACAACAACUCUUGUUGUAAAUGGAGACAGAAAUUGGAACGUAUGACCAGGUAUGGAGUGCUGAGUGGGGGUUGGGAAAGAGGAGGAAUCAGGAGAGGAGGCACCAAAAUCGUAUUGAUUUUGCUUUUGCUUUAUUCCUUCCAGCUCUGCUCCUGGUGCUAUCUCUGUCUUCACAUUAACGCAUCAGGGCAGGGUGCUGGGAUGAUGUUGGUGGCUCUUACGUGCAAUUUGAAGAAAGUUUUAAACAGCUCAUCCAUCCAGGCAUUUUUAGGACCCAUUUCAUCUUUAUGUUAUUUGGCAAGUAGCUGGGAAAGACCAGAACUGAGGCUUUACACCUAUUUAGCACCUGGUUAAGCAUCACUUGGCACCUGCCAAAUGGGUCUCUACAUUUUAGGGGGAAUUUGCACUGAUUACUGUACUAAUUAAGCAGAAGUCAUUGCUACUCGCAAUCAUUAGGCUAAAUCGGUUUCUGGGGAAAAGUCUUGAUAAGCAGCUGCCCAGUUGAAGUGGAUUUGAAGGCGCCCUACGCACAUAGCUCAUGCGUUAGCAGUUGCUCUCAUGCUAUCGGGUCCUUAAUGUGACUGAACUCAGGGAUAACUGACAGUCUCAAUGCUGGGUGACAUGGGUUGGGGAGUCUUAAAAGGUGAGAUGCUCAAACUUAAUUGAGGUAAAUGAUACUAAGUACUGAGCAUAAAGGGCAUGCCCAGGAGUGAGUAGAUAUUUCACACAUGCUUAGGCCCACAGUUAUCUUCUUUGUCAUUUUUGCCUGCCCUGGUUCCUUUUCCUACCCCAGUGACCUUCAACUUACCCUUUAGGUUACUGGGAACAUUUUGUAGACAAUGUUUUUGUGCCUGGGGUAUGGUAGACUCUCUGAACUUUGAUACUUAGGAUUUAUGGGAACUUUUGCUGGAAAAUUUGGGGGAGGAACAUUGUGUGGGAGAGGGGUGGGGAGAGUAUACAGCAAUUGCUUUGAUUUCUAAAAUGUUGGGAGUGCUUGUGAGCAUCUGAGGACUUUUCCAUGGGCAACAGAUUGUCAUAAGAGACCAAGAACCUCUCAAAGAGCAUCAGAUCCUCUGCCUGAAGACAAGCAGUUUUGAAUCAGGCACAAACUGCCUCUGAAGACUUAUUUUUCUAUCUUUUUUAAUAACACAGCCACUGAGUUUUAUAGAAUAUUGUGUUGGAAGUUAGAGAAAUGCCAAACUGGAUGGGUAGCAUGAAAAAUACAAUGUGGCAUAGAACCUUAUCUAUAUUUGUGUACAAAAUUUACUACUUUGAGAUAAACUUGAAACAUUGUACUGGCUAUUUCUGAGAUGCUAAUGUGCAUCAUGAGGUCAGUAAAUUUUCCCAACAUUGUCUGUUUUCACAAGCCUUUCCUGGAAUCCUGAGGGAGGUAAUUUCUUUUGGAGGAGGAGGUAGAUAGCUCCAUAUUAUUAAAAAUUGUGAUGAUGUUUGGGGGCAAUUGCAUCUCACUUUCUGGAAGGUUGGAGAAAAGGAAUUCAAUUUGAAGCCAAUGGAAAAUUUCAAACAUGGGUGCAAUCCCAUAUAACAAAUGCCACUGUAAUGAACAUCUCCACAUCCCAGUGAUUCCCAGUGGCCUAUUUGUACCAGGCAGUAUUCAAUGAGGAAAAACUGCUCUAAAUAAAAAUGUGAAUAAUCCCUUGAAGUUUAUUCUAAUAGGAAACUAUGGCUCCAAAUCUUCAGGGGGCAGGGCUGAGAGUGAUAAGAGAUACUGCCUUGGAGAGUAGCCUCUGCCAGACAGUUUCCAAGGGGGUUAUUUGAGAGUUUAGUGGCGAAGGAAAACCAGAUAGAGGACCAUGAGGACAUGAGCCCUUUCAGAAACAUUCAGAUAGCUUGACAUUUAAUGAAGGUAGAGAAGCUCCAAACAUCUAAUUUUUCAAAUUGAAGAGAAGGGUAAUUUGGGAAUGCUAGAGAAUUCAGUACCAUUUUGCUAGGGGCUCCCUUCCUAUUAGUGUAAUGCCUAGUGCCUGCUAGGGCUGCAUUAAAUAACUAUUGUGCAUAUAAAGUGAGAAUGAGCACAGAGUUGUCCUAUAAAUAGUACAGUGCUACACAAAAGUUAGAUACCAUAGCUAAUUAUGUUAAUGAUUUAUCAGGUUCAUUUCCAGGGAGGCGAUGGGAUGGGACAUGGAUGAGAGAUGAUGCUGAAAACAAGAAAAGGGCACGGAGAUGGAAAGGAGGGAAUAUGGAGACUUCUCUUCUUGUUAUAGACUCUUGAUUUUGGAGAUGGAAAACAUUUUCAAAUGUUUUUCCAAUUUUGUGAUUAGCCCUUUCUUUGGAGUCUGGUAGUCAGGUAGUGAACUUCUGUGUCCAAUCCAAAGAGCCACACAGCCCUGCAGUCUUUUUUUAUUCUCUGGUGUGAAAGACACACAUAGAUGGCCCAAGAUCUCAUUUUCUCUUGCUUCUGGCACCUUCACAGAGUUCUGGCUCAGUUCUGAGUCAGCUCAGUGGAGAAGCAAGCCACAGGGAUUUGAAGGCCCCACCCCUAACAAGGCUGUUGUACACCAGGAAGCUCGAGUUAUUCAGUAGUCACAAAGCUGUUCCAUGGCCCUAUAAAUGAGAGAGCAUCAAGGUGCGCCCGUCAAUGGCAACCUUGCAUGGAGCACAUGGCCAUCUGUGCUUGGCCUGCGCUGUGGGGUGGAGAGAGGUCUGUGGGUUACAUGUGUUCCACUGCUUCUCUGCAGGUCAGUUUCCCUCCAAAAAUCCAUUUUACAUCAGUACCACACGAUCCCUUUGAUCCUUGGAAUUCAGGUUCUUUUUGAAAUGAGGUUCAGGUUUUCUAGGCACCUGAAAUGGCAGGGGUGCAAUUCUCCUGCCAUGAGAGAUUAAUAAUAAAGAGAACUUUUCCUUUGGAAUAGACAGACAUGACUGGUUAGCAAGAAGGGUGGAAAGAUAAAAGGGAAGAAAAGUAUAUGCAACUUUCAAAAAAGCCCCAUACCAAUCUGUCCCUUGACAGGAAUGCCAUUGGCAGUAUCUGAUAUUUCCUUCCCACUUCCAGAAGCUUCCUAGAGCUGCCAGGCUGCUCAGGGCAGGAUUGUUUUCUGCUUAUUGCCAGGGAAAAUGAAGAUGGGGUUGCUGAGGGAAAAAAAAAAAAAAGAUUCUCCCUAGCUCCUAAAUGAGGACAUAAUGAAAGAUGUCCCUGGAGAGGAAGGGCAGGCUGGUGCACUACAGGAAGACCCACGACAGCUAUGGACACAGAGGCUGGAGAGACUGCCUAUUUCUUUCAGAAAGUGCUCUUUGGAGUCUGGUAGUCAGGUAGAGAACUUCUGGGAGCCUGCCUGAGGCCUGUGGACAGAUGGCCUCCCACCUCCUGCUGGGGAAGCUCCUUAUUCUGGUUGGGUGAUGCGGCUGUGCUGUCUCAGGAGGAUUAUCUAAAGUAAGUACAGAAGGAAUUGAUUUAUUUUACUGCUGAAAUGCUGCCUUCCUGCAGAUGGAAGAUGGCAGCUCUUGAUCCAAUAUUAUCGAUUUGCUGCAGCUGGUCUGCUGAAGUCGUAGAAAAACUCCACACAAUUGGCUACCCAAGGAAGCGGAGAGGUGGCUCAGCCAGACAGACUCAGUUGGGUUCGGUCAGGUGUGGGUUGAGCAAGUAGGUCUUCGGUAGCUCAAAAGAGAAGAUUUUUCUCCCUGGGUUUGGUCCCUGUCUACACAGUACUGUGGUUCAGAUUUUAGCCUGGGAGUCAGUCAGCCUUGGCUUCCAAGUUUCCCUCCUCAUUUACUAACUGUAUAUACUUGAUUGCAUAUUUAACCUCUUUUUCAUUCAUUUUUGAAUGAAAAAAAAAAUUUAAAUGAACACCUGGAAAAUCUCUGCACCUUUAUAUACCUGUGAAGUAGGUUUGACCCCAUUUAUGUCUUGGAUAUGUGAAAAGAGCCAAAGAUACAGAUGGGAGUGAGGUGGCUUGACUUUCUUCUCUGUCGUGGUGGCACAUGUCUGCAAUCCCAGUGGUUUGGGUCUGAGGUAGGAGGAUAGCAAGUUCAAGGCCAGCCUCAGCACCUUAACAGAGCCCUAAGCAACUUAGCAAGACCCUGUCUCAAAACAAAAAAAUAAAAACAGACUGGGGAUGUGUCUCAGCAUCCCUGGGUUCAAUCCUAGUGCCAAAUUGGGGGAGAGCAGAGUCUGGAAGCAGCUAAAUGCUCUGCUUAGAACAGUAGGACAGCUGUCACCUGAGAAAGGCCCCAGAAUAAAUGACAGCAAGAUCGGUAAGGAGAGCAGGUCCAGGCAGAGCUUUAGGGCACUCUUGUUUUGAUCAAUCAAUGACCUGUCAGGGAACUGGGUCGGGUUUCCUCUGCCUUUGCCUCCAAAUCAGCUUUGCCUCUUCAAAUAGAAAUAAAGGGCAGCUCUGGACACCUGAAGUUAGCCCUUUAGGCCUCUCCUUAUCCAUGUCUGCUUUCCCAGGGCAGUUUGCUGAGCUGUCUGUCUGUUAGCACUGUUCUCUUGCCAAGUCCCUUCCUAGGCAGCCUGGUGCCAUGAUUGCAAUGUGCCAAGGUUCCAGGUACACUCCAAAAUCAUAGUUACAGUCAUGUACCUCAUUACAAUCUUUGAUCAACGAUAAACUUCAUAUCUGAUGAGAGUUCCAUGAGAUUAUAUCUCCUAGUGAUGUGGUAGCUGUCUUAGUUUGUGUAACUACAUUUUCUGAUGUUGGCACAAUAAUGAAAUCAGCUAAUGAUGCCUUUCUCAGAAUGUAUGCCCAUCAGUAAAUGAUGCAUAACUGUACUUCCAGUUAAAAACGACAGUUAAACCCAUUCCUCUCUUCUUCUUCCUGAAACCUCAUGAAAAUGCGUGCCAAGGAUUAAAAACCCCAAAGAUAGAGGAAAUGUGAGACACUAUGAAGGAGGUCAACCCAUUUUUGGAGGAUGGAAAGCAAAUGAAGGAGGAGCUACUGAUUCAGAGGGGGAAGCUGUAACUUCAGUGUCCCCAGGGAAGGGCAAGGAGGAGAACCAAGAUGAUGGCCUGCAAGGUCCAGCAGGUGGGCUUGACACAUGGGAUCAGGCCAGGCCUUUGUUUGAAGUCUGCCUAGGUUCAAUUAGAACCCCAGGUCUCUCCUGGACCCAGGCAGAGGUGAUAACUGUCCUCCUCCCCUCUGUUUAGAAAUUGGACCUGGAGAGGCUAGGUUCAGCACAUGAGGACAUCAUACACCGGAAGUAGUGGGGGUAACACACAGACUGGCUAUGCCGUUUCUGAGGGUGGGGGCUUUCACCUACCUUCUUUGUUCUGCUAUCCCAGAUGCUGACAGCCAGGACCUGAGCCCUAGAGUAAAGGUGGCUUCUACUCCAGGGAGACUGAAUUGGAAUUGGUUACAGAUCCUGAAGUUUGAGGACCCCUUAAACCUUAGAAAUUGAUACGCCAUGCUGAGGCAUUCUGAAUUUCUCAUCUAUUUAAAAAUUUUCAGGAAUUUAACUUUGAACUCAACUCAAACUGCACCGCUCCUGUGGUGGGUAGAGACUGAAAUCUUGGUUCAAUUUUUCAGCCUUAGCUUAGCUAUUUAAGUGUCUGCCCUGCUUAUGCAUGGUUCAGGAGGCAGCCAGAGAUCAGGUGGGAGUUUAUUCAUAGAAUAUAGGGCUUUCCCUUUCUGGCACUUUCCUUUCUGGAUAAAGUAUUUCACAGUUUUGCUCUUGCCCAGUACUCAAAAUAUUUGAGCCAGUAAGCCUGUAGGUGUCUGUUAGAAUGUUUGCCCUCUGCUUGGAGCUGAAUGGGACUUGUUUUCAGGCUAGAAAAAAAAAAAAGGAGAAAUGACCCAGCACUUCCAAAUGUCAAUUUGUCUCUGACUUCCAGAUACUCUUCAGUGCCUUCAGGAAGUUUUUUUGUUUGCUUGUUUGAUUGAUUUUAAAGUUCAGGAUUAUAGUAGUUUUCGGAAUGGGACAGGGUGGGAGAUUGGUCUGGUAAGAGUUGAUUGUUGGGGCUGGGGUUUUGGCUGAGCGGUGGCUCACCUAGCACAUGGGAGGCGCUGGGUUCAAUUUUCAGCACCACAUAAAAAUAAAUUAAUAAAAUAAAGUAUUGUGGCCAACUACAAGUAAAAAAAAAUUUAAAAAGAGUUUAUUGUUGAUUGGAGCUAAUUUUUGGUAGCCAUUACUUUUUUAAACUUAUAUUUUCUCAUCCCCUUUCUCCAUCUUUUAAAUAUGAAAGAACAGUUAAGGACCAGCAAAAGUUUGAGGAAGUCAUGCAAUAUGAGAGAUAGGGAAAUAUAAACAAAACUUUAAAAUGGGGGAAAAUUUGGGAGACAGAUGCUCAGACAAAACAGAGGUACUGUCCAAGAAGAAUAAAGUACAAAAAAAUAACUCUCCACAAUAAUAUUUGCAGAAAGACAAUAAAUAUUUUACCUAUAUAUCAAAAGCGGGCUGCUGUUUUAAAAAUAAAUUUGGAGGACCAGAAAUGUCUUAUAAAUUAAAAAAUAGCAUUACACACAUGCUAAAUAGUGAAAGAAAUUGACUAGAAAGUAAAGCAAAAUGAUAGACAUGAACAUUAAGAAAGAAAAUAUAAGAAUCAACCUAAGAAGGCUAAUAUCUAACUAACUGAAGCUCUAGAAAGGGAGAAUAGAGAACCAGGAGAAAAAGAUCUUUUCAAGGAAAUAACACAAGAAUGUAUUCCUGAGGUGAGUACCCUAAAUAUCUAGAGUCUAGAUCAGAGUUGGUAAACUAUGACCUAUAGGCCUGUUUUGUAAAUAAAGUUUUAUUGAAACACAGCCAUGCUAAUUUGCUUCUAUGUAGUUCAUGGCUAGAGGAUAGAGUUGGAAAGUUAAGAGAGAAACUGUAUGGCCUACAAAACAUAAAAUAUUUACUAUCUGGUCCCUUAUAGAAAAAGGUGCUCACUGCUGGUUCGAACGAUGAGAUCCCUCCAUUGACCAACACCAUGAAUACAAGAAGACGCAGAUAUAAGGACAUAUUGUGAAUUUUCAAUACACCAGGAGUAAAGAGAAAAAUCUUGAGAUUCCAGAGAGAAAAGAGAGUCACGUAGAAAGAAUCAGAAAUCAGAAUGGGAUUGAACUUCUCAAAAGCAAUGUUGGAAGUCAUAAGAAAGUGGAAUGAUACCUUCAGGAUUCUGCAGGAAAUAAUAAAAAAAAUUAAUCUGGAACUUAAUCCAGUAUAAAGAUGAAAUAAAGGUGUUUUCAGACGGCGACAUCUCAAAGAUUGUACUUCUAGUCUUCUUCAGAGGAUAUGCCUCAGCACAAUGAGGGAGUAAACCAAGAAGGAGGAGGACAUGGAAGCCUGUGCGUAGGACAGUGGUGGGAGAUCCUGAGGAUGCUGCCGGGCUCUAGGCCCAGAGAGCAAUGGGUCCAGGCUGAAGGGCUGCGGGUGGGUGGUCAUCUGGGAAAAAUACAUGGAACUGAAGCUUGUCUGUGUGCUGGACCAAGUAAAGGAGAACACAGACCAUUAAGGGUUUAGAAGCAUUUGGGGCUGGUUAUUUGGUAAACUAAACAGAUCCACCAAAAGUGCAAUUAUUCCAUGGGAAAGAUUGCAUGAUAAAGUAUAACUGCAGCACUGACUCACCAGUGGAGAAUAUUUACACAAUCUGCCUGGUGGCUGAGUGGUCCCCCUCCUGCUUUGUGAUCUGAGAAACAUUUCAUCCCACUAGUUCCUUCAGCCCUGGGGGAGGCAGGAACUGGAGUGACUGGCCUCUGUUUGGUCUUUCAGCAAUUCUAACGCUUUCUACCUAAAACCCUAUAUGAAAUUUCCUUCUAUUGAAUGAUCUGGCAUGGGUUUGUGGAGUCUGACGGUCUCUGAAAUUGAUAAAGCAAGAAAUAGCACAGGUAGGCAUUGAGUUAGAAAUACGGAAGUAAACACCAAGGGUAAAAAACGACAACGGAAAGAGUGGAAAGUCUGCUAUUGAGGAAAAGAACUUGGUGCUGGGAGAUGAGAGAGAUAUGUUAGGGAAAUGUUAUUGUUGGUUAUGUCUUUUAUAACAUUAUUUGACUUAAGCUAGAUACAUAUAUUAUUUUGAAAAACAAAAGCAAAAGCAAAAAUUCACUGAGAACAUUUGUCAACCUCAAAACCAGGGUAGUCAUCAGGUCUCAUAUUCCCACAGAUGAAGCUAUGAGCAAGUUAGAGAUUUAGGUGGGUGUGGGAUCCUCUGAGCCAACUAGGUAGGUGUUAGUAGGAGACAAAAAUUGCUCAUCUGCUAAAGGUAGCUGGGCCAUCUGGUCAUCAGUACAGGUGUACCCCACCACAAGCCAACCUCAGCCCAAGGCAAAGGACUGGAGUGCCCCUCCUCAGAAGGAGUUAUGAUGCUGGUGAAGUGCGCGGACCAUCCUCAUUAUAGCUACAGACAAAGGCACUGGGCAGGAUUAAAGCAACAUCACUUUAAAGUUGAGAGACUUCCACUAGAGGCAGUUCCCUUAGCUUUCCUUAUGCAAUCUAGAUCUUAUUUCACCAUUCAGAGUUCUACUUUUUCCUGUGAGGAUCAGAGAUACCUUAUUAAAAAGUAUCAUCAUUCCAUAGUGUAGAUAUUAAUACUUCAUCAGAAAAAUAGCUAGUAAAUAUUUUUUCCCAUUCUGUAGAUAAUGGGCAAACAAAUUAAACAGACACUUCUCAAAAGAAGAAAUACAAAUGGCCAACAAAUAUAUGAAAAAAUGUUCAAUAUCAUUUACAAUUAGGAAAAUGCAAAUCAAAACUACACAGAGAUUGUAUCUCACACUGGUCAGAAUGGCAGUCAGCAAGAACACAAUAAUAAAUGCUGGAGAGGAUGUGGAGGAAAAGGAACACUUUUACACUGUUGGUGGAAUUGUAAAUUAGUACAAACACUAUGGAAAUCAGUAUGGAGGUUCCUCAAAAGACUAGGAUAGAACAACCAUAUGACCCAGCUAUAUCACUGCUAAGUAUUUAUCCUAAAAAACUAAAGUCAUAAUACUACAGCGAUACAUGCAUACCCAUGUUUACAGGAGUACAUUUCACAACAGUCAAACUUUAGAACCAGCCUGGAUAUCCAUCAGCAGAUGAAUGGAUAAAGAAAAUGUGGAGUUAUAGUCCACAAUUGUGUGUGUGUAUAUAUAUAUAUAUAUAUAUAUAUACACACACACAUACACACAAUGGAGUUAUAGUCAGUCACAAAGAAAAAUGAAAUUAUGUCAUUUUCAGGAAAAUAGAUGGAACUUGAGAACAUUACUUUAAACAAAACAAGGCAAACUCAGAAGGUCAAGGGUUUUCUUUCAUACGUGGAAGCUAGAGAGGUAAAGGAAAAGAAAGGUGGGGAGAUCUCAUGAAAAUUGAAGGGAGAUCAGGAAAGGAAAGGGACCAGUGGGGAUAGAUAAGAGGAGAGAAAGGGGAGUACUAGGGAAUGAUAUUGGCCAAAUUAUAUUGUUAUAUUGUGUGCAUGUACAAAUAUGUAAACAAAUUCUAUCAUUAGACACAUAUAUAAUGUACCAAUAAAAAUAUGCAGAUUAAAAAUAUAAUUCUGAAAAAAAGUAUCAUCUUUCCAAAUGAAUAUUCAUUUCUUCUUUCCUCUUCUUUUUUCCUCUCUAACUCAAGACCCUCAGCUCUUUCUUGUCUCCUGGUUUUGAAACAAGUUCCAGGAAGUUUCCUAAUAAAGCCUACUCCAAGGUUCUGUAGCCAGCCUUUAAUAAAACUCCAAGGAAUUGUGGCAUUUCAAUGAACCCCACACCUUUAUUUUCCAUAUAAGGGGUGCAGUGGGAAGAUCAAGGCUGUAGUCUUUCUCUCUCUCUUACACACACACACACACACACACACACACACACACACACUUGCUCCAUGGAUAUUUCCUUUCAGUCCCUCUGCCCUACAGCAUCUCUUUUCAACUCUGUCACAGAUAGAAUUAUAUCAGCACAGUGAGCAAAGACCUUGAGGCACAAGAGCUGAUGGGAUAAUUUAUGGAAAUGCAAUUUAUCCUUGGCAGAGGGAAAAAAAAAAAAAAAAACCAGAAAAGGCCUGGCUGCUGUGGUUUGCUCUGGAAAGGGGAAAGGGCUGUGGAUUCUACAGGAUUUUGGAAUACUCUACUUAGGUUCUUAUGUUUUGAGUUUUGCUGGAGAAGUGACACGGGGUCUUAUGAAGCUCUGAGAGGAAAUGUCUCCUUUCAAAGCUUCCACUGGUUCUUGGUAUAACUACAGGGUCAGGGAGAUGAAGAGACAUGUUACUGGAUUUUUGGUUUUAAAAGACAAGGCUUUGGGCCAGGUGAGGUGGCACAUAUCUGUAAUCCCAGCAACUUGCGGGGGAGAGGCAGGAGCUUGGGGAGUUCAAAGCCCCUCAGCAAAAGAGAGGCCCUAAGCACCUCAGUGAGACCCUGUCUGUAAGUAAAAUACAAAAUAGGGCUGGGAAUAUGGCUCAGUGGUUGAGUGCCCCUGAGGUCAAUCCCUGGUUACCCCACCUCCCCAAGAAAAAAGCAAGGCUUUGGUACACUUUGGAAGAGAAAGAUCAUAAUAAAGGGUCCCACCUCCUCUGCUCCAACAGAAUUUAGUCUCCCCCACCUAAUUCUGCCACCCCUAAUCUGUCAGAAUGAGAACCAAGACCAGGGGUGGCCAGAACUCCAGGGAGAGGGGAGAUGGGAGAACCAGUCCCAAGCACCUGAAAGGAUACUGGAGCUUGGGUGGGAACUGUCCACAAUGGGGUCUCUGUGGGAGGAAUGGUCUGGAGACUCAAUUUUCAAGGGGAAUAUGUUCCUGACCAGGGCUAUAAUCCUCUUCUGCUGUUGAGAAAAGGUCAGCUUCACACAGCAGCAUUGGAUUAGAGAUGUUGGAGGGGGUAAGGGAGGCAGGGGCCAAUAUCCAUUUUGGUAAACAAAGAGCAAGAGAAGAGAAGUGGCCAGUGUGGUGGCCACUUGUGUUGGAUCUCCGAGUGAGCUGGUGAUCUUCACUGUGAAAAUGGAAGCACCUUCUCCCCCGAGUGCUCAGGAACAUUAGGGAGAGAGAUGGUCAUGCUGCUGUUCAUUCUUUCAUUGCUCCAACAUGUAAUGACUUCCGUCUACUAGGCACUGUCUGGUCCCUGGAGACACUGAAGGAAACCAGAAUAUAACUCCCCAAAAUAUGAAGAAUUGUGGAGCUGGAGACAAUUAAGGUGCAGGGCAGCUCUUUGCCUUCUCUCUGUUUUUGCCUGAAAGCAAAGACAGAUUUACAAAGACAAAGCUCUUCCUACUGCCCCCCAAGGAAGGACAGAAGGCACAUUCUUUUGCAACCCUUAUCAGCCCUGAGAUGGCACCAGAGGAAUCUGGGAGCAGCCUUCCCUCCUUCCCACCCCUUUCCUGCCUUUGGAAACCUGGGACUAUUUUUACUUGGUCUUAUCACCUCUAAAAUGUAUAUUGUUCUGUUAGACACACUGUGCACCGCCUGCAUUAAUAAACUUGCUUAUUUUUUGCUUGUUAAUUUCUUUCGUUACAGAAGUCUAUCCUGACUAUGAAUUUAUGAGCAUUGGUGGCAGGGGGAUGCAAUUUUUUUUUUCUUCUCUUCACACAGGAGUAAACUAGACAAAGUCCUUGCACUCACUUGUUUUUCUGAAAUUGAUUUAUGUACCUUUUGUUUUACCAGCCCCUCUUUAAAAGGUAUCCUUUCAUCUAAUUAAUCCCAUAGGCUAGACUCAGGCCACCAGCCCUCUAAGGUAAGGUCAUAGGAACCAGAGAUACUUCUGGUGGCUUCAUCAGUGAUGGCCAUUUAUUACUGGGUGCUACACGCCAGGCAUCUUGUCAAGCCCCUUACGUAUCUAAUAUACAUGUGACAAUGUAGGGAAAGAAAAUAUUUUCUUUAACCCCCAGAAGCUCUUAGUUGGAAUAGACUCUGGUAACAAAACACAGAUUAGUGAGAGAUAAACAAGAAAUUUUUAAUAUGUAUAUUUCAUAUACACAUGGGAGGGACCCAGGAAACGAGUAGUUCUCAAAAAGUUGGCUUUGAUUUCUAGCACAUCUUUCAACAAAGAACAGUAAAUUUUUAGAGAAGGGACAUGAUAAAAGAAAAAAGCUUUGAGUCUCUUGGGGAAGCAACUUGUGGGAAGGCAAAUAAAUAGCAGAUAAAGGCUAAUUAGUAAAGUAUAUUAAUGCUGAUUCUCUGGUACCCACUCCAGGCAGAUAAGGGUCUAAAGUGGUCUGCAGUGGUUAACCUUUGUUCUUCCUGGUAGAAAGAGGGUCAGGAUACUUGUGGACUUUGGAAACCAAUGUCUUGUUUCUAGGCAAAUAGAGGGAGGGCAGAGAGCUUCCCUGAGUCUUCUGCUUCUUAUCUUUAGCUCAGCAGUUCCAUGUAUUUGAGUGGCAUAUUCUGGUCCCCACAAUGACCUCUCUCUUUGUCUGACUCCAAAGCUCUUUGCUGGAUCGUGUUACCAUCACUCAGAUAUAAGCACCUUAAAAGUUUAACUGACUUUCUGAUUCAAGUACUUCUGACCCAGUUGGUAGAGGGUAUUUUAGAAUUCACAUCUUUUUUUAAAAAACAAAAAAUCCUUCCCCCCAUAGAAAUUUUUUGGUUUUCUUUAGAUCCAGUAUGCCUAGGCUUAAAUAACAUCUUGUUAAAACAUUUAAUUUCAAAUGUUAAGACACACCCUUUCAAACUCUAAUCUCUUGUUUACCUAUCUCUAGAAAGUACUUUCUGGGCUGGUACCAACAUUAAACAUGUUCAUACACAAGAGAAUACAUCUUCAAACACAGACAAUGAGAUUCUAGUCCCCACAGAGUCUCCUGAAGGUCAGAUGGGGGAGGUGGAAUCUGACAUGGCCUAAAAAUCUCAUGAAAAAUGUCCCCAUGCUUAUUAGGAUAUAACUAAGGCCAUCUCAAGGGACCAUCCCAGAGAAAUCCCUGGGAGAAAGAAAAAUGCUAAUUUCUUAUUCCAAUUACCAGUAUGCUCUUUAAUUCAAAUGAAAUGCCCUCAGUGUGCUACAUGCUUUAUGAGAUGUAUCAAAAGACAUGCCCCCAACCCUCAAGGGACUUCUAUCAAGAAAAGAUUUGACACAUGCUGGGGCUAUAGAGGGUCAGACAAGUAAUAUGAAGGAAAAGGAGAAGGACGCUUGAAUUUUUUUUUUUUUCCUAUAGCAGAGUCCAAAGAGACUGAACCCUGAUUAGCCUUUUUUCUGCUUUAUGGAAUGUCUUGCUGUGGCUGCAGAAAUAGAGAGGAUGGAAUAGGAGUUUUGCUUCUUUUACUUUAGGGUGCACAAAUUCACCCUGAAAUCAAGCCUUCAAUUUUCAGUGCCUUUGACAUAAGUAAAAGCCACAUUAGGCUCAAGUUUUUAUUAUAGCCAAUUUCCCCUCCUACUAAAGUGUCUCAGAAAUUUAUAAGGAAACCGAUCUUUUUGAGUAACUGACCUGGCUCAUUCUCUGCUGCAGGGGAUGAAGACUAGGAAGUCCGGAGGAUACUGGUUUACCAGGGUCUGCUAGAAUGAGUUGUUUCACCUGGUUUGUUUUUGUGACGGGGGCUUUAGCUAUUGCCUAGGUACCCAUAGAGGAUUCAGCAUAUACUUCAAAAUAUGGCAUCCUGACAUUUUGAUAUUUAAAGCUGAAGGAAUUUGAGAAAUGGCACGUCCAGGAAGAAUUCUGCAAACUUCCCCUGAAACAGAUCAUAAGACGCUCAUGUGAAAGAAGGCUUCCCUCUGCCUGGAGGAAAGGAUUCCUAAAUCCAAAGAUGGAGGGAUGCCAAGAGGAAUCUGGGUGGACUGGCCUUGCCAAGUGUCCCCCAGCUCAUACUCCUUUGUCCAAUCAAUUUUUCUGUGACUUUACUCUUCAUCAAACGGAGUACAAACAUACUCAAGCUUUGCAACUUUUUUAGGUCUACAUUUCCUUAUGAAGAGUUUUGUGCUAUGAAACAUUUAUGUUAAACACAUCUGUUUUUAUCUGUACUCCUCUGUUAAUCUGUUUUUUUUUUUUUUUGUUACAGGUGCCCCAGAUGAGAAGCUGGAAAAGUGGAAGGAAAAGAUGUUUCUUUCUUCCCUAUAGUUUCUGGUGACUGCAAAAAGAUAAUCAAAGGUUGGGACACCCCAUUUACCACAGAAACUGCAGAUGAGGUCUGGGACAACUGACCAAAAGCCAGCAGAAUGCAAGAAUUCUUAGUAAGUCAGCUUCUUGGAUCUCUGUAGCACCAGGUUGAGAGAGGAAAGUCAAAGUUUCUCCCUGUGUAUUCCUUUUCAAAUUUAGGUUUGUAGGAGGUAACCAUUUGUAAGAAUUAGUUCCUUUGGAUUGUGACUUUGGUAAACUUGGUUUUAGUUAUCCAUUGAUUAUUGAAGGAAAAUAUAUAUUUUUCCCCUUUGCAUCAAUUUACUUGAAUACAGCCAUGUUAAGUGUAAAUGUGUCAGUUGAUAUUACAUAUUUUAGUAAGGCUACAAAUAAUUUAAAACUCCAUUUAAAGGAGAAAAUAUUUUAAAAGGGGUAAAAUUAUGACUCUUAUACAAAUAUAGAAUGAACACAUGCCAAAGAUUUUAUUUAACUCAUUAAUUAAAGAGGAAACUGGUAAGAUAUUACAGUCAAUUCAAAGGAAAAUCCAAGAAAAAAAAUAUAUAUGUAAUUAGGAAUACUAAAAUGAAUUUGCUUAGAAGAGCAAAACUGUGGAAGAGCAAUUGCACCUCUGCCAGAUGGAAUUCAUUUGCAUGUUUAUGGACAAGAGUCAUUUGCUUUGCUGGAAGUUACAUAUAAUUUACACAGUUGUAAAAUAACUCAACAACACUGAAAGGUGCAAAGACAAAAUAGAAUCAGAUAGCCUGGAAGAGUAUAUAGAAAAUACCUAGUUUUCCACUAGAGACAAUUGGUUGUUUUAAAGUCUUUCAAGUAAUUUUCCAUUUAUGCUACAGUGGUUUAAACCAGUAAGUUAAUUUUUCUCAUGCGCCAGGAAUGAUAUUGAGAUAGAAUGAUAUUGAGAUUCAUAAUAUAUAUAUAUAUAUAUAUAUAUAUAUAUAUAUAUUUAUAUGCUAACAAGAUGACUGAUAGCUGGGAUGGCUGGUGAAAUUUCAGCAGGACCAUUAAUCUCUGACCUCCCACCUUUGGGAAGGGGAGUAAGGUUUAAAGUUGAUUGCCAGUGUCCUAUGAUUAAAGCAAUCAUGCCUACAUAAGGCCUCCAUAAAACCCCAAAGGAUUUAGAGAGCUUCUGGAUUGCUGAAUGCAUACAGGUACCUGGAGGAUGGUGUGCCCUCCACCCCACCCCUGUGUCUUGCUCUGUGCAUUUCUCCAU
rnacentral:lncRNA from 1 species